GGCAACACAAAGACAAACAGAAAACAACCCAUUUUGAAAACACGAGAAAAGCGGAGACGACGCCUAUGGAAAAGAAUAGAAAGCCGACUCAUUCGUGAGAAACCACCACCACUUGUUUCCCGACAUUGCGGCCGGAGAACAGCCCGAUGAGAGCUGUCGGAGCAUUCUCGAGACCUUCGGUAGUGUCUUCCACAUACACAAUCUUCCCCUCUUUGAUCUGAGGCAAUACCGUCUCCAGGAACUUUGGGUAGAGAUGAUAGUAAUCGGAUACCACGAAACCUUCCAUCCGAAUCCGCUUCAGGAUAAAAUUUGUCAAGUUGUGUAUGCCUUCGGGCUGCUCGAGAUUGUACUGUGAGAUCAUUCCACAAAUCGCGAUUCGGCCAUGAAGUUUCAUGCUGAGCAGCACCGCAUCGAGCAUCUUUCCGCCAACGUUUUCGAAGUAGAUAUCGAUACCCUCGGGGAAGCAUCUAAACAUUUAUAAUACAAAAAGUCAAAAUGGAGUAGGCGUCAGGAACAGUUACAUUUUUUUUUUUUAUAUCCCGUGCGCCAGUCGCUUAUUUGCUUAAUCAUCACUGCUAUACUCAUAGCUCACCUUUUUAGUGCUGCAUCCAGAUCCAGUUCCUCCUUGCAGUUGAAAGCAUCAUCGAAUCCAAACUUGUUCUUCAGCAAAUCAACUUUUUUCGCAAAAAUAGCGGCAAAAGCAACUUUUAAUACAAUGAAAUUCGGAAGAGAACAGUAAGACUGUAGUCAGUAAAAUGAUGACGAUGGUAUACAUUCAAUAGUGUCAUCACUCUCUUGACCAUUCUCAAAUUUAAGAAAGACAGCACUCAUCAACCAUGACACGAUUACCUUCUCUUUGCUACCAGCGCUGCCAACAACAUAACAACCGAACAACUUUGCAAACUGGCCAACAAGCUGACCAACAGCUCCCGAUGCCGCUGAUAUGAAAACAGUCUCUCCUUUCUUAGGAGAGCAUACUUCGAAAAAACCGGCAUAGGCUGUCAUGCCAGUCUUACCUACAAAUUAUAAAUUUGUAGAAAUUAGACAAAGGUGUAGGAGUGUUAUGCUAUGGCAAAAUCUCAAAUGGUCCGAUUAUUUCCCAAAGUUGAAGCCCGUGAGAAAUGUAUUCUUCUCAAGGAAAGCUACUAUUUCUCUAGAAACAACCGAUUUACACGCUUCGCAAAGCGAGAAGAUGGCUUUGCAGGGCUCUGUCAUUCAGACAAUUCAAUGAGGCCAUAAGGUUCAUCGACAAUGAAGAUCCCUACGAGUAAUAUCUUAACUAUCUGAUUCCUCUUAUUCAUUAAGAAGACAUAGAUAUUGCAAUCGAUGAUAGAAAAGCGUACCCAAAAGGCCAGUGUAGUAAGACAGAGGAACAUUGGUGUGUUCAAUCUUGAAGCAAGUCUCUGGUGCAGUAAUUAGCGUAUACUCCUCCCAUCCGGUUAAACCCCAAAGCAAGUCGCCUUUCUUGAAGUCUGGAUGCCCGGAUUCCAAAACUCUAGCUACUCCAUAUCCAGUGAUAAGCUGCAUCAAUGCGUUAAAUACUUCAAAUAUAAGUGAAUAAUUUAGCAAACGUAAAUAGACAUUGCACUUCCAAGAAGGAAUGAUUGGACAUGAAGACAAUUUCAUAGUCAAAUGCGCUACAAUAACCAGAGACCCUUUCACCUUUAACCUUUUUUCUGAUAUUAAAAGUUUGCAACUAGAGUCAUAUUGAGGUAAGGUAAGUCAAAAUGCAGUUUUCCUUAACCCUUGAUAUAACUUCCAACAAACCUAGAAUGGCAUAAUUUUAACACAGCGGGAAUAAAAUUGAAAUCCAUAGCUAUACAUCAGAAUCCUAAGCAAUAUGCUGAAGGAUCCAACCAAAACACUGCUCAUCCCAGAGUCAUGUUUAUUUUAUAUUUCAAUUAAUACAUCUCAUUGUCCUCUUUCACGUGCAAGCUAUCAGUCACAAUUUGUCAUGCUUACACAUUACUCGCAUCGCUUAACCCCAUGAUUAUGUGGACUGUGUAAACGUAAGGAAUGUAAAAUUCCUAUGCCAAAUAGCACAAGCGACGUUCUCUCGACACCCUAAGCUCUUCAAUACAUUUGCCAAAUAUUAUACCGACAUCACAAACAAAUUCUACAAUUUCAAAGCCACCACCGAUUGGCUCAAAAAGAUUUAGCCAUGAUAUUAAAAAAGAUAAAAAUAAAUACACAACAGCGCAGAGUCGCUACAAUCCUUUGGAUUCAAAUGAUCGGACAUAAUCAGAACUAAUACAUGACAAGUCCUCGUAAUUUAAUUUAGCCAAACCUGAGAUCAUGAUCCAACACUCAGGAAAACUGAUAUAAUAUCCGCCAUCCAUCAGCAGAGACACCGCAACUUUCUCCAAAAACAACACAAUGAAUGUCCAGAGCAAACUUAAAAAGGACAAAAAUAUCAUACUCAAGAAAGCCCACAUCAUCCUCGAUGAACUUUUUCUCUAUCUAUGUUCUUUGGAAAAAAAGGAAAAAAAAGAGACAGAACUUGACAACGAAAGGAGUACUUAGGCUUGCUCACCGAACCAGGUCUGAAGGCUUGGACAUAAUCCGGGACGUCGGGCUUCGUCAUGCGGAACUUCAUGUAAGGGUCGCAGGACAAGUAGAGAUUUUUCACGAGAAGGCCGUUCGAGCCCUCCAGGAGACGCAACUUCAUGGUCGACUCACGCAACUCCAUGUUCGUAUCCUUGGGGAAACCACUCACGUAGUCCCUCAAUAUCACUUGCUUGUCCCUCACUGCCUCCUCAUUCUCGCCCGCCAUCGCUCUUCGCUGCUCUUUCGGCAAAACUCUGAACACCCAGAAGAGAGAAGAUGAGCAGGCGUGGAGUGUGAAGAGGCCAUGCGGGACAGAUAAGAAGGCGACCUUUUGGUUGCGCCCUGUGGGUCAGCCGGCGGGGGAUGGUAGUUGAGGGGGACGGCGACGAUGGAGGUGAGUGGAGGAUCAUGAGGAGCGAGAGCGAGAUGGUUUUGGAAAUCUUAAAUUUCGGUUCAAUGUAUGUCAUGGUCUUCGAAUUUUUAUUCAUUCAAUGAUGUUCCCAAGCUUUAUCUUAAUAUGUAACGUAAUCUCUGAACUUUAUCUCAAUAUAUAAUGUGGUCUCCGGACUAUAUAAAAAUGUUGAAUGCCAUCGUUCCAUUAAUUCAAGCUCAUGGACAAAAUUAAAUAUCUUCAUAUAAUCAAAUGACUACAUUAGACAUGCACCAAAAGUUUGGGUAUCAAAUUGACAAUUUAAAAGUUUAGGGACAAUUUUACAUAUUGGGAUAAAGUUUAGGAAUCGCAUUGCAUAUUGGGUAAAACUUCAUAAAUUAUUUAUGUUGUUUUCCUAUUGAUGUUCGGUAAAAUUUUUGUUCAUGGGAAUAGAUUUAGAACAGAAAUAAGAAGUAGAAAAAAAAUAGUUUUUUGUUCUUGAAAACAAUUUCUAGAAUCUACUUUUUUUUUUUCUCUUCUCUCUUCUUCCUUUUGACUGGUCGCUGGCCUUGGCCAUGUUUGGCGCGGCUGACUGGCUAGACGAGGGCCGACGACCUCGCCGGAGUGUCGCCGGCCCCCGAAGACAUCAAGCCACGAUGAGGCAUGGUGAGGCCGAGCUCACUCAGCAACCGGUCAGGCUUGGCCUCGCCGGGCCACCUCUAGGACGGCGUCGCCUAGCGGUGGCCUGGCGAGGCUCGGCCUCCCCAAUGGGCGCGAGGCUAGGCCUCGCUAGGCUAGGGUGAGGCCGAGCCUCGUUGGUGGCCUGGUGAGGGUGGCUAGCGACAUGCCAAAGAGAAAAAGAAAAAGGAAAAAAAUUAAGAAAAUAUAAUAAAAGAAUUAAAAAAUUAAAAGAAAUAAAAAAUCUAAGAAUCUUACUAAAUGUAUUUCUAUCUCGAGAAUAGAAAUUUUGAGAAGUUACAAAAUGCGUUUUUUUGUUCAGAAAUUGUUCUCGAGAACAGAAUUAGAAAAAAUCAUUUCUCAUCAAAAAUUGUUUUUCGGAACAAAAUCGUUACCAAAUACGCCCUUAGUGACUGACGCCAAAAGAUAUGUGUUUGACUUUUCACAAGCAAUAAUUUAGGACUAUUAAAAUUAGAAAAAUAAUUUUUCAUUUGCCCUUUUCAGCGAAACAAAUGGAAUCUAAAAUCACAUAGUCGCAAAGGGUUAAAGCUGUUAAAAUAUCUCUCUUGCUUGUCUAUUUAUUAGUAGCAAUGGCUGUGACCCUGAGGAUGUCCAGCAGCUUCUCAAGCUUUGCCAAGAACACACGGUGAUGAUGCUUGAUUUGGUGGGCUUGAUGUAUCACUAAUUCGGAUCGAGUCGAACAAAACGUUGUCCCUCAUUUCUAGCGUGAUGGAUUCGAGUCCAUAAAUAGGAAACUUCAACCAUUCAAUCCAGACUUCGCUUAUUUGCAUGCUCAUAGGGUUCUUGUCCUUGUUGAUGUCGAAGAAAUGCUCAUAGAGUUCUUCGCAUUUAAUUAUUUUAUUUUUGUAGUAAGUGUGCUUAACAUAUGUGAAGCUUGUGAGAGAUACAGAGAAUAUAGAGAGCCCUCUUCCAAAAGAGUUGAGAGAACGAAAAGAAGCCCUUUCUUAUAAUUAAUUUUUGUGAGUUGGGGUUGAAUUUAGAAUUGGAACACACUUGUGAAAAGGAAAUUAUCAAAAAAGUCCUAGACGAUUGUACUUGUGCUAAUUCCAUCCUAAAUCUUUUAACAUGGUCAAUUGAGUUCCAAACCUUUUAACAAUUUAGUAGUGUAGUUCAUCAAGCCAAAAUUGGCAAAUUUUGACAGGAAAUCACUGACUUGAACGCCAACUGUUUUAUGUGGCACAACUAGUGUUAAUACUGACAAGUUUAAGUUUUUUUUUUUUCUCUUUUCUUUUCACCGAGCCUCACUUGGGCAAGCCCCCUUGCCAAAUCUAGAGAGGUCAACCUUUGCCUAGGCCAAGGUGGUCUCGCUAAGUGUCACCCAGGGGAGGGUUGGCCUAGGCAAGGCCUUGUAAGGAUUUGCUUGGCCUAGUCUGUAUGGUGAAUAGGCGCUCACCCUCGCCCCCUAAGACUUGGCAAGGCCGGGCCUUGCCCUAGCCUAAGAGAGACUGGCCCUUGAUUGGUCUAUGGCUGGUGGUUCACCAUUGGCCAUUGGCCCCCCCGGGAAAGAAAAAAGAAAAAAGAAAAAGAAAAAAUCAUUUUUUUUUUUAAAUUCCAAAAGUUAUCCAAGGUCAAUGUUCAUGUUAGAGAUUUCCAACAAAAAUUGGCUGGAUAAACUAUAUUUACGAUUUAAUUGGCAAAAUUGAAAAAUUUAGACGUAGAUUUACAUAAAUGCAAUAAGUUAUAAUUUCUCUCUUGUGCAUGACUUUGGUUUUAGGAUAAGACCAGACAGAAAAUACUGCGAUGUAUGCACACCGUUAAAUCAUAAUAAUCUAUUAUUUUUGAGUUUCAUUUCUUUGAUUUAUCUCUUACUCAAAUCUUUUAAUUUGUUCAUGCACUUUCCCCAUUAGUCAUAACAAUUUGGUAUCUCAAAUGAGUCUUAUUUAAAGACGAUGACACGGUACAAGAAGAAAUAUUUCCAUUAACAUUAUUAUAGGGAGGCAAAUAAAAUUCUAUACCUGAUACAGACAACAAUCCCCCGAAGGCAAAACAGAGCAUGUGCACCCAAAAGUACACUAAGCGACUCAUUCGCGAAAAGCUACAAACCACCACGUUUUCCAACGUUGCCCCCUGAAACAACCCAACCAGAUGGUCCUCCGUAUCAUCUGAUUCAUCCCCAAAGAAAGAAACAACCUCUACGUCCUCGCACAAUGGAACGGCAACACAACAGCAAACAGGAAACAACCAUUUUGAAAACACGAGAAAAGAGGAGACUAUGCCGANNNNNNNNNNNNNNNNNNNNNNNNNNNNNNNNNNNNNNNNNNNNNNNNNNNNNNNNNNNNNNNNNNNNNNNNNNNNNNNNNNNNNNNNNNNNNNNNNNNNAUGAGAGCUGCCGGAGCGCUCUCGAGACCUUCAGUAGUGUCUUCCACAUAAACAAUCUUCCCCUCUUUGAUCUGAGGCAAUACCAUCUCCAGGAACUUUGGAUAGAGAUGAUAGUAAUCGAACACCAAGAAACCUUCCAUUCUAACCUGCUUCAGAAUGAGGUUCAUCAAGUUGUAUGGGCCUUCGGGCUGCUCGAGAUUGUACUGUGAGAUCAGUCCACAUAGUGCGAUUCGGCCACGAAGUUUCAUGUUGAGCAGUACUGCGUCGAGCAUCUUUCCGCCAACAUUUUCAAAGUAGAUAUCGAUGCCCUCGGGGAAGCAUCUAAUCAUUUACCACACAAAAAGUCAAAUGGAGUGGGCUUUAGGAAUGGGUACAUAUUUUAUUUGCUGAAUCAUCAUUGCUGUACUCAUAGCUCACCUUUUCAGUGCUGCAUCCAGAUCCAAUUCCUCCUUGUAGUUGAAAGCAUCAUCGAAUCCAAACUUGUUCUUCAGCAGAUCAACCUUUUUUGCAAAAUAGCAGCAAAAAGAACUUUUAAUACAAUGAAAUUCGGAAGAGAACAGUAAGACUGUAGUUACUGAAAUGAUGAUUAUGUUAUGCAUACAUUCAACAGUGCCAUCACUCUCUUGAGCAUUCUCAAAUUUUAGAAAGACAGCACUCAUCAACUGUGAUAUGAUUACCUUCUCUUUGCUACCAGCGCUGCCAACAACAUAACAACCAAACAACUUUGCAAACUGGCCAACGAGCUGACCGACGGCUCCUGAUGCUGCCGAUAUGAAAACAGUCUCUCCUUUCUUAGGAGAGCAUACCUUGAAAAACCCGGCAUAAGCUGCCAUGCCAGCCAUACCUGCAAAGAUUAAAUUUGUUGAAAUUAGACAAGUCACAGGAUUUGCUGAAACAUAAGUAUAACAGUGUUAUGCUAUGGCAAAAUCUCAAAUGGUCCGAUUAUUGCCCAAAGGUGAAGCCCGUGAGAAAUGUAUUGACUUCUCAAGGAAAGCUACUAUUUCCCUAGAAAUAGCUCAUUUACAUGCUUCUUUCAAAGCGAGAAGAAAGCUUUGCAGUAUUGGCCCUGUCAUUCAGACAAUUCAACACGGCCAUAAGGCUCAUCAGCAAUGAAACUCCCUACAAGUGAUAUCUUAACCAUCUGAUUCUCCUUAUUCAUUAACAAGAAAGAGAUAUUACAGUUGAUGAUUAUAGAGCAUACCCAAAAGGCCAGUGUAGUAAGACAAAGGAACAUCGGUGUGUUCAAUCUUAAAGCAAGCCUCUGGUGCAGUAAUUAGACUAUACUCCCAUCCAGUGAAACCCCAAAGCAAGUCGCCUUUCUUGAAGUUUGGAUGCCCAGAUUCCAAAACUCUAGCUACUCCAUAUCCAGUGAUAGGCUGCAUCAACGUGUUAAAUACUUCAAAUAUAAUUGCAAAUAGUUCAGCAAACAAAAAUAGAUAUUGUACUUCCAAGAAGGAAUGAUACGACAAUUUCAUAAUCAAAUGCACUACAAUAACCAGAGACCCUUACCUUUUGUCUGAUAUUAAAAGUCUGCAAGCUGAGUCAUAUUGAAGCAAGGUAAGUCAAAAUGCAGCUUUCUUAACACUUAAUAUAACUUCCAACAAACCUGGAAGAAGAGCGGCGGACUUCUAAUAGCUCAGCGCGAAUAGAAUUGAAAUCCAUAGUAUUAUGUUGGAAUCCUUAGCAAUUUCUAACGGAUGCAACCAAAACUCUGCUUAUCCCAGAGUCAUGUUAAGUUUAUAUUUUAAUGAAUGCGUCUAAUUAUCCUAUUUCACGUGCAAGCUAUCCACCACCAUUCGUCAUGCUUACACAUGAGUGGGAGUGUGAAGCAACUUGCAUUGCUUAACCCCGUCAUUAUGGGCACUGUGUAAACGUAAGACAUGUAAAAUUGCUAUGCCAAAUAGCAUAAGCGACGUUCUUUUGACACCCUAAGCUCUUCAAUACAUUUGCUGAAUCUUAUACCGACAUCACAAAUCACUUCUACACUUUCAAAGCCACCACCAAUUGGCUCACCAAAGAUUUAGCCAUUGUAUAAAAAAGAAUGAAUAGACAUACAGCACAGAGUCGCUGCCAUCCUCUGAUUCAAAUGAUCGGACAUAAUCAGAACUAAUACUUGACAAGUCCUCGUAUAUUAAUUUAGCCAAACCUCAGAUCAUGAUCCAACACUCAGGGAAACUAAUAUAAUACCCGCCAUCCAUCAACAGAGACACCGCAACUUUCUCCAGAAACAACAUAGUGAAUCCCCAGAGCAAACGGGUCAAACUUAAAGAGGACAAAAAUGUCAUACUCAAGAAAAUCCACAUCAUUCUCAGUGAACUUUUUCUCUUUCUACAUUCUUUUGGAAAAAAAACAGACAGAACUUGACAACAAAUAGAGUACUUAGGCUUGCUCACCGAACCAGGUUUGAAGGAAUCAACAUAACCCGGGAUGUCGAGCUUCGCCAUGCGGGUCCUCAUGUAAGGGUCGCAGGACAAGUAGAGAUUCUUCACGAGGAGGCCGUUCGACCCCUCCGGGAGACGCAACUUCAUGGUCGAUUCCCGCACCUCCAUGUCCGUCUCCUUGGGGAAACCGCUCACGUAGUCCCUGAAUAUCACUUGCAUGUUCUUCACUACCUCCCCAUCCUCACUCGCCAUGGCUCUUCGCUACUCUUUCAGCGAAGCUCCAAACACCCAGAAGAGAGAAGAUGAACAGGCGUGGAGCGUGCUAGUGCGGUAUCGUUCUUAACGACUCAGCUGAGCGUGGAACACGUGAAGAAGUAUUGCGGGACAGAAAAACGUGACCUUUUGUUUCUCCUUGUGGCGUCAGUGGGUGGGAGUAGUUGAUGGGGGCGGUGACGACGGAGCUGAGUGGAGGAUACUGUGGAGCGAGAGCGAGAUGGUUGUGGAGAUACUCCGCGAGGAGGACGAGAGGAUACUGUGCAGCGAGAUGGUUGUGGAGAUACUCCGCGGGGAAGACGACAACAUUCGGGUAUGUUCGGUUGUCGUUGGGAUAACGGGACAAAGGAUCCUAAUUUUUGACUCAAUGUCGAAUAUACUUCUUGAAUUUUUUUAUUUAUUCAAUAUUAUCCAUGAAUUUUAUCUUAAUAUAUAAUAUGAUUGCUGAAUUUUUAAUUUAUUCAAUAUGAUUAUUGAACUUUUGAUAUAUGUUCAAUUUAAUCCAAUAUGGAGAUGUUUAAUAUUGUUAUUUCAUUAAUUCAGACUCAAGUUUAAGCUCAGAGAUAAUAUUAAAUAUUUUCAUAUAGUAUAAUGACUACAUUAAAUAUGUAUUAACAAUUUAGGGACUAAAUUAGCAAUUUAAAAAUUCAUGGACGGCGUUAUAUAUCAGGAUAAAGGUCACGGACCAAAUCGACAAUUUAAAAGUUCAAGAAUGACAUUGUAUAUCAAGAUAAAGUUAAAGAACUAUAUUGAACAAAUUAAAAGUUCAAGGAUCAUAAUGCACAUUAUAACAAAAUUUAGAGACUAUUUGUAUUAUUUUUCUAUUGGUGUUUUCUUGUGCAUUGGAUCAGUUCCGGAGCAUAGUGAUCGGUCAUUUACACAGCUGCUCUUCUUGGUUGGGGGCCUCUCUUUUGUCUUCGUGUUGAACACAGUCGAAAAAUGGUCAUGACCCUCCCAAAGUUUUUACGAGAUGACCUGAAAUUCCACUUCGCUUAGCGAUUGACGCUAGAGGCCACGUGUUUGAUUUUUCAUAAGCAAUAAUUUACAACUAUUUAAAUUAGACAAAUAAUUCUUGAUUUGCUCUUUUCAGCGAAACAAACAGAGCAUAAGAUCACAUAGUUGCAAAGGGUUAAAAGCUGUUAAAAUAUCUCUCUUGUUUAUCUAUUUAUUAGCAGUAAUGGCUGUGACGCAAAGGAUGUUCAGCAGCCUCUCAAGCUUUGCCUAGAGCCCAUGGUGAUGAUGGUUGAUUUAGUGGGCUUGAUGUAUCACACUAAUUCGGAUCGAGUCGAACAGAACGUUGUCCUUCAUUUCUAGCGGUACUGGAUUCGAGUCCAUAACUUGGAGACUUCAACCAUUCAAUGCAAACUUCACUUAUUUGCACGCUCAUAGGGUUCUUUUUCUUGUUCAUGUCGAAGAAAUGCUCGAUAGAGUUUUUCGCUUAUGAUUAUUUUUGUUGUCGUAGUAAGUGUGCUUACUAUAUGUCAAACUUGUGAGAGAUAUAAUGAAUAUCGAGAACCCUCUUCCUAGAGAGUUGAGAGUAUGAAAAAAAGCCCUUUCUUAUAAUUAAUUUUUUUGAGUUGGGGUUAAACACACUCAUGAAAAUUAAGAAAGUCCUAGACGAUUGCAUUUGUGCCAAUUCCAUACUAGACCUUUUAAUGGGGCCAAUUGAGUUAUAAAUCUUUUGCGAUUUACUAAUGUGGUUCAUCUGGCUAAAUUGGCUAACUUUGGCCGGAAAUCAUUGAUGUGAACAGCAAUCAUCCUAUGUGACACGAUUAGCGUUAAUAUUUUUUUUUUAAUAUAUAUCUUUUUCUUUUUUCUUUUCCCUUUUCUUUUCGUUGGCCUCAAUUGGUUGGGACCCCUUACCAAAUAUAGAGAGGUCAACCCUUGCCUAGGCUAGGGUGGCCUCUCUAGGCAUCGCCUAGGGGAGGGUCAGCCUAAGCUAGGCCCAACAAGGGUUGGCUUGGCCAAGUCUAGUGAAUAGGUGCUCGCCCUCGUUCUUGCUCAAUAGAGACUGGCCCUUCCUAGCCAUGGCUGGUGGUUCGCGGCUCGCAACCGGUCAUUGGCAAAAAAAAGUGAAUAAAAAAAUUAUAUAUUUUUUUAAAUUUAAAAAAUUAUCCACGGUCAAUAUUUAUGUCAGUUUUUUUAGUCAAAAUUGGCUAGAUGAACUACACUUUACCAAAAAAAAAAACUACACUUUAUAUUCAAUUGGCCAAAUUGAAAAAUUUUGGACUGAAUUAGCAUAAGUAUAAUAGUUGUAAUAUUUUUUUUUUUGAUUAUUUCUCCUCAUUGUGAAUGACUUCAUUUAUAGAAUAGGACUACAUAAAAAAAAUAAAAAUAAAAAUGAUUGUGGUUAGACGAUUGUAAUCAUACCUUUAUUGUAUACAGGACUCAUCUUGUUGAUAUCUCACUAUAUGCACACCGUCAAAUCAUGAUAAUCCGUUAUUUUUUAGUUUCAUUUCUUUGAUUUGUUUCUUACUCAAAUCAUUAAAUUUGUUCACGCACUUCCGCAUUAUUCGUAGCAAUUUGGCAUCUCAAAUCAGUUUCACUUAAAUACCAUGACACGGUACAAGAAGAAACAUUUCCAUUAACAUUAUUGACAGACAACAAGCCUCCGAAAGCAAAACAGAGCAUGUGCACCCAAAAAUACACUAGGCGACAUUCGCGAAAAGCUACAAACCACCCCGUUUACCAACAUUGACCCCUGAAAACAACACAACCAGAUGGUCCUCUGUAUCAUCCAAUUCAUCCCCAAAGAAACAAACAACCUCUGUGUCCUCGCACAACGGAAUGGCAACACAAAGACAAACAGAAAACAACCCAUUUUGAAAACACGAGAAAAUAGGAGACGACGCCGAUGGAAAAGUACAGAAAGCCGACUCAUUCGUGAGAAACCACCACCACUUGUUUCCCGACAUUGCGGCCGUAAAACAGCCCGAUGAGAGCUGUUGGAGCAUUCUCGAGACCUUCGGCAGUGUCUUCCACAUACACAAUCUUCCCCUCUUUGAUCUGAGGCAAUACCGUCUCCAGGAACUUCGGGUAGAGAUGAUAGUAAUCGGAUACCAUGAAACCUUCCAUCCGAAUCCGCUUCAGGAUAAAAUUUGUCAAGUUGUGUAUGCCUUCGGGCUGCUCGAGAUUGUACUGUGAGAUCAUUCCACAAACUGCGAUUCGGCCAUGAAGUUUCAUGCUGAGCAGCACCGCAUCGAGCAUCUUUCCGCCAACGUUUUCGAAGUAGAUAUCGAUACCCUCGGGGAAGCAUCUAAACAUUUAUAACACAAAAAGUCAAACGGAGGGCGUCAGGAACAGUUACAUAUUUUAUAUCCCGUGCGCCGGUCGCUUAUUUGCUUAAUCAUCACUGCUAUACUCAUAGCUCACCUUUUCAGUGCUGCAUCCAGAUCCUGUUCCUCCUUGUAGUUGAAAGCAUCAUCGAAUCCAAACUUGUUCUUCAGCAAAUCAACCUUUUUCACAAAAAUACCGGCAAAAACAACUCAAAGAAUGAAAUUAGGAAGAGAACAGUAAGAGUGUAGUCAGUAAAAUGAUGACGAUGGUGUACAUUCAAUAGUGCCACCACUCUCUUGAGUAUUCUCAAAUUUAAGAAAGACAGCUCUCAUCAACUGUGACACGAUUACCUUCUCUUUGCUACCAGCGCUGCCAACAACAUAACAACCGAACAACUUUGCCAACUGGCCAACAAGCUGACCAACAGCUCCCGAUGCCGCUGAUAUGAAAACAGUCUCUCCUUUCUUAGGAGAGCAUACUUCGAAAAAACCGGCAUAAGCUGUCAUGCCAGCCAUACCUACAAAUUAUAAAUUUGUAGAAAUUAGACAAAGGUGUAGGAGUGUUAUGCUAUGGCAAAAUCUCAAAUGGUCCGAUUAUUGCCCAAAGGUGAAGCCCGUGAGAAAUGUAUUCUUCUCAAGGAAAGCUACUAUUUCUCUAGAAAUAACCGAUUUACACGCUUCGCAAAGCGAGAAGACAGCUUUGCAGGGCUCUGUCAUUCAGACAAUUUCAUGAGGCCAUAAGGCUCAUCGACAAUGAAGAUCCCUACGAGUAAUAUCCUAAUUAUCUGAUUCCUCCUAUUCAUUAAGAAGACAUAGAUAUUGCAAUCGAUGAUAAAAAAGCGUACCCAAAAGGCCAGUGUAGUAAGACAGAGGAACAUCGGUGUGUUCAAUCUUGAAGCAAGUCUCUGGUGCAGUAAUUAGAGUAUACUCCUCCCAUCCAGUCAAACCCCAAAGCAAGUCGCCUUUCUUGAAGUUUGGAUGCCCGGAUUCCAAAACUCUAGCUACUCCAUAUCCAGUUAUAGGCUGCAUCAAUGCGUUAAAUACUUCAAAUAUAAGUGAAUAAUUUAGCAAACAUAAAUAGACGUUGUACUUCCAAGAAGGAAUGCUUGGACAUAAAGGCAAUUUCAUAGUCAAAUGCGCUACAAUUACCAGAGACCCUUUCACCUUUAAACUUUUUUCUGAUAUUAAAAGUUUGCAACUCGAGUCAUAUUGAAGUAAGGUAAGUCAAAAUGCAGUUUUCCUUAACCCUUGAUAUAACUUCCAACAAACCUAGAAUGGCAUAAUUUUAACACAGCGGGAAUAAAAUCGAAAUCCAUAGCUAUACAUCAGAAUCCUAACAAACACUGCUCAUCCCAGAGUCAUGUUUAUUUUAUAUUUCAAUUAAUACAUCUCAUUGUCCUCUUUCACGUGCAAGCUAUCAGCCGCCAUUCGUCAUGCUUACACAUUACGCGCAUCGCUUAAUCCCAUGAUUAUGCGGACUGAGUAAACGUAAGGAGUGUAAACUUCCUAUGCCAAAUAGCACAAGCGACGCUCUUUCGACACCCUAAGCUCUUCAAUACAUUCGCCAAAUGUUAUACCGACAUCACAAACAAUUUCUACACUUUCAAAGCCACCGAUAAUUGCUCACAAAAGAUUUAGCCAUGAUAUAAAAAAAUGGAUACACAUACCGCACAGAGUCGCUACAAUCCUUUUGAUUCAAAUGAUCGGACAUAAUCAGAACUGAUACUUGACAAGUCCUUGUAUAUUAAUUUGGGCAAACCUGAGAUCAUGAUCCAACACUCAAGGAAAACUGAUAUAAUAUCCGCCAUCCAUCAGCAGAGACACCGCAACUUUCUCCAAAAACAACGUAAUGAAUGCCCAGAGCAAACUUAAAAAGGACAAAAAAAUAUCGUACUCAAGAAAACCCACAUCAUCCUCGAUGAACUUUUUCUCUAUCUAUGUUCUUGUUGAAUUAUGUCUCAAGUUUGAAUCCAUUAUACGAUACCCGAUACGCGCAAAACAUUUUCACGUUGAAACGAGGAAGAACGUCAGCGAAGCAUUUAAUUAAAAUUAAGGAGCGUGCGAUAGGAGCCGAAAAAGAUCCAACCCUUGGCGUUGGAAAUAAAGUCUUCAAUCCAUGGGAUUCUUCUCAUUUGUCAGCAUAAAAUCUGAAGGGGUGAUUGUCCAAAUUCUUCUACGUUAUUAAAUGCAUGCACAUGGCCAUGUGCAUGCAUGCUUGUAGAAGAAUUGGUUGGUCAACACUUGCUGCUUCUGAAGCUACCUCGUAGGCGCCCAAUUUUCUUCUCUUCUUGGUCAUCUUUGUGGACUUCUUUCGUCUUGUUGCGGAUAAAGAAGGAGAGAAGGCAGAAGCUCUUCUACGUGUGUCAGUACACGCUGCUCAGCUCACACGCUAACAUUAAAUGCAUGGAGGCACAUGCUUUGAAGAUCGGUGCCUUCUGACAAUUCUGGAGUACAAUAUUAUUUUGUUUCCUUCUCUUCCACCGAUAAAAAGGAGAAGACGUCUGGAGCUUGAUGAUCUGCGAAAGAAAAGAGCUUCGUAGUGAGCGAGAGAAAAGAGCUCGAGAGAGAGAGAGUGCGAGGCUUGAGCUCAGAGAGGUUUUGUGCGGAAGUUGAGUCCAUUGAUUUGUUUUGUUAAACACCGUGGGUAUUGGGUAUAAAGUAGGGCUGGGAAACACUUGAGUGCAUAUGUGAUUGUAAUCCUGUAAUUCUCCGAUUUAUAGUGGAUUGAUUUGCUGGCUCUCCCCGUGGACGUAGGUUCCGACAUUCGGACCGAACCACGUAAAUUUCCGGUGUCCUUUUGUUCCUCGUUUUAUUUCGAUCGAUUUCUAUAGCUCCCGACAUAAUUGCAAAAUAUACGAUCCGCUUCCGCUGUAUACGAUCCGCUUCCGCUACGACGCUGAUUCAUUACAACAAUUGGUAUCAGAGCUAAGACUUUGCAAUUAUGUCUGGAGCAAAAGUAGAAAUUGAGAAAUUUAACGGGAGGAACAACUUUGGGUUAUGGAGCAUCAAGAUGAAGGCGCUAUUAACAACUCAAGGAUUAGCCAAGGCAUUGGAGGGCAAGGCUCAGUUGCCCGAAACAAUGCGAGAUGCCGAAAAGGACGAGCUAAUGGAGAAGGCCAAGAGCAUCAUCCUGUUGAACUUAUCGGAUGAAGUGCUAAUAGAGGUGGCUAAGGAGGAGGAUGCCGCAGCGUUAUGGGCCAAACUCCAGGCCCUCUAUGUAAAGAAGGGUUUGAACAAUCGCUUAUAUAUGCUAAAGAGAAUGUUCCAGUUCCGAUACACUGAAGGUACGUCCAUUAGAUCCCACCUAGAUGAGUUUAAUAAACUCAUGAUGGACUUGAAGAAUGUUGGCAAGAUUUUAGAUGAUGAAGAACAAGGCAUGAUGUUGUUGGCAUCUUUACCGGAGUCAUGGGAGCACUUUACCGACUCCUUGUUACAGGGGCGUACUACGAUUACCUCAGAAGAGGUAAAAUCUGCCCUGUUUUCAAAGGAGUGGCAGAGAAAGUUGCGUGAUGACAGUCUAGCGCAAGAUGUAGCGCGUGGACUGGUGAUUCGAGGUAGAGACCAACAUCGGAGGCCUAGCAACAGAAGUUAAAGCAAAAGCAGGUCGAAGUCGCGACAUAGAAAAUCAAAAGGUCGCGUGAAGUGCUUCGAAUGUCACGAGGAGGGGCACAUAAGGAGAAAUUGUCCAAAGCUAAGAAAUAAAGGCGUUUGGCAAAAUGCCACAAGCAGUGUGGCGAAUGUUGCCGAGGAGAGUACCAGUGAUGCCGAGGCUGUCCUAUGUGUAUCUACAAGUUCGUCAGGAGACGAAUGGGUGCUAGAUUCUGGAUGUUCCUAUCACAUGACUCCUCACAAGAACUGGUUCACUACCUACCAGACUGCAGAUGGUGGUAGAGUUCUUUUGGGGAAUAAUGCAGCCUGCAAUGUUGUGGGGAUAGGAACAGUUCGGAUCCGAAUGCACGAUGGCGUAGAACGGACGUUGACAGACGUAAGGCAUGUACCGACGCUGAAGAAGAGCCUUAUUUCUCUGGGUACACUCGAUGACCUCGGGUGCAAAUACACAGCUGAAGGUGGAGUGCUGAAGAUCUCUCGAGGUGCCCUGACAGUGAUGAAAGGGAAGAAGGCAAAUUCUCUCUAUCAUCUACUGGGAGAAACCGUGACCGGAGUUGCUGCAGUUUCAUCAGGUGAGUCAGACUCAAAUUUGACUCAGUUAUGGCAUAUGCGAUUGGGACACAUGAGUGAGGCAGGUAUGACAAUGCUGAGUGAGAAGGGGUUGCUGAAAGGUCAGAAGACAGGAAAGCUAGACUUGUGUGAGCACUGCAUCUUCGGGAAGCAGCGUCGUGUUAAAUUUGGUACAGCUCUACAUUCGACCAAGCAACCGGUCGAAUACAUUCAUUCAGAUGUUUGGGGACCGUCUCCAGUUCCAUCAAAAGGAGGUGCCAGAUAUAUGCUGACAUUCAUCGACGAUUACUCAAGGAAGGUAUGGGUGUACUUCUUGAAGCACAAAUCCGAGGUAUUUGAUCAGUUCAAGAAUUUUAAGGCAUUGAUUGAGAAGCAGUCAAGUAAACAAAUCAAGUGCCUGAGAACUGAUAAUGGCAUGGAGUUCUGUGGUAAGGACUUUACCGAGUUCUGCCAAAAGGAAGGGAUUGUGAGACACCGCACAGUUCCCGGGACACCACAGCAGAAUGGCGUAGCAGAACGGAAGAACAGAACUCUACUCGAGCGAGCUCGGUGCAUGCUUUCGCAUGCAGGAUUGGGCAAGGAAUUUUGGGCCGAAGCAAUAAAUAUGGCGUGUUACCUGGUUAAUCGAUCUCCAUCUUCUGCUAUCGAGUGGAAGACUCCUGAAGAAGUAUGGUCGGGGAAACCUGUUGAUUACUCCGGAUUACGAAUAUUCGGAUGUCCUGCGUAUGCUCAUGCGAGAGAUGGUAAGCUUGAGCCGAGAGCAAAGAAGUGCAUAUUUCUGGGUUAUGCACAAGGGGUGAAAGGCUACCGGCUGUGGUGCACUGAUCCCAGAUCACCCGGUUUUCUAAUCAGCAGAGACGUGAUCUUCGACGAGACUGCAAUGCUUCAAAAGAGGAGUCUUGAGACUCAACCAGCAGAGCAAACGGAUCAUGGUGUUAUGCUUCAAAAGAGGAGUCUUGAGACUCAACCAGCAGAGCAAACGGAUCAUGGUGUUAGAAGUGAGGUGGAGAUUCAGGCGGAGUCUCCAAAGACCUCAGAGGUAACAGAGGAAGAGAUUGCUGAUGAGGCCACAAUUCCUGAAGACGGUGAUACUGAACAACCAGCAGAGCCACAACACAACAUAGCCACGAGCAGACAAAGAAGGCAAAUUAAACCACCGGUACGUUAUGGUUAUUCUGAUAUUGCCUAUGCAUUAACUGUAGGUGAUGAGGUGGAGAUGGAUGAGCCUUCAUCCUAUUCUGAGGCGAUGGCUAGUGUUGAGUCAUCACAGUGGCUAGAGGCUAUGAGUGAAGAAAUAGAAUCACUCUAUCGAAAUCAGACAUGGGAGUUGAUCAAAGUACCCAAAAGUCAGAAAAUUGUUGGAUGCAAAUGGGUCUACAAACGGAAAGAAGGCAUUCCCGGUGUAGAGGCAGCCAGGUUCAAGGCGAGACUUGUUGCGAGGGGGUAUACUCAACGAGAGGGCAUCGACUACAAUGAAGUGUUCUCUCCUGUGGUAAGGCAUACCUCUAUUCGUGUAUUACUUGCAUUAGUUGUUGCACAGGAUCUUGAGCUGGAGCAGCUAGAUGUGAAAACGGCAUUUCUUCAUGGUGAAUUGGAGGAACAAAUUUACAUGAAGCAGCCUGAGGGAUUUGCUAUUCCAGGUAAGGAAGACCAUGUUUGCUUAUUGAAGAAAUCAUUGUAUGGAUUGAAACAAUCUCCUAGACAAUGGUAUAAGCGUUUUGAUGCUUUCAUGACUAGUCAAGAUUAUUCGAAAAGUCAAUUUGAUAGUUGUGUUUAUUUUAGGAGAUUGGAGGAUGGGUCUUUGAUUUAUUUGCUAUUAUAUGUUGAUGAUAUGUUAAUAGCAGCUAAACAUAUGUCUGAUAUUGAUGUGUUGAAGCGGCAGUUGAGUGCUGAGUUUGAAAUGAAAGAAUUAGGUGCUGCUAAGAAAAUAUUGGGUAUGGAAAUUUUGCGUGACAAAGCUGCAGGAACGUUGCGUUUGUCUCAAAAGAAAUACAUUGAAAAGAUCGUGGCAUGUUUUAAUAUGCAGUCAGCAAAAUCUGUAAGUACUCCUUCAGCCGCACAUUUCAAACUUUCUGACAAGUUAUCACCGCAAACUGAGGAGGAGGAGGAACAUAUGUCCCGUGUUCCUUAUUCUAGUGCAGUGGGUAGUAUUAUGUAUGCCAUGGUAUGUACUAGACCUGACAUUUCACAAGCUGUAAGUGUUGUCGGCCGUUACAUGAAGCACCCAGGUAAGACUCAUUGGGAAGCCGUGAAAUGGAUCCUCAGAUAUCUAAAAGGGACAGCAGACGUCGGCGUUAUGUAUCGGAGGAACGUCAAUGGCAAUGAGACCACAGGGUACGUGGAUUCAGAUUACGCCGGUAACUUGGAUGAUCGCAGAUCGUUAGCAGGGUACGUGUUUACGCUAGCAGGUGGUGCAAUAAGUUGGAAAGCGUCUUUACAAGAUGAUGUUGCAUUGUCUUCAACUGAGGCGGAGUACAUGGCACUAACCUUUGUUGCAAAGGAGUCGAUAUGGCUAAGGGGUUUGCUCUCGGACCUUGGACUGGAGCAGAAAAGUGUCACCAUACACUGUGACAAUCAAGGUGCGAUAUAUUUGGCUUAUAAUCCAAUAUAUCAUGAGCGAACAAAACAUAUCGACAUCAGGUACCAUUUCAUCCGAUAUGUCAUAGCGAAGGGUAAAAUUGUUGUGAAGAAAAUAGCAACAGCGGAGAACCCAGCAGAUAUGAUGACGAAGCACGUUCCUUCAGCAAAGCUCGAGCUCUGUAUGAGCUCGAUUGGCGUCUGUAGAAUAUGAGCGCCCAUCGGGGCGUUGGGAGAGCCGAGCAUGGAAAAUAAUCACUAUAACUUGGCUUCAAACGUUGAGCCAAGGUGGAGAAUUGUUGAAUUAUGUCUCAAGUUUGAAUCCAUUAUACGAUACCCGAUACGCGCAAAACAUUUUCACGUUGAAACGAGGAAGAACGUCAGCGAAGCAUUUAAUUAAAAUUAAGGAGCGUGCGAUAGGAGCCGAAAAAGAUCCAACCCUUGGCGUUGGAAAUAAAGUCUUCAAUCCAUGGGAUUCUUCUCAUUUGUCAGCAUAAAAUCUGAAGGGGUGAUUGUCCAAAUUCUUCUACGUUAUUAAAUGCAUGCACAUGGCCAUGUGCAUGCAUGCUUGUAGAAGAAUUGGUUGGUCAACACUUGCUGCUUCUGAAGCUACCUCGUAGGCGCCCAAUUUUCUUCUCUUCUUGGUCAUCUUUGUGGACUUCUUUCGUCUUGUUGCGGAUAAAGAAGGAGAGAAGGCAGAAGCUCUUCUACGUGUGUCAGUACACGCUGCUCAGCUCACACGCUAACAUUAAAUGCAUGGAGGCACAUGCUUUGAAGAUCGGUGCCUUCUGACAAUUCUGGAGUACAAUAUUAUUUUGUUUCCUUCUCUUCCACCGAUAAAAAGGAGAAGACGUCUGGAGCUUGAUGAGCUGCGAAAGAAAAGAGCUUCGUAGUGAGCGAGAGAAAAGAGCUCGAGAGAGAGAGAGUGCGAGGCUUGAGCUCAGAGAGGUUUUGUGCGGAAGUUGAGUCCAUUGAUUUGUUUUGUUAAACACCGUGGGUAUUGGGUAUAAAGUAGGGCUGGGAAACACUUGAGUGCAUAUGUGAUUGUAAUCCUGUAAUUCUCCGAUUUAUAGUGGAUUGAUUUGCUGGCUCUCCCCGUGGACGUAGGUUCCGACAUUCGGACCGAACCACGUAAAUUUCCGGUGUCCUUUUGUUCCUCGUUUUAUUUCGAUCGAUUUCUAUAGCUCCCGACAUAAUUGCAAAAUAUACGAUCCGCUUCCGCUACGACGCUGAUUCAUUACAACAGUUCUUUUGGAAAAAGAAAAAGAAAAAAGAGACAGAACUUGACAACGAAAAGAGUACUUAGGCUUGCUCACCGAACCAGGUCUGAAGGGUUCGACAUAAACCGGGACAUUGGGUUUCGUCAUGCGGAACCUCAUGUAAGGGUCGCAGGACAAGUAGAGAUUUUUCACGAGAAGGCCGUUCGAGCCCUCCAGGAGACGCAACUUCAUGGUCGACUCACGCACCUCCAUGUCCGUAUUCUCGGGGAAACCACUCACGUAGUCCCUGAAUAUCACUUGCUUGUUCCUCACUGCCUCCCCGUUCUCGCCUGCCAUCGCUCUUCACUACUCUUUCGGCAAAACUCGGAACACUUAGAAGAGAGAAGAUGAGCAGGCGUAGAGUGUGCGAGUGCGGUAUCGUUUCUAGCGACUCAGCUGAGCGUGGAACGCAUGAAGAGGUCACGCGGGACAGAAAAGAAGGCGACCUUUUGGUUGAAAAAUGUUGGGUUAGCAGGCGGGGAUGGUAGUUUAUGGGGACGGUGACGAUGGAGGUGCGUGGAGGAUCAUGAGGAGCGAGAGAGAUGGUUUUGGAGUACUUAAAUUUUGGUUGAAUGUAUAUCAUGAUCUAUGAAUUUUUUAUUCAUUCAAUGUUUUUCCCAAACUCCAUUUCAAUAUGUAAGGUAGUCUCUGAACUGUAUCUUAAUAUGUAAUGUGGUCUCCGGAUUAUAUAAAAAUGUUGAAUGCUAUCAUUCUAUUAAUUCAAGCUCAUGGAUAAUAUUAAAUAUCUUCAUAUAAUCAAAUGUACACUAGAUAUGUUCCAAAAGUUUGGGUACCAAUUUGACAAUUUAAAAGUUUAGGGACAAUAUUACAUAUCGGGAUAAAAUUCAGUAGUCACAUCGCAUAUUGGGUAAAAAUUCAUAAACUAUUUGUGUCGUUUUCCUAUUGGUGUUUUCUUGUGCAUUGGAUCAGUUCAGGAACAUCGUUGGGGGCUUCUCUUUUGUCGUCAGGUCGAAUAUGCCCGAGAAUGUUCAUGACCCUCCCAAGGUUUUUAUAAGGGGAUCUAAAAGUCCACUUUUCGCUUAGUGACUACGCCAGAAGAUAUGUGUUCGACUUUUCACAAGCAAUAAUUUAAGACUAUUGAAAUUAGAAAAAUAAUUUUUGCUUUGUCCUUUUCAGCGAAACAAAUGGAAUCUAAAAUCACAUAGUCGCAAAGGGUUAAAGCUGUUAAAAUAUCUCUCUUGCUUGUCUAAUUAUUAGUAGAAAUGGCUGUGACACUGAGGAUGUCCAGCAGCCUUUCAAGCUUUGCCAAGAACACACGGUGAUGAUGCUUGAUUUGGUGGGCUUGAUUUAUCACUAAUUCGGAUCGAGUCGAACAGAACGUUGUCCUUCAUUUCUAGCGGCUGGAUUCGAGUCCAUAACUGGGAAAUUUCAACCAUCCAAUGCAGACUUCGCUUAUUUGCACGCUCAAAGAGUUCUCUUCCUUGUUGAUGUCGAAGAAAUGCUCAUAGAGUUCUUCGCAUAUAAUUAUUUUAUUGUUCUAGCAAGUGAGCUUAACUUGUGUGAAGCUUGUGAGAGAUACAGAGAAUAUUGAGAGCCCUCUUCCAAAAGAGUCGAGAGAACGAAAAAGAGCCCUUUCUUAUUAUUAAUUUUUGUGAGUUGGGGUUGAAUUUAGAAUUGGAACACACUUGUGAAAUGGAAAUUAUCAAGAAAGUCCUAGACGAUUGUACUUUUGCUAAUUCCGUCCUAAAUCUUUUAACGUGGCUAAUUGAGUUUUGAACCUUUCAACAAUUUACCGGUAUAGUUCAUCAAACCAAAAUUGGCCAAUUUUGGCAGGAAAUCAUUGACUUAAAUGCCAACCAUCUUAUGAGGCACAAUUGGCGUUAAUACUGAUAAUUUUUAAUUUAUUUUUUUCUUUUUUCUUCUCUCUUUUGUUUUCGCCAGGCCUCACCUGGGCGAGCCCCUUUGCUAGAUUUGGAGAGCUCAACCUUUGCCCAGGCCAAGGUUGCCUCGCUAAGUGUCACCUAGGGGAGGGUUGGCCUAGGCAAGGCCCGGUAAGCGUCUGCUUGGCCUAGUUUGGUAUGGCGAAUAGGCGCUCGCCCUCGCCCCGGUGAGACUAGGCAAGGCUGAUACUCGUCGGACCUUGCGUAGUCUCUAAAAUUUUAAUUUAUUUAAUGUAAUUUGUGAAUUUUUGGUAUAUGUUUAAUUUAAUCCCUAUACUAUAUGAAGAUGUUUAAUUUAUUCAAGGUCGAGCUCAGGCUUAGAGACAAUAUUAAAUAUUCUUAUAUAGUACAAUGACUACAUUAAGCAUUUAUUAAAAGUUUAGAGACCUAAUUGGCAAUUUAAAAAUCAUGGAUGCCAUUGUAUAUUAGGAUAAAGUUAAGGGACCAAAUCGAUUAUUUAAAAAUUCAUAGAAAAAAUUGCAUAUCAGGAUAAAGUUCCGGGACUAUAUUUAACAAAUUAAAAUUCAAGAACCACAAUGCACAUUAGACCAAAAUUCAGAGAUUAUUUGCGUCAUCUUUCUGUUGGUGUUUUCUUGUGCAUUGGAUCAUUUCAGAAGCAUAGUGAUUGGUCAUUGACACCGCCGCUCUUCUUGGUUGGGGACCUCUCUUUCAUCAUUAGGUCAAACACAAUCGAAAAAUGGUCAUGACCCUCACGAGAUGACUUGAAAGUCUGUUUUCGCUUAGCGAUUGACGCUAGAGGACACGUAUUUGAUUUUUCAUAAGCAAUAAUUUACAACUAUUAAAAUUAAGCAAAUAAUUCUUGAUUUGCUCUUUUCAGCGAAACAAACAGAACCAAAGAUCACAUGGUUGCAAAGGGUUAAAAGCUGUUAAAAUGUCUCUCUUGUUUGUCUAUUUAUUAGCAGUAAUGGCUGUGACGCAAAGGAUGUUCAGCAGCCUCUCAAGCUUUGCCUAGAGCCCAUGGUGAUGAUGUUUGAUUUAGUGGGCUUGAUGUAUCACACUAAUUCGGAUCGAGUCGAACAGAACGUUGUCCUUCAUUUCUAGCGGUACUGGAUUCGAGUCCAUAACUUGGAGACUUCAACCAUUCAAUGCAAACUUCACUUAUUUGCACGCUCAUAGGGUUCUUUUUCUUGUUCAUGUCGAAGAAAUGCUCGAUAGAGUUUUUCGCUUAUGAUUAUUUUUGUUGUCGUAGUAAGUGUGCUUACUAUAUGUGAAACUUGUGAGAGAUAUAGUGAAUAUCGAGCACCCUCUCCCUAGAGAGUUGAGAGUAUGAAGAAAAAGCCCUUUCUUAUAAGUAAUUUUUUUGAGUUGGGGUUAAACACACUCAUGAAAAUUAAGAAAGUCCUAGACGAUUGCAUUUGUGCCAAUUCCAUACUAGACCUUUUAAUGGGGCCAAUUGAGUUAUAAAUCUUUUGCGAUUUACUAAUGUGGUUCAUCUGGCUAAAAUUGGCUAACUUUGGCCGGAAAUCAUUGACGUGGACAGCAAUCAUCCUAUGUGACACGAUUAGCGUUAAUAUAAUUUUUUUUAAUAUAUAUAUUUUUCUUUUUUCUUUUCCCUUUUCUUUUCGUUGGCCUCAAUUGGCUGGGACCCCUUACCAAAUAUAGAGAGGUCAACCCUUGCCAAGGCUAGGGUGGCUUCUCUCGGCAUCGCGGGGAGGGUUGGCCUAAGCUAGGCCCAACAAGGGUUGGCUUGGCCAAGUCUAGUGAAUAGGUGCUCGCCCUUGUUCUUGCUCAAUAGAGACCGGCCCUUCCUAGCCAUGGCUAGUGGUUUGCGGCUCGCAAUCGGUCAUUGGCAAAAAAAAAGUGAAUAAAUAAAUUAUAUUUUUAUAAAUUUAAAAAAUUAUUCACGGUCAAUAUUUAUGUCAGUGAUUUCCAGCCAAAAUUGGCUAGAUGAACUAUACUUUAUAUUCAAUUGGCCAAAUUGAAAAAUUUUGGACUGAAUUAACAUAAGUAUAAUAGUUGUAAUAUUUUUUUUUUUGAUUAUUUCUCCUCAUUGUGAAUGACUUCAUUUAUAGAAUAGGACUACAUAAAAGAAAUAAAAAUAAAAAUGAUUGUGGUUAGACGAUUGUAAUCAUACCUUUAUCGUACAUAGGACUCAUCUUGUUGAUAUCUCACCAUAUGCACACCGUCAAAUCACGAUAAUCCAUUAUUUUUGAGUUUCAUUUCUUUGAUUUAUUUCUUACUCAAAUCAUUAAAUUUGUUCAUGCACUUCCGCAUUAUUCGUAACAAUUUGGCAUCUCAAAUCAGUUUCACUUAAAGACGGUGACACGGUACAAAAAGAAACAUUUCCAUUAACAUUAUAGACAGACAACAAGCCUCCGAAAGCAAAACAGAGCAUGUGCACCCAAAAGUACACUAAGCGACAUUCGCGAAAAGCUACAAACCACCCCGUUUACCAACAUUGACCCCUGAAAACAACCGAACCAGAUCGUCCUCUGUAUCCUCCGAUUCAUCCCCAAAGAAACAAACAACCUCUGUGUCCUCGCACAACGGAAUGGCAACACAAAGACAAACAGAAAACAACCCAUUUUGAAAACACGAGAAAAUAGGAGACGACGCCGAUGGAAAAGUACAGAAAGCCGACUCAUUCGUGAGAAACCACCACCACUUGUUUCCCGACAUUGCGGCCGUAGAACAGCCCGAUGAGAGCUGUUGGAGCAUUCUCGAGACCUUCGGCAGUGUCUUCCACAUACACAAUCUUCCCCUCUUUGAUCUGAGGUAAUACUGUUUCCAGGAACUUCGGGUAGAGAUGAUAGUAAUCGGAUACCACGAAACCUUCCAUCCGAAUCCGCUUUAGGAUAAAAUUUGUCAAGUUAUGUAUGCCUUCGGGCUGCUCGAGAUUGUACUGUGAGAUCAUUCCACAAACCGCGAUUCGGCCAUGAAGUUUCAUGCUGAGCAGCACCGCAUCGAGCAUCUUUCCGCCAACGUUUUCGAAGUAGAUAUCGAUACCCUCGGGGAAGCAUCUAAACAUUUAUAACACAAAAAGUCAAACGGAGUGGGCGUCAGGAACAGUUACAUAUUUUAUAUCCCGUGCGCUAGUCGCUUAUUUGCUUAAUCAUCACUGCUAUACUCAUAGCUCACCUUUUCAGUGCUGCAUCUAGAUCCAGUUCCUCCUUGUAGUUGAAAGCAUCAUCGAAGCCAAACUUGUUCUUUAGCAAAUCAACCUUUUUCGCAAAUAUACCGGCAAAAACAACUUUUGAAAGAAUGAAAUUCGGAAGAGAACAGUAAGACUGUAGUCAGUAAAACACAUCACUCUCUUGAGCAUUCUCAAAUUUAAGAAAGGCAGCUCUCAUCAACCGUGACACGAUUACCUUCUCUUUGCUACCAGCGCUGCCAACAACAUAACAACCGAACAACUUUGCAAAAUGGCCAACAAGCUGACCAACAGCUCCCGAUGCCGCUGAUAUGAAAACAGUCUCUCCUUUCUUAGGAGAGCAUACUUCGAAAAAACCGGCAUAAGCUGUCAUGCCAGCCAUACCUACAAAUUAUAAAUUUGUAGAAAUUAGACAAAGGUGUAGGAGUGUUAUGCUAUGGCAAAAUCUCAAAUGGUCCGAUUAUUGCCCAAAGGUGAAGCCCGUGAGAAAUAUAUUCUUCUCAAGGAAAGCUACUAUUUCUCUAAAAAUAACCGAUUUACACGCUUCCCAAAGCGAGAAGACAGCUUUGCAGGGCUCUGUCAUUCAGACAAUUGAAUGAGGCCAUAAGGCUCAUCGACAAUGAAGAGCCCUACGAGUAAUAUCUUAAUUAUCUGAUUCCUCCUAUUCAUUAAGAGGACAUAGAUAUUGCAAUCGAUGAUAAAAAAGCGUACCCAAAAGGCCAGUGUAGUAAGACAGAGGAACAUCAGUGUCUUCAAUCUUGAAGCAAGUCUCUGGUGCAGUAAUUAGAGUAUACUCCUCCCAUCCGGUGAAACCCCAAAGCAAGUCGCCUUUCUUGAAGUUUGGAUGCGCGGAUUCCAAAACUCUAGCUACUCCAUAACCAGUUAUAGGCUGCAUCAAUGCGUUAAAUACUUCAAAUAUAAGUGAAUAAUUUAGCAAACAUAAAUAGACAUUGUACUUCCAAGAAGGAAUGAUUGGACAAAGACAAUUUCAUAGUCAAAUGCGCUACAAUAACCAGAGACCCUUUCACCUUUAAACUUUUUUCUGAUAUUAAAAGUUUGCAACUCGAGUCAUAUUGAAGUAGGGUAAGUCAAAAUGCAGUUUUCCUUAAGCCUUGAUAUAACUUCCAACAAACCUAGAAUGGCAUAAUUUUAACACAGCGGGAAUAAAAUCGAAAUCCAUAGCUAUACAUCAGAAUCCUAAGCAAUAUGCUGAAGGAUCCAACCAAAACACUGCUCAUCCCAGAGUCAUGUUUAUUUGAUAUUUCAAUUAAUACAUCUCAUUGUCCUCUUUCACGUGCAAGCUAUCAGCCACCAUUCAUCAUGCUUACACAUUACUCGCAUCGCUUAAUCCCAUGAUUAUGCGGACUGUGUAAACGUAAGGAAUGUAAAAUUCCUAUGCCAAAUAGCACAAGCGACGCUCGUUCAACACCCUAAGCUCUUCAAUACAUUCGCCAAAUAUUAUACGACAUCACAAACAAUUUCUACACUUUCAAAGCCACCGAUAAUUGCUCACAAAAGAUUUAGCCAUGAUAUAAAAAAAAAAAAAAAUGGAUACACAUACAGCACAGAGUCGCUACAAUCCUUUUGAUUCAAAUGAUCGGAUAUUAUCAGAACUAAUACUUGACAAGUCCUUGUAUAUUAAUUUAGGCAAACCUGAGAUCAUGAUCCAACACUCAGGAAAACUGAUAUAAAAUCCGCCAUCCAUCAGCAGAGACACCGCAACUUUCUCCAGAAACAACAUAAUGAAUGCCCAGAGCAAACUUAAAAAGGACAAAAAAUAUCAUCGUCAAGAAAACCCACAUCAUCCUAGAUGAACUUUUUCUCUAUCUAUGUUCUUUUGGAAAAAAGAAGAAGAAAAAGAGACAGAACUUGACAACGAAAGGAGUACUUAGGCUUGCUCACCGAACCAGGUCUGAAGGGUUCGACAUAUACCGGGACAUUGGGUUUCGUCAUGCGGAAUUUUAUGUAAGGGUCGCAGGACAAGUAGAGAUUUUUCACGAGAAGGCCGUCCGAGCCCUCCACGAGACGCAACUUCAUGGUCGACUCACGCACUUCCAUGUCCGUAUCCUCGGGGAAACCACUCACGUAGUCCCUGAAUAUCACUUGCUUGUUCCUCACUGCCUCCCCAUUCUCGCCUGCCAUUGGUCUUCUUUACUCUUUCGGCAAAACUCGGAACACCCAGAAGAGAGAAGAUGAGCAGGCGUGGAGUGUGCGAGUGCAGUAUCGUUUCUAGCGACUCAGCUGAGCGUGGAACGCAUGAAGAGGCCACGCGGGACAGAAACGAAGGCGACCUUUUGGUUUCGCCCUGUGGGUCAGCAGGCGGGGGUUGGUAGUUUAUGGGGACGGUGACGAUGGAGGUGCGUGGAGGAUCAUGAGGAGCGACACAGAUGGUUUUGGAGUACUUAAAUUUUGGUUCAAUGUAUAUCAUGAUCUUUGAAUUUUUUAUUCAUUCAAUCCAAAACCAUCUCUCUCGCCCUGUGGGUCAGCAGGCGGGGGAUGGUAGUUUAUGGGGACGGUGACGAUGGAGGUGCGUGGAGGAUCAUGAGGAGCGAGGGAGAUGGUUUUGGAGUACUUAAAUUUCGGUUCAAUGUAUAUAAUAAUCUUUGAAUUUUUUAUUCAUUCAAUGUUGUUCCCAAACUUCAUCUCGUAAUGUAGUCUUUGAACUUUAUCUUAAUAACCGACCAAAAAAAAAACUUUAUCUUAAUAUGUAAUGUGGUCUCCGGACUAUAUAAAAUGUUGAAUAUUGUCGUUCUAUUAAUUCAAGCUCAUCGACAAUAUGAAAUAUCUUUAUAUAAUCAAAUGUACAUUAGAUAUGUACCAAAAAUUCGGGUACUAAUUUGACAAUUUAAAAGUUUAGGGACAACAUUAUAUAUUGGGAUAAAAUUCAGGAGUCACAUUGCAUAUUGGGUAAAAAUUCAUACACUAUUUGUGUCGUUUUCCUAUUGGUGUUUUCUUGUGCGUUGGAUCAGUUCAGGAGCAUCGUUGGGGGCUUCUCUUUUGUCGUCAGGUCAAUUAUGGCCGAGAAUGGUCAUGACCCUCCCAAGGUUUUUAUAAGGGGAUCUAAAAGUCCAGUUUUCGCUUAGUGACUACGCCAGAAGAUAUGUGUUCGACUUUUCACAAGCAAUAAUUUGAGACUAUUGAAAUUAUAAAAAUAAUUUUUACUUUGUCCUUUUUAAGCGAAACAAAUGGAAUCUAAAAUCACAUAGACGCAACAUUGGUUUGACAACUAGCACCCUAGGUCUGACAAAUGGAAUCCUUCUAUUGGAGGAUUGGAGAUGGCCUCUCUACCUCCUUAUGGUUUGACAACUGGCACUCUAGGGGCCCCCUAAACUUAAUUUUUUCGGACUCAUUCAUCUACAGUUCAGGGCUUUCUAGGCAGGCAACAGUGGCUGAUCUCUUCUCUGAUGCUGGGCAACCUCUCAAGUUGGUGCUUGAGUCAUAGGAUCAUCCUCUCCCAAGCCCCUCUCAGAAUUCGAAUUGCUUUUGCUAGAGGGAGAAUUCGUUAGGACGCUUCACUAUUGCGACGGCUUGGGAGACCUUUAGGUAGAAGAGGACUCGGGUCAUUUGGCAUACGUUCGUCUGGAACAAUGAAAUUACACCACGGUAUCAAGUAAACCUAUGGCUUCUAGCUAAGCGCAGGCUGCCCACCUAGACACUUUUAUUGUCACAUGGCAGAAUAGAUAGUGGUGCUUGUGCCUUCUACAAUGAUGUACUGGAUUCUAUUGACAAAAUGUUUUUUGGGUAUUGUGUCACAGCCAGGGUUGCCUUCUCUUGGGCGGCCAAAUGCAAUCUACCUUGGCAUAAUAGGUCGUGGGAGGACAAUCUCCGUUGGGCCACCACCAUGCUUAUGGGAAAGGAGUUUUAUAAGUGUAUAGAUCACUUCUCCUUCAGAGCAUUGUGUCAUAUUAUUUGGAACAACAGGAACAACAUUCUCUUCAGAGAACAACCUCUUUCUGUCUCGGCUAUGAAGAACGAUCUCUUUAAAGUGGUUAGAGAUAAGGUGAUCACCGUUAGAAAUGUUGAAGAUAACUUCAGGAAUAGAAGGUUGCAGCGGAGCUGGGGCAUUGACCCUGUCAUCUUCUCUAGGGAUCGUUAAUUCCCUUCCUUUCAGCUGGUGCGUCUUGAUUAAGGUAGUUGGUGCAGCGGCUCUUACUGCUUCCUGAGGAUGGUUCUCUCCCUAACUGAGGCCGUUUUGUAUAUGUUCGCCGGUUGUUCAUGCCGUGCUUUUCCUUUCUAGUUGUUAGUGGGUUGCCACGACAGUGGCUUUUACAUCCCGGUAUCCUUCCACUCAUUAUGAUAUGUUGUUUUGAGUGUGGGUUUUGAUACCGUGAUCUCUUUGUCUCAAUUGUUUCUUUCCUCAAUAUAUUUAUUACCUUUCACAAAAAGAAGAAGAAGAAGUUACAUAGUCGCAAAGGGUUAAAGCUGUUAAAAUAUCUCUCUUGCUUGUCUAAUUAUUAGUAGAAAUGGCUGUGACACUGAGCAUGUCCAGCAGCCUUUCAAGCUUGGCCAAGAAAACACAUUGAUGAUGCUUGAUUUGGUGGGCUUAUCACUAAUUCGGAUCGAGUCGAACAGAACGUAGUCCUUCAUUUCUAGCGUGCUGGAUUCGAGUCCAUAACUGGGAAAUUUCAACCAUUCAAUGCAGACUUCGCUUAUUUGCACGCUCAUAGAGUUCUUUUCCUUGUUGAUGUCGAAGAAAUGCUCAUAGAGUUCUUCGCAUAUAAUUAUUUUAUUGUUCUAGCAAGUGAGCUUAACUUGUGUGAAGCUUGUGAGAGAUACAGAGAAUAUUGAGAGCCCUCUUCCAAAAGAGUCGAGAGAACGAAAAAGAGCCCUUUCUUAUUAUUAAUUUUUGUGAGUUGGGGUUGAAUUUAGAAUUGGAACACACUUGUGAAAUGGAAAUUAUCAAGAAAGUCCUAGACGAUUGUACUUCUGCUAAUUCUGUCCUAAAUCUUUUAAUGUGGCUAAUUGAGUUCUAAACCUUUCAACGAUUUACCAGUAUAGUUUAUCAAACCAAAAUUGGCCAAUUUUGGCAGAAAAUCACUGACUUAAACGCCAACCGUUUUAUGUGGCACAACUGGCAUUAAUACUAACAAGUUUUAAUAUAUAUAUAUAUAUAUAUAUAUAUAUAUAUAUAUUUUUUUUUUUUUUUUUCUUUUUUCUUUUUUCUUCUCCCGUUUGUUUUUGCCGGGCCUCACCUGGGCAAGCCCCUUUGCUAGAUUUGGAGAGCUCAACCUUUGCCCAAGCCAAGGUGGCCUCGCUAAGUGUCACCUAGGGGAGAGUUGGCCUAGUCAAGGCUCGAUAAGGGUCUGCUUGGCCUAGUUUGGUAUGGUGAAUAGGUGCUUGCCCUCGCCCCGGUGAGACUAGGCAAGGCUGACACUUGCCAGACCUUGCUUAGUCUCUAAACUUUUAAUUUAUUUAAUGUAAUUUAUGAAUAUGUUUAAUUUAAUCCCUAUAUUAUAUGAAUAUGUUUAAUAUUGUUAUUUCAUUAAUUCAGGGUCAAGCUCAGGCUUAGAGACAAUAUUAAAUAUUAUUAUAUAGUACAAUGACUACAUUAAGCAUUUAUUAAAAGUUCAGAGACCAAAUUGGCAAUUUAAAAAUUCAUUGAUGACAUUGUAUAUUAGGAUAAAGUUAAGGGACCAAAUCGACUAUUUAAAAAUUCAUAGAAGACAUUGUAUAUCAAGAUAAAGUUCCGGGACUAUAUUUAACAAAUUAAAAUUCAAGGACCACAAUGCACAUUAGACCAAAAUUCAGAGAUUAUUUGGGUCCUUUUUUUGUUGGUUUUUUCUUGUGCAUUGGAUCAGUUCAGAAGCAUAGUGAUUGGUCAUUUACACCGGCGCUCUUCUUGGUUGGGGACCUCUCUUUCGUCAUCAGGUCAAACACAAUCAAAAAAUGGUCACGACCCUCCCAAAGUUUUUACGAGAUGACUUGAAAGUCUGUUUGCGCUUAGCGAUUGACGCUAGAGGACACGUAUUUGAUUUUUCAUAAGCAAUAAUUUAAAACUAUUAAAAUUAAGCAAAUAAUUCUUGAUUUGCUCUUUUCAGCGAAACAAACGGAACCAAAGAUCACAUAAUUGCAAAGGGUUAAAAGCCGUUAAAAUAUCUCUCUUGUGUGUCUAUUUAUUAGCAGUAAUGGCUGUGACGCAAAGGAUGUUCAGCAGCCUCUCAAGCUUUGCCUAGAGCCCGUGGUGAUGAUGGUUGAUUUAGUGGGCUUGAUGUAUCACACUAAUUCGGAUCGAGUCGAACAGAACAUUGUCCUUCAUUUCUAGCGGUACUGGAUUCGAGUCCAUAACUUGGAGACUUCAACCAUUCGAUGCAAACUUCACUUAUUUGCACGCUCAUAGAGUUCUUUUCCUUGUUGAUGUCGAAGAAAUGCUCAAUAGAGUUUUUCGCUUAUGAUUAUUUUUGUUGUCGUAGUAAGUGUGCUUACUAUAUGUGAAACUUGUGAGAGAUAUAGUGAAUAUCGAGCACCCUCUUCCUAGAGAGUUGAGAGUAUGAAAAAAAGCCCUUUCUUAUAAUAUAAAUUUUUUGAGUUGGGGUUAAACGUACUUAUGAAAGGGAAAUUAUUAAGAAAGUCCUAGACGAUUACAUUUGUGCCAAUUCCAUACUAGAACUUUUAAUGGGGCCAAUUGAGUUAUAAACCUUUUGCGAUUUACUAAUGUGGUUUAUCCGGCUAAAAUUGGCCAACUUUGGUCAGAAAUUAUUGACGUGAACAACGACCAUUCUAUGUGACAUGAUUGGCCUUAAUAUAGACAAUUUUUAAUAUAUAUUUUUUCUUUUUUCUUUUCCCUUUUCUUUUCAUUGGCCUCAAUUGGCUAGGGCCCUUGCCAAAUGUAGAGAGGUCAACCCUUGCCUAGGCUAGGGCGGCCUUGUUGGGCAUCACCUAGGGUAGGGUUGGCCUAAGCUAGGCCAAAUGAGGGUUGGCUUGGUUAGGUCUAGUGAAUAGGUGCUCACCCUUGCUCUGAUGAGGCUAGGUAGGGUUGACUCUCGCCCUUGCCCAAGAGAGAUCGGCCCUUGUUGGUCAUGACUGGUGGCUCGUGGCUUGCGACUGGCCACUAACAAAAAUAAAAGGGAAUAAAAAAUAUCCACGGCCAAUAUUCACGUCAGUAAUUUCUAGUUAAAAUUGGUUGGAUGAACCACAUUUAAGAUUCAAUUGGCCAGAUUGGAAGAUUUUAGACUAAAUUGGCAUAAGUACAAUAGGUUUAAGAUUUUUUUUUGAUAAUUUCUCGCCAUUGUGACUGACCUUUUUUCUUUAUAGAAUAGGACCUGAUAAAAAAAAAAUUAAAAAUGAUUAUUGGUUACACGAUUGUAAUCAUACCUUUCUUGUAUAUAGGACUCAUCUUGUCGUUCUCUCACUGUGAAAUAUGCACACCGUCAAAUCACGAUAAUCCAUGAUUUUUUAGUUUCUUUUCUUCGAUUUAUUUCUUAAUCAAAUCAUUAAAUUUGUUCAUGCACUUUCGCAUUAGUCGUAACAAUUUGGUAUCUCAAGUCAGUCUUACUUAAAGACGAUGACAUGGUACAAGAAGAAACAUUUCCAUUAACAUUAUAGAAAGGCAUAUAAAAUACUACACCUGGUACAGACGACAAUCCUCCGAAAGCAAAAUGGAGGAGUGAAGAACAGCCAAAGUGUCAAAAUUUGGUACGGGGGACACUUAAGUGCUAAAACUUCAAAAAGGUACACUUAGGUGCCACUCUGGUGAAAAUCCGGCUAAAUGGCUAACAUGCCAAUUUUCCGGUGAGUUUGGUCCAAAAGGGCGUUGUUUUGCACGCUGACGUGGCGAGAAAAUGCAAAAACGACGCCGUUUCGUGUCUGAUAUGUAAAUAAUAAUAUAAAAAUUAAUUAAAUUAAAUUUAAACUUAAUUUUAUUUAAAAUAUUCUAAAAAUUAAAAAAACAAAUUUAAAAAGAAAAGAAAAGGGGGCGACAACGGGGAGGCGGCGGUGGCGAGGGCUCAGCCCUCNNNNNNNNNNNNNNNNNNNNNNNNNNNNNNNNNNNNNNNNNNNNNNNNNNNNNNNNNNNNNNNNNNNNNNNNNNNNNNNNNNNNNNNNNNNNNNNNNNNNACAUUCUUGCUCAGUGUCGUUUUUCAAGUCUUGGAUGAGGGCCGACCUUAUGAGUUGCGCCAAGGACGAUUGAUAUAGACGCCGUUUUGACCAAACUCGUCGGAAAAUUGCUACAUCAGCCAUUGACCGGAUUUUUACUGGAGUGGUACCUAAGUGUUCCAUUUAACUUCGAAACUGGCACUUAAGUGUACAUUUUGGAAGUUUUGACACUUAAGUGUUCCCCGUGCCAAGUUUUAGCACUCUAGGUGUCUCAAACUCCAAAACAGAGCACGUGCACCAAAAAGUACACUAAGGGACUCAUUUGCGAAAAGUUACAAACCACCCCGUUUUCCAAUAUUGAUCCCCGAAAACAACCCAACUAGAUGGUCCUCUGUAUCAUCCGGUUCAUCCUCAAAGAAAGAAACAACCUCUGUGUCCAAACAACCCAUUUUGAAAACACGAGAAAAGAGGAGACUACGCUGAUAGAAAAAGUACAGAAAGCUAACUCAUUCGCGAGAAACCAGCACCACUUGUUUCCCAACAUCGUGGCCGUAGAAUAGCCUGACAAGAGCUGCCGGAGCAUUCUCGAGACCUUUGGCGAUGUGUUCCACAUAGACAAUCUUUCCUUCUUUGAUCUGAGGCAAUACCGUCUCCAGGAACUUGAUUGAACACCGAGAAACCUUCCAUCCUAACCCACUUCAGGAUAAGGUUCAUCAAGUUGUGUACGCCUUCAGGCUGCUCGAGAUUGUACUAUGAGAUCAUUCCACAUACUGCGAUUCGGCCAUGAGGUUUCAUGUUGAGCAGCACUGCAUCGAGCAUCUUUUCGCCAACAAUUUCGAAGUAGAUAUUGAUACCCUCAGGAAAGCAUCUAAACAUUUACAACACAAAAAGUCAACUGGAAUCGGCCUCAGGAAUGGGUACAUAUUUUAUUUGCUUAAUUUUCAUUGCUAUACUCAUAGUGUCAUGCCCCGAACCCUGACUACGCGCACAUCCCUUGGAGGUCGACUAAAAAUGCGACGUCCCAUAAUGCGUCGCCGAUCCAUUUUUUUUUCUUUUUCAAUUAAGCACAUACGGAAGCGAAUUAAAUAAACCCCCGGUCAACAAACAAACAUAGGGAUAGUAAAACAUGCCAGCGAUUUUUCACAAACUACAUAUAUACCAAGUUAACUCUACGAGUUCAUAUAUACAAGCAUAUCAAAACAUGAACUCCUGUGCGACCUAUUAACAGAAGGGUCUAGGUUGGGGCUAACUUCCACUGUACAACUACCGCAAACUCCUACAACCUCCGCCUUAAUACCCAUANNNNNNNNNNNNNNNNNNNNNNNNNNNNNNNNNNNNNNNNNNNNNNNNNNNNNNNNNNNNNNNNNNNNNNNNNNNNNNNNNNNNNNNNNNNNNNNNNNNNNNNNNNNNNNNNNNNNNNNNNNNNNNNNNNNNNNNNNNNNNNNNNNNNNNNNNNNNNNNNNNNNNNNNNNNNNNNNNNNNNNNNNNNNNNNNNNNNNNNNNNNNNNNNNNNNNNNNNNNNNNNNNNNNNNNNNNNNNNNNNNNNNNNNNNNNNNNNNNNNNNNNNNNNNNNNNNNNNNNNNNNNNNNNNNNNNNNNNNNNNNNNNNNNNNNNNNNNNNNNNNNNNNNNNNNNNNNNNNNNNNNNNNNNNNNNNNNNNNNNNNNNNNNNNNNNNNNNNNNNNNNNNNNNNNNNNNNNNNNNNNNNNNNNNNNNNNNNNNNNNNNNNNNNNNNNNNNNNNNNNNNNNNNNNNNNNNNNNNNNNNNNNNNNNNNNNNNNNNNNNNNNNNNNNNNNNNNNNNNNNNNNNNNNNNNNNNNNNNNNNNNNNNNNNNNNNNNNNNNNNNNNNNNNNNNNNNNNNNNNNNNNNNNNNNNNNNNNNNNNNNNNNNNNNNNNNNNNNNNNNNNNNNNNNNNNNNNNNNNNNNNNNNNNNNNNNNNNNNNNNNNNNNNNNNNNNNNNNNNNNNNNNNNNNNNNNNNNNNNNNNNNNNNNNNNNNNNNNNNNNNNNNNNNNNNNNNNNNNNNNNNNNNNNNNNNNNNNNNNNNNNNNNNNNNNNNNNNNNNNNNNNNNNNNNNNNNNNNNNNNNNNNNNNNNNNNNNNNNNNNNNNNNNNNNNNNNNNNNNNNNNNNNNNNNNNNNNNNNNNNNNNNNNNNNNNNNNNNNNNNNNNNNNNNNNNNNNNNNNNNNNNNNNNNNNNNNNNNNNNNNNNNNNNNNNNNNNNNNNNNNNNNNNNNNNNNNNNNNNNNNNNNNNNNNNNNNNNNNNNNNNNNNNNNNNNNNNNNNNNNNNNNNNNNNNNNNNNNNNNNNNNNNNNNNNNNNNNNNNNNNNNNNNNNNNNNNNNNNNNNNNNNNNNNNNNNNNNNNNNNNNNNNNNNNNNNNNNNNNNNNNNNNNNNNNNNNNNNNNNNNNNNNNNNNNNNNNCCAUAGGGUCGGUGUCCUGCUCAACCUCGCUCCUUACGGGUGGUCCGUCAAAACCGCGCAUGGGACCCUCCCGCUCACCAUUCGGUUUCGCAAUAAACCAAGCCUGGAAACAGUGGGGCACGUGGUACCCCAAACCCUCGUUGACCCAAACCAUAGUCACCACAAACUCACGGCAUCGGUUGGUCCCAGGGAUAGGGUAGAGGGUGGUCUCUACCUCCAUCUCCUCCUAGGGGACCCCGAAACAAACCGGGCAGAUCUCCAUACUAAGGACCUGAAAAAGUUUAACCACGACGGGGUGAGAUAAAAUCUCAGCGAGUCAAACCCUAAACUCCGCUUAGGACGCAAAGUCGGCUUGGAGGCAGCCUAAACAGGCACCACAAACAAACUCUCCUCACCUCGGCACACCCCUGUAGGUUAGCACAUCGCAUAUGCCGUUAUCAAUACCAUAAAUAUAAUCAAUAAUCGGAACACAAAGUUCUCACUCUACAAACAGUUGCACGCGUCCCGAUUAUAAGGCAAAACUGUUUUGGCACGUCCCAUACCAUGCCUAACAGUUUUACCCCAUAAUCAAGUGCAAUACAACACAAUUAUUCACUCGUGUUCCAAUUAUUACGACCCAUUGGUCACGGCCAACUCAAAAGGCGGUGGCCAUCUGGCAUAACUGGGCAUUGUCCCGCCCCAUCGGGCACGGCAAUGUCUAGCACACCCCGCCUAGAUGGCAUUCCAUAAAGGAGUAUCGGUACUGCCUCCAUUGCGACUCGGCAUCCCGUUGACUUGGGGGCAUCUGAUAAAAUUGAACAUCGUCCCGCGUAAAUACAUCAGGAUGAGUUCCAUUAAGUGACCAUACGAGCACAUAUUUAGCCAAGAACACCAUGCUUUGCGUUCAAAUGCCUUUUUUUUUUUUCAAAUAAUGAACUUGGCCAAUUUUCUUCUUAUUAAAAAUCCCAGUAAAAUGAUCGUGCAUGGUCACGUAUUUAGAAUCGAACUGUCAAACUUUGUACACUUCUAUUUUAAAACUCUACGGUUUUAUAUAGUACAUAAAAGUUGGCGUCAAAACCUGACACCUCGCAUUUUUCUAUUUAAUUGCCUUUAAAACCGAGUUUUGUAAAAAUAAUCGAUAACUACCAUCAAGCAAUCAAUUGCAUAUCAUAGUACAUAUAAGCCAUCAAAAUCACGCAUAAUUCCAUCCAAGAAAACCAGCGUAAAAUUCUACGUAACACCUAAUCUCUCACUAAUUACGCUAAUUACGAUUAAUUAAAUCAUUCAAAGAUUCAUAGAUGUGUUACACUUUUACUAAUUUAUUUCUAAAUCUUUUAAUUGUGUCAAUUAAAUCUUAAAAUUUUCAUGGUUUUUCAAAUGAAUCUAUCUGAUCAAUUUUGACUGGAAAUUAAUGAUGUGGAUGCUGCCAACACUAAUGUAAAUAAUUUUUAAUAUGUUUUUGAAUUAUUUAUUAAUAUUUAUUUUUCUUAUUUUCCUUAUUCUUUUCUUCCUCCUCUAGCUAGUUGUUGGGCUUUGACAACUAGCCAAAGGUGAGGGCUCACCUUGCCAACCUUGGGCAAGGCUCAACCUUGUGCCUCGACCUCCCCUAGCGAUGACAAGGUCGAGCCUUGCUAAGAUUGGGCUAGCUUCACUAGAUGCCAAUAAGGUCAACCUUACUGGCCCUCGCCUGAUGCCCAAUGACUCGCUAGAGGAGGAAAAAGGGAAAAAAAAGAAAAGAAAAAAAAUAAAUAAAAUUUGAAAAAAAGUGCCACGUAGAAUGACUAAUGUUCACAUCAGCGAUUUCUGGUCAAAUUUGGUUAGAUGGACUCAACUAACAAAAAGUGAAGAUAUUUAGGAUUGUAUUGACACAAUUAAAAGAAUUAGAAUUGAAUUGGCAAAAAUAAAAUAGAUUAAUGACUUUUUCGACAAUUUUCUCGCUUGUCUCUACAAUUGAUUUGCGAUCGACUAUCCAAUUAGACCUAAAUCUAUUGCACGAAUGUCAAUUCAGUCCUAAACUUUUCAAUAUUAUUUCUCAACAUUUAUGCGAAAAUCCAAUAUAGUCUUUUCGAUCAGUUUUUACUAGGAACCACUGAUAUGACAAUUUAGUCAUUACUUAUCAUCUUAUGUGGCGUACUGCCACGUUAGUGAUCUUUAAUGAAAAUUGAUAGAAAUGACUAUUGGAAUUUUACGCAAAAAUAUAUGUCACCAUUACACUUGCAACUUCAACUGUCCAAUGCAAACACCGCUUGUUGGCACGCGUCAUAGGCACAUCAUGUGCAUGCUCCAAGAGAAAAGUUAGCUCAAAAUUAAUCUCGAUUGAUUUGAAAUUCGAUUUAUGAUGUGUAAUGAAACCUGAGCCAUGUUAGGAAAUUCCAAAUUGGACCAUUGCCAACGGGAUCGUGAAUAAUACAAAAGGGAAAUCAAUUUCUCACAAGAGUUCUUUUCCUUGUUGACGUUAAAGAAAUGCUCAUAGAGUUUUUCGCAUAUAAUUAUAUCGUUGUUGUAGUAAGUGUGCUUAAUAUGUGCGACACUUGUGAGAAAGAGAAAUAUAGAGAAUAUCAGUUCUUGGCCAUUCUCUCACCCUGUGUGAGCUUUCCUCUAUCCCGUAUGGUGAUAGCUUGACCUUUUGAAACCCUAGAUUAUUCAAACCCUCACCUUGCAGUGAAGCUCCAUGGUUGAAUCGACCUUGUUUCCACAUGAUUAGGGAUCCAUCUUCCCCUCGGACUCCCUCAUCCCAAAACCCACUUACUCCUCCUUCUGAAUCAUGACGAAAAUAGUAGAAAUUGAUAAGAUGGAGUGAUUCGAAGCAACUCCCCUUCUCCAAGUGACUCCCAAUGGAGAUCUUCACCCAAAGGACUCUCUUCACUCCCAAACCCAAAUAUAGUAACCCAUUCUGUCAAUCGAACUUCUCCAUAGUCUAUCCCCAUUUCCACUUUCAUCAAAGCUAUCUCUCCGUAUUACAACCCUGGAAGCGGCAUUGUAAUUGGGUCAAGAUGGAAGAAGAAUAUGAAAAUCUCCUGAGAAUGAUAGUGUCGUGCAGAAGAAUGGGAGAUUUGUGGGCUGAAGAAGACGCCAUAGAGCUGGAUACUGAAAUUCCAGAGAAAGAAAGGCACAAAAGUGAACUUUUACUAUACGAGAAGCUAUUUUCUAAACCAAAUGUCAAUUUUCAAGCGUUCUUUAGUUCAAUGAAGAAAGCAUGGAAGAUAGAGACCAUAAAGUGUGAGAUAAUAGAACUAGGGUUUUUCCUCUUCAUAAUUAGGGUUUUUCCUCUUCAUAUUUAACUCAGUAGAGGAGAAGAAUAGAGUGCUAGAAUAUGGGCAUUGGUCAUUUACUAGUAACCUCCUAGUCUCGCAAGAAUGUGAUCCUAACGUUCUAGAGAAUUGUUAUGAUUUUUCCCAUUAUGCAUUUUUGGUGCAACUAUUGGGGCUCCCUCGAGCUGUGGUAACGGAAGAUUUUCUAAGGCUAAUUGCUGCAAAAUUAGGCAAAGUGGAGGAAGUGAAAAUCGAAGCAAGAAACAAUAGCUCUCAUAAAGUAGGCAAAGCAAAAGUCAGGCUAAACUUGUUAUGUCCUCUCAAAAUAGGCAUUGUUAUUAACUUAGGAGGAAGGAAAUGGUGGAUUGAGUUUAAAUACGAGAGGCUACCAUAUUUCUGUUAUUCAUGUGGUUGUGUAGGUCACUAUGCAAAUUAUUGCCCAAAGAUACCUGAGGAGACUGGAUUAGCUCAAGACAAACUAGGGAGAUACGGAUCAUAGCUUAAGGUGGAAGUGAGAGAAUUGAGCCCAUGGAAAACUUUCUUUGGGGAUAUUGAUCCAUCUCUUAAGGAAGAGGACAUUGUGGCUGAAUCACCUUUCCCCCUUGUUGGCGGGAACUUGUGCAAUGACCAUACAAGGCUAAAUGAGAAGCCUUUAGUUAUAUACAAUCCAAUAGUAGAUGAGCCAACUAAGGAUGCAAGAAUGACUGAAUAUGUAUCACCAACUCGAGGGAAAAGAGCUUAGCAGACUCAGGAGCUCCACAACAGAGCAUUAGAAAUGUGCAACGUCAUAGAAAAAGGAAAAAUAAUACUAAAACUCAAGUUGCAAAGAAACAGAAACGUUUCACUCCCUAUGAUAUGAGAGGAUCUCUAGUGAACUUAAUUGAUGAGGAGAAACCUUUUUACGCACCAAACUAGUUGUGGGAAAGGGAGCAUGCAUGAAUAAGCCACCGGAGAAGAUAUGAGGCUUUUGAGUUGCAACUGUAAAGGGUUGGGCAAUCCCUUGACAAUCCAACAUCUUAGAGCCUUAAUGGCUCGUGAGAGGCCUCUCAUGGAAACCAAGAACAAAGAAGAGGCGGUUGAUUGAGUAAGAAAGCAUCUUCAGUUUAACUUUUUAGUUAUUAUUAAUCUUGUUGGAAUUGUGGGCAGAAUUGCACUUAUGUGGGAUGGGAAGGAGAAAGUAGAAGUGGAAUCUAGCUCCAGGGAGUUUAUUAGGGGUAUUAUGCAAGAAUCUUGGUAGCGGUAUUAUAAUGAGGAUCUCUUUUCUCCAUGCUUCUACCAACUUUCAAGAAAGGAUCAUACUAUGGUAGACCUUGCGUUCUAGUAAACUGUCCAAUUAUUUCUUGUGGUUAUGCAUAGGAGACUUUAAUGAAAUUUUGUAUCAAUGGGAAAAGAUUGGUAGACGAGAGGCUGACAGGUAUAGGAUUGUGGUGUUUUGGGAGUUUGUGAAUACUUGUUCUCUUAUGGAUAUUGAAAGUAAAGGCUGUGCUUAUUCAUGGACCAAUAAUAGAGAGGGGGAAGAGUUAGUUAAAAAGAGACUUGAUAGAGUCAUGUGCAACCUUGAAUGGAGAGUUUUAUGCCUAAAUGCUAAGGCGUUUGCUUUGCUUGCUAUUGGUUCGGAUCAUAGUCUGAUUUUUCUCUCAUUGCAUUCAAUCGGGCCCAAAAAACAGAAACUUUUUAGAUUUGAAGCAUAUUGACUAGAGAAUCCCGGGUGCAAAGAAGUAGUUGGAAAUGCUUGGAGAGCUAAAACAGGCAACCAUUUGGAUAUUGUAAGUAAGACGAGGAAGGUGGCAACUAAAUUGGGGGGGCGGAGUAGAAAUUUUUUUAAAAAUGCAUCCCAAUAAUUUGACCCAUUAAGGAAAAACUCAUGAAAUUAACAAAUGCUGAAGAAGGGGCAUCAAAUGGAGAGGAGUACAGAAAAAUUGUUGAGCAAAUUGAAGCCUUAAGGAGAAAAGAAGAAAUGCAUUUGUGUAUGAGAUCUAGAAUUAAUUGGAUGAAAUGGGGGGACAAGAAUACUAAAUUCUUCCAUGCCACCGCAAUCCAGAGAAGACAACGCAAUAGAAUCUCUAGGCUACUGCUAGAUGAUCACAAUUAGCGUUAAGAUCCCGUUACCCUCAAGCAACAUAUAACAUAAUUCUACAAAUCAUUGUAUACUUCAGCUGGAACUAGACAUUGUCAACUCAUAUUAGAGAAAUGCCUACCGGUGGUUACUAAUGAGAUGAAUGAGGCUCUAGUCAAGCAAAUCACUAGGGAAGAAGUGAGAACAAUGGUGUUUCAAAUGGGAGCGACAAAAGCACCAGGGUCGGAUGGACUAAAUGGUCUAUUCUACUAAAGUAAUUGGUCAACAAUUCAUGAGGAUAUGUUUAGGAUGGAGGAUUCUUUCUUCAAUCAAGGUACAUUUGAUCCUGAAAUUAAUAAGACUUAGAUUACUCUUAUUCUCAAAGUCAUUGUAUACUUCAGUUGGAACUAGACAUUAUCUGCUUAUAUUAGAGAAAUGCCUACCGGUGGUUACUAAUGAGAUGAAUGAGGCUCUAGUCAUGCAAAUCACUAGGGAAGAAGUGAGAAUAGUGGUGGUUCAAAUGGGAGCGACAAAAGCACCAAGGUUGGAUGGACUAAAUGGUUUAUUCUACUAAAGUAAUUGGUUAGCAAUUCAUGGGACAGAGUACACCCCAAGCACCAAAACUUGGCACGGAGGGACACUUAAGUGCCAAAAGUUAGGAAAGUGACAUUUAAGUGCCAAUUCGACCAAAAUUCGGCCAAAAUGCCGAUGCGGCGAUUUUUCGACGAAGCUAGUGCAAAACAACGUCAUUUUGCACACUGACGUGGCUAGAUAAUACAAAAACAAUGUCGUUUUGGUGCUGAUGUGGUAAAAAAAUUAAUAUAAAAAUUAAUUAAAUUAAAUUUAAAACUAAAUUAUUCAAAACAUUUAAAAAUAAAAUAAAAAUAUUAAAAAAAACUAAAAACUAGAGAGAGAGAGAGAGAAAGAGAGAGAGAGAGGUUGGCGGUAGUGAGGGCUUAGCCCUUAGCCGCUUGCCUCUUUUUUUAAUUUUUUUAAUAUUUUAAUUUUAUUUUUAAAUGUUUUAAAUAAAUUUAGUUUUAAAUUUAAUUUAAUUAAUUUUUUUAUUUAUCUUUUUACCACGUCAACACAAAAACGAUGCCGUUUUGCACUUACUUCGCCAAAAAAUUGCCACAACGGCAUUUUGGCCGGAGUGGCACUUUGAUUCAUUUUGUUCUGAUUUUGGUACUUAAAUGUCACUUUCCUAACUUUUGGCACUGAAGGCCCUGUUUGGUAACCAUCUGAAGAGGGUCAAAUUCUAAUUUUUUGUUCUCGGGAUCAGUUUGGGAACAUAAUCGUGUUUAGUAAAAUUUUUGUUCCCAGGAACAGAUUUGGAGUAGAAUUAAGAAUAAAAAAAAAUUGAUUCUUGUUCUAGAAAAAAAAAAGAAUAAAAAAAGUGGAAGAAGAAUCCUCUACUCAGACAUGUUCUCUCUCCUCCUCUAUGGCCGUUCGCCUCUAUCCGCUGUCGUCCGCCGAUUGCCGGCAACCAGUUCGGCGAGCUAGCCGGAGGCUCGCCAGGCCAGUGCGAGGUUUGGCAAGCUCGCCGGAGGCAAGCCCAGCCAUCGGCGAGGCUCAACCUCACUAGAUCUGGCGAGGCCGAGCCUCGCCGAGGUUGGGCAAGCCUCAUGACGCCUAGCCCUGCCGGUGGCUAGGCGAGCCUCACCGGUGGCCAGGCGGGCCUCACCGGUGGCUAGGCGGGCCUCGCCCAGCCCUGGCGAGGCCGGUCUAGCCACCGACGAGGCUCGGCUGAUGAGGGCCGGCCUCGCUGAGGGCUGGCGAUGCUCCAGUGAGGUCGCCGGCCACAAGAAGAAGAAGAAGAAGAAUAGGAGAAAAAAGAAAAAGAAAAGAAAAAAAAAGAGGAAAAAAGUAAAAAAAGUUAUUUAAAAAUUAAAAGAAAUUGAUUUAGAACAUAAUCAAUGAGCACGGUACCAAACACAAUUCUAUUCCAGAAUCAAAAAUUUUGGACGGUUAUUAAACGGCUUAAAAUGCUUAGAAAUUGUUCCUAGGAGCAUAAUAUAUAUAUAUAUAUAUAUAUUUAUUUAUUUAUUUAUUUCUGAUCAGAAUUUGUUCCUGAAAACAGAAUCGUUACCAAACGCGCCUUAAGUGUCCAUUUGUACCAAGUUUUGGCACUUGAGGUGUACUUUGUCCGCAAUUCAUGAGGAUAUGUUUAGGAUGGCCGAUUCUUUCUUCAAUCAAGGUACAUUUGAUUAUGAAAUUAAUAAGAUUCAGAUUACUCUUAUUCCCAAAGUGAUAAAUCCUAAGAGUUUAACCCAGUAUUGACCCAUUAGCCUUUGUAAUUUUAAUUACAAAAUCAUUGUAAAGGUUAUUGGCGAAUAGACUAAAACCCUGGCUUCUAAACAUUAUAUCAUUGGAACAAAUUGCUUUUGUAGGGGGUUGAUAGAUCCAAGACAAUAUUUUUAUUAUUUAGGAGGUGUUACAUUAGUUAAGAGUUAGAAAGAGAAAGCGGAAGUUUCAAGCAAUUUUUGAUAUUAGAUAUGCCAAAGCCCUAUAAUAGGGUUGAAUGAGACUUCCUUUGUGACUGUAUGUUAAAAAUGGGAUUCUGUGAUAAAUGGGUCCCACUAGUCAAGCAAUGUGUUUCUUCAACAUCAUUUAGCAUUAGAGUUAAUGGGGACUCUUGUGAAGUUUUUCAUCAAUCCCGUGUGAUUAGACAGGGAGAUCCAUUAUCCCCUUACCUCUUUAUCAUUAUGGCUAUGUCGAAGCAAUGAUAGAUGGAAGUAUAAAGGGAAUCCAGCUAAAUACUAAUUGUCCUACACUCUUGCACCUCCUAUUUGUGAAUGAUGCCAUUUUCUUCCUAGAUCGUACUAUCGGAGAAGCAUAGAACUUGCAAACAUUUUGCAUCAAUAUCGCUUUGUAAUGAGUCAGUCUAUUAACAUUGAUAAGUUAGGCAUUUUUUUUUUUUUGGGAGAAACUGUCCUUAGGGGCUAAAAUCAACCCUUGUAAUAGAAUUAUGAAUGCCUAUUACUAAAAAAAAUAGGGAAAUAUUUGGGUAUACCCUUAGACUGGGGUAAACGGAAAAACAAAUGUUUUCAUGAGUAUUAGUGAGGGUUGAUAGGAAAUUAGAGGGAUGGAAAGAGCAAUUACUUUCGAAGGUGGGCGAGGAGGUGCUAGUUAAAACAAAUGUUCAAGUAUUAUCGCAAUAUGCCAUGUUAAUGUUUGAAUUCCCUAUUUCCAUUUGUAGAUUGAAAAUAGAAUUUGAGCUUUCUAGCGAAAACAAAAUGCAAGACGAAAGGUGUAAACUGGAAAAGUUAGAACUUAUUGAAGACUAGGAAAUAUCAAGGAGGUUUGGGAUUUAGAGAUCUAGUCUUUUAAUAGAGUUUUGUUGGGGAAACAAACUUGGAGACUGAGUCAGGCCUUAGAUGCCUUAUGGAGCAGAAUUUUCAGAGAUCUUUACUUUCUUAGAGGAAAUUUUUGGAAUGCUAACAAAGGUCCUAGACCCUCUUAGGGUCGGCAAAGCAUACUAACGGGAAGAGAUGUCAUUGAACUAGAGAUCAAAGGGGAAGUAGGGGACAAUAAAAGCAUUAGGAUUAGAGAGGAUAGGUGGUUGCUAUCAGGAAAAAUAAGAGAUCUUGUAAAUCUAAAUGAUUCACAAUUUAUAGCAGACUUGAUUAAUCAAUGCUCGGGGGAAUGGAACUCUUAAUUACUGAAUGAGACCUCUGGAGGGAGUAUUGUACAAGAAAUUUUAGCUACUCCCUUAGCCUAAAUCCUGAGCUAGAUAAACUACUAUGGACAACAAACAAUUUUGAUUCGUAAGAAGUCAAAAGUGAUUAUAACAAACUUUGCACUUUCGGGAGAAUUCAAACAGAGCAUCCAGCAUCGACUUCUUACCAAAAUCCCAAAAGAUUGUGGACUGAUAUUUGAAAAAUAUAGACCUAUCCUAGAAUCAUAUUCCUAUUGUGAAGUAUAUGCAACGAUGCUCUUCCUAUCAAAGAGAACCUUUAUAGGAGGAAUAUGAUACUUGAUUCGUUAUGUCUACUCGGUGGCCAAGCUCCAAAAUCAACAGAACAUUUAUUUCUUUUAUGCGUCUAGACAAAAGAAAUUUGGUCAGAUCCUAGGCUUGCAGUUGAUACCUCACCGAUAAAUAUUACUUGAAUUGACAAAAGGGUAUUUAGAUUUCUUACCUCGAAAGCCACUCCUCUUUCUAAAGCUCUAUUUGUAGGUGUCUUGUGGUUAAUUUGGAAAGUGAGAAACGCCUUGAUCUUUCAAGGAUGUAAACUCAAUCCAAGCCUAAUAAUUGAAGAAGCAAAUUUCAUGACCUAGCUAUUUACAAGAUGCAACUGUAGCACGAAUCGUAGAACUACAGAAAUUUGUCCUCUAACGAAGAAUUGGAACUCCCCGUCUCUGGGAUCUCUAAAACUGAACGUCGACGGCUCAUGGUGUAGCUCCAUAAUGGGAGGCUUUGUCCUGGGAUUUGUAGAAAUGAAGAUGGAAUUCUCAUAGAUGGGUUUGCAGGGAACAUCCAUGCCCCCUUUGCCUUCGUAGUCGAAACCCCAACGAUAAGAGAAGCUUUGUCGUUGAUGAAGCAAAGCUGUGAGUUGAGAUCCACAGAAGUAUUUCAAACUAAUCUGCACGUGGAGCUUGUAUCCGAUAGCUUAUCAGUAGUAAAUUGCAUUUUGGGCCACGCAAAGACUCAUUGGGCUUCCCGAAUUAUUAGAUAGGAUUGUGGCGUAUUAAUGGCCUAGCUAGGAGGAAUUGAUUUAAAAUAUGAUCCUAGAGAAACAAAUUGAGCUGCGGAUUGGGUAGCCAAGGCUCAUUGAGCUGGAAUACUUCCACCCAAUUGGGUUGCUUGUCUCAUUCAUUCCCUUUAGUUAAUUUUAUGUUUUGAUUUGGAACUGGUUGUAAUCCAUCUUUGAGGUAGUAACCAAAGAAGUUAUCUUUGACCAAAAACAAAAAAAUAUAUCAAGAGCCCUCUUCCAAGAGAGUUGAGAGUAUGAAAAAAAAAACAUUCUUGUAAUUAAUUUUUGUGACUUAGGGUAAAAUUCAGAAUUGAAAAACACUUAUGAAUGAUUGUGGUUGAACGAUUGUAAUAAUGUUUUUACGGAUUUUAUCGGAAUCAUCCCACUUGAUCUCCUAACGUGGAGUAGACACAUUGUCAAACCACGAUAAUCCCUUAUAUUCAAUUAUUAUUUCUAUGGUUUUUUUUUUUUUUGGGUAAGGAAAUUAUUUGUAUGGUUUAUCUCUUACUCGAACCCUUUUAAUCUGUUCACGCACUUUCCACAUUCGUCGUAAUAAUUUGGUAUCUCAAACAAUUAUUAUUUAAAAGCAAUGACACGGUACAAGAAAUUCCGUACCUGAUACAGAGAACGAUCCUCCGAAAGCAAAAGAGAGCAUCUGCACCGAAAAGUAUAGUAAGCGACUCAUCCGGGAAAAGCUACAAACCACCCGAUUUCCAACAUUGCUACCGGUAAACAACCCAACCAGAUGGUCCCCUCUUUGCACGAGCAUUUAUAAUCAAGCGUCCUCUGGAUCAUCCCAAAUAAAGAGACAGCCUCUGUGUCCUCGCACAACGGAACAGUAACACGGACAAACGGAAAACAACCUGAUUUUGAAAACACGAGAAAAGAGGAGACCGUGCUGAUGAAAAAGUACAGAAAGCCGACUCAUUUGUGAGAAACCGCCACCACUUGUUUCCUGACAUUGCGGCCGGAGAAUAGCCCAAUGAGAGCUGCCGGAGUGUUGUCAGACCUUCAGCAGUGUCUUCCACAUACACAAUCUUCCCCUCUUUGACCUGAGGCAAUACCAUCUCCAGGAACUUCGGGUAGAGAUGAGAGUAAUCUAACACCACGAAACCUUCCAUUCGAAACCCGCUUCAGGACAAUGUUCAUCAAGUUGUGUACGCCUUCGGGCUGCUCGAGGUUGCACUGUGAGAUCAUUCCGCAUACUGUGAUUAGCCCAUGAAAUUUCAUGUUGAGCAGCACCGCAUCGAGCAUCUUUCUGCCAACAUUUUCAAAGUAGAUAUCGAUACCCUCUGGGAAGCAUCUAAACAUGUACAGCACAAAAAGUCAACUGGAGUCGGCUUCAGCAAAUGGGUCCAUAAUUUUAUAUCCUCUGCGCCAGUCACUUAUUUGCUUAAUCAUCAUUGCCAUACUCAUAGCUUACCUUUUCAGUGCUGCGUCCAGAUCCGGUUCCUCCUUGUAGUUGAAAGCAUCAUCGAAUCUAAACUUGUUCUCAAGCAAAUCAACCUGUUUUCGCAAAAAAUAGCAGCAAAAGAACUUUUAAUACAAUCAAAUUUGGAAGAGAACAGUAAGAAUGUAGUUAGUUAAAUGAUGAUGAUGGUAUGUAUACAUACAGUACCGUCACUCCACUGAGCAUUCUCAAAAUUGAUGCAUGUCAAGGAGAGAAGGAGGAGGCAAACACAAACCCAUUUGUGAUUCAAAUUGGUGAAUUUGUUUUAAUUUAGCAUUAUGUCCUCUUUAAUUUUUGUUGUUGGUUUAGCUUUAACUAUGUUCUAAAUUUCUUUUGUUAGAGCUAUAAUGGACCUUAAUCAUGAUUGAUUGAUUUUCAAGACUUGCUCAUGCAAUAUAAUUGUUUUGACUAUGGUGUUCUUUAUCAUGAUCUUAAUGCUUUUAAAGUUUGACCAACUUUUAAAUGAUAUUCGAAGUAUGCAUGAUACCAGGUGAAGAUUGCAUGCAUGAGCACUAGUGAUAUUUAACCACAAAUUAAAUAUAAGUCAAGGUACACUAGGUUAUUUGUGUGGUUGCGAUAGCAGAUCUAGGUUGUGACUUGAAUCUAGGAAUUUCCACAAGAACUUAAUGCUUUAGGUAGUUUAAAUUCACCUAAGGUUAGUAUGGGUUAACAUACCUAAUCAGGGAUUAUUAUUAGACAAAGAUUGGCUUGUAAUCUAACUUAGGGAAAUUUCACAAACACAAUUGGCAAUUAAUUUGUUGCAUGACAAGUUAAGAGAAUUGAUUAUGAAUGGUUAAGUGAAGUUGAAUGCUCUAACAUGUGAUCUAGGUUCAAAUUUUGUUAAUUUUCGGUUUGCUUUAGAUUAGAUUUACUUUGCAAUUUUAAUUUGCCUUUGAAUCCUUUAAGUUUUGGCUAUUUUAUAUUUCAAUCCUUUAAUUGGUUUAGUUCACUGUGUACUUGUCUUUUCUAUUUGGUUAGCCAAAUCUUUGGAUUGAUCACUUUCCAUAAGUAAUUAGAUAAUUAGAGACAAUUUUGGUGCGAACGAUACUUACUCAUCACUUUAUUACUUGUAGAUAUUGUGCACUUGUAAUUCACCUAACACAAAUAAUUAAAUUCAUUCACACACUUCCGCAUUAGUCGUAACAAUCUGGCAUCUCAAAUCAAUCUUACUUAAAGACGAUGACACGGUACAAGAAGAAAUAUUUUCAUUAACAUUAUAGAGAGGCAUAUAAAAUUCUAUACCUGGUACAUACAAUUCUCCGAAAGCAAAUGCACCAAAAAGUUCACUAAGGGUGCAUUUGGUAAUAUUUCAGGAAAUAAGUGUUUCUAUUUUUUUGCUCCUCGGAACAAAAAUAGAACAUAAACGUGUUUUAUAAUUUUUUUUAUUCUCGGGAAUAGAUUUGGAUUAAAAAUAAGAAACAAGAAAAAAUUGUUUCAUGUUCUCGGGAACAACUCAAGAAAUAAGCAUUUUAUCUUCUCUUUUCUUUUCUUCUUUUUCUCUCUCUCUUCUUCCCCCUAGCCAAUCGCCGGCCUUGGCGAUGGCUGGCAAUUGGUCAGACAAGACUCGGUGACCUUAUAGAAGCCCCGCCAGUCCUAGCGAGGUUGCCCCGAGCUCAUUGGCCACCAGCGAGGCCCCCUGAGGCGAGGCCGACCUCGUGGUGGCCAAGCAAGGUUGAGCCUUGCCCAGCCACGGCAAGGCUUAGGAGGACCUCGCCAAUGGCCGGCGAGGCUCCCUAGAGGCUGGCGAUUGCUGGCAACCUCAUCGGUCCUCGGCUAGUCGAUUGCUAGCCAGCAGAAGAAAAAGAAAAAAAAAUGUAAUAAAAUUAUUAAUAAAUAUAAGAAAUUAUAAGUCACAAAAAUAUUUGGGGUUGUACCAAACACAAUUCUAUUCUGGGAGUAAAAAUUUUAUAUAGUUACCAAAUGUUUUAAAAUGCUUAUAAACUAUUUUUGGGAACAGAAAUAGAAAAAAAAGUGUUUUUGAAUAAAAAUUAUUCCCCAAAACAUAAACUUACCAAACGCAUCCUAAGCAACUCAUUCGCGAAGAGCUACAAACCGCCCCGUUUUCCAACAUUGAUCCCUGUAAACAACCCAAACAGAUGGUCCUAUGUAUCAUCCGAUUCAUCCCCAAAGAAAGAAACAACCUCUAUGUCCUCGCACAAUGGAACGGCAACGCAAAGACAACCAGAAAACAACCCAUUUUAAAACAUGAGAACAGAGGCUACUAAGUUGAUGGAAGAAGUACAGAAAGCUGACUUAUUCGUGAGAAACCACCACCACUUGUUUCCCGACAUUGCGGCCGGAGAAUUGCCGGAUGAGAGCUGCCGGAGCAUUCUCUAGACCUUCGGCAGUGUCUUCUACAUACACAAUCUUGCCCUCUUUGAUCUGAGGCAAUACCAUUUCCAGGAACUUCGGGUAGAGAUGAUAGAAAUCGAACACCAAGAAACCUUCCAUUCUAACCCGCUUCAGGAUAAGGUUCGUCAAGUUGUGUACGCCUUCGGGCUGCUCGAGAUUGUACUGUGAGAUCAGUCCACAUACCGCAAUUCGGCCGUGAAGUUUCAUGUUGAGCAGCACUGCAUCGAGCAUCUUUCCGCCAAAAAUUUCGAAGUAGAUAUCGAUACCCUCGGGGAAGCAUCUAUACAUUUACAACACAAAAAGUCUACUGGAGUCGGCUUCAGGAAUGGGUACAUAUUUUAUUUGCUCACCUUUUCAGUGCUGCAUCCAGAUCCAGUUCCUCCUUGUAGUUGAAAGCAUCAUCGAAUCCAAACUUGUUCUUCAGCAAAUCAACCUUUUUUCGCAAAAAUAGUGGCAAAAACAACUUUUAAUAGAAUGAAAUUCCGAAGGGAACGGUAAGACUGCAGUCAGUGAAAUGAUGAUGAUGGUAUCCAUUCAACGGUGUCAUCACUCUCUUGAGCAUUCUCAAAUUUAAGAAAGACAGGACUCAUCAACCGUGAACAAUUUACCAUCUCUCUGCUACCAUCGCUGCCAACAACGUAACAACCAAACGACUUUGCAAACUGGCCAACAAUCUGACCAACGGCUCCUGAUGCCGCUGAUAUGAAAACAGUCUCUCCUUUCUUAGGAGAGCAUACCUCGAAAAACCCGGAAUAAGCCGUCAAGCCUGGUAUACCUGCAAAGUAUAAAUUUGUAGAAAUUAGAAGCAAAAUCUCAAAUUGUCUGAUUAUUUCUCAAAGGUAAAGCCCGUGAGAAAUGUAUUGACUUCUCCAGGAAAGCUACUACUAUUUCUGUAGAAAUAAUUGAUUUACAUGCUUCUUUCAAAGCGAGAAGACAGCUUUGCAGGGCUGCCAUUCAGACAAUUCAACAAGGCCAUAAGGCUCGUGAACAAUGGAGAUUCCCACAAGUAAUAUCUUAACUAUCUGAUUCUCCUUAUUCAUUAACAAGAAAGAGAUAUUACAUUCGACGAUUAAAGAGCAUACCCAAAAGGCCAGUGUAGUAAGACAGAGGAACAUCGGUGUCUGCAAUCUUAAAGCAAGUCUCUGGUGCAGUAAUUAGACUAUACUCCUCCCAUGCAGUUUUACCCCAAAGCAAAUCGCCUUUCUUGAAGUUUGGAUGCCCAGAUUCCAAAUUCUAGCUACUCCAUAUCCAGUGAUAGGCUGCAUCAAUGUGUUAAAUACUUCAAAUAUAAAUGCAAAUAAUUUAGCAAACAUAAAUAGACGUUGUACUUCUAAGAAGGAAUGAUUGGACAAAAAGACAAUUUCAAAUGAAAUGCGCUACAAUAACCAGAGACCCUUUCACUUUAACCUUAUUUCUGAUACUAAAAGUUUGCAACUCGUGUCGUAUUGAAAUAAGGCAAGUCAAAAUGCAGCUUUCUUAGCACUAUUAACUUCCAACAAACCUAGAAGAAGAGCGGCAUAAUUUUAACAUCUCAGCAGGAAUAAAAGUGAAAUCCAUAGUAAUAUAUCGGAAUCCUGAGCAAUAUGCCAAAGGAUCCAACCAAAACUCUGCUUAUCCCAGAGUCGUGUUUAUUUUAUAUUUCAAUGAAUACGUCUCGUCAUCCUAUUUCACGUGCAAGCUAUCAUCACCAUUUUCAUGCUCACACAUGAAUGGGAGUGUUAAGCAACCAGCAUCGCUUGACCCCGUGAUUAUAUGGACUGUGUAAAUGUAAGACAUGAAAAAUUCCUAUCCCAUAUAGCAUAAGUCACAACCUUUCGACUCCCGAAGCUCUUCAAUACAUUUGCCCAAUCUCAUACCGACAUCGCAAACCAUUUCUACACUUCCAAAGCCACCACCAAUUGGCUCACACUUUAGAGACAGAAAAGAUUCAGCCAUGAUAGAAAAAAAAAGUGAAUAGACCUACAGCACAGAGUCGCUUCAAUCCUUUGGUUAGAACGAUUAGGCAUAAUCCGAACUAAUACUUGACAAGUCCAGGUGUAUUAAUUUAGCCCAAACUGAGAUCAUAAUCCAAGAACAGUAGUCAGACGUGAAAAUUCCACUCGGGAGAACUUAUAUGAUAUCCGCCAUCCAUCAGCAGAGACACCACAACUUUCUCCUCAAACAGCAUAAUCAAUCCACAGAGCAAACGGGCCAAACUUAAAUAGGACAAAAAUAUCAUACUCAAGAAAACCCACAUCAUCCCCGAUGAACUUCUUCUCUUUCUAUAUUCUUUCAGGAAAAAAACAGACAGUACUUGACAACGAAAAGAGUACUUAAGCUUGCUCACCGAACCAGGUCUGAAGGGAUCGACAUUACCCGGGACGUCGACCUUCGUCAUGCGGAUCCUCAUGUAAGGGUCGCAGGACAAGUAGAGAUUUUUCACAAGAAGGCCGCUCGAGCCCUCUGGGAGACACAACUUCACGGUCGACUCACGCACCUCCAUGUCCGUGUCCUUGGCGACACCACUCACGUAGUCCCUGAAUACUACUUGCUUGUUCCUCACCGCCUCACCAUUCUCGCCCUCUAUUGCUCUUCGCUACUCUUUCAGCGAAACUCGGAACACCCAGAAGAGAGAAGAUGAGCAGGCGUGGAGUGUGCGAGUGCUGUAUCGUUUCUAGCGACUCAGCUGAGCGUGGAACGCGUGAAGAGACCACGUGGGACAGAUAAAAAGGCGACCUUUUGGUUUCGCCCUGUGCGUCAGCAGAUGGGCGAUAGUAGUUGACGGGAAGGUGACGAUGGAGGUGCGUGGAGGAUCAUGAGGAACGAGAGCGAGAUGGUUUUGGAGAUGCUCCUGAGGAAGACGACAACCUUCGGGUGUGUUGAUAAAAAGGCGACCUUUGGUUUCGCCCCGUGCGUCAGCAGAUGGGCCAUAGUAGUUGACGGGAAAGUGACGAGAAAAUAUUAUAUGGUCCCGGACCGCUAUGUCAGUGUGGUCUCCGACCACUUAUGAAGAACCAUGUGGAAGUUGUGGGGCCACUAGAGUAGAGUAGAGGGAAUUCUUCUCGCCCAAUUUUUUUUUUUUUCUUUUCCCUUGCUAGACUUGCAGACAUUUAUUUCACCCUCUCUCUCUCCUCUCUCUUAUAUCCUCACUCCUUCCAUCUCUGAAGAAGAAAAGGGACGUCCUUCUCUCUCUAGCAAAGGCGUUCCAAAUCCUUGUCUCACUUGGAAGAACCCUCAAGAAUUUCCUUGUUUUUUAUGUUCUUAUCUCGUUCUCUUUUAUUUCCAGAUCUCUCAAAAGGGCUUUUUUUUUUGUCUCUUCUGCAAAAGUUCUCGGUGGACAAGUCCGUCCAAAUCCUUCAUCUUCACUUGGACGAGGCCCUUGCAUUUUUCGCUUUUUCUUUCUGAUGAAGUUUGGGAAGGUAAAAGAAGCAAGAAUGGUUUUUUAUGGUGUCCUCAGAGAGAUGUUGUGAGUUGGCGGGUAUUUGAUGUUUUUUAUUUUAUUCUUCGAGACAUGUAAAUAUGGCCUUAGGCGGCCUACUCCCGUGAUCAAGCCUAUGAGGGAAUUAGGAAUUUAGAUCCAAGCAAAUCAGUUCGUGGGUUUGUACUUGCUUGGAGAUGGGUGAUGAUGUUUUGGUUCUCACACCUUGGUAAAUAUGUAUACUAAGUUGGGUGAUGUUGUGAAUGCUCGUCAAAUUGACAACAUAACAAUGAGAAAUUAUAAUGCAUUAAUAUAAGCUCUCCCUGAUGUUGGAGAAAGUCAUAGCACAAUUUGCUUUCCCUUAUUACCUUUCAAAAGAAUCUCGCCCAUAAAAACUCAAGUAUACAACAAAACAUGAUAGGAAGGACAAUCCAUGUCAGAAAUAUACUUGCAAAACUGAAAUCUUAUUCAAAUUGUACAAAGUAAAAAUCGAGGAAGAAAACAUAAGGAACGUGGUUCUAGUGCUCCACACCAGAAAUAAAACAAAAGCAAAACCUCUUCAAUAAAACUCAACAACUCAACAAAGCAAACCCCUUUCACCAAAAUAUAAAAAACAAAACAGGAGCAAUGCCUGCUACAAGGCUCCAUUCCACAUGCUCAACAGCAAUACCAACUUCGUGCUCUCCUUCGCCACGAUCUUUGUCUUCGCGUUCCUCACCCUCCUUCGCCAGUAGCACUAGCAGCCACACCAUGACAUUUGUUAUGUCACCGUCCUCCACUUCUCGAUAGCCUCUUCAAUGCUGAAACAACUUAGAUUCGUUGAAACAAAUGUCCGCCGUCGAAAGAGCGCAGAAGCAGUGAAGAGCGCCCGAGCAGUAACGAACGUUGGAGCAGAGAAUCGGAGGAGCAAAAUCUAAGAGCGAAGGAGAGAUCCAAAAUUUGAACGAAGGAGAGGGAGAGAGAACACCUUUGCUGCAGAGAGAAGGACGUCCCUUUUCUUCUUCGGAGAUGGAAGGAAAGAGGAUACAAGAGAGAGUGUGAAAUAAAUGCAUGCAAGCUACUGUGUGCAGUGCAGAUCUAGCGAUAGGGGAAAGAAAAAAAAAUUGUUUUGGAAAUCCCUAUGCUCCAGCGGCCCCACACAUUCACAUGGCGAUUGAUGAGUGGUCGAAGACCAUACUGACUUGGUGGUCCGGGACCACCCAAUCAAGUGCGUGGAGGAUCAUGAGGAAUGAGAGCGAGAUGGUUUUGGAGAUGCUCCUGAGGAAGACGACAACAUUCGGGUGUGUUCCGCUGGUGCUGGGAUAAUAAUGAUCCCUAAACUUUUGAUUUAACGUACAAUGUGAUAUUUAAAUAUUUUAUAUAUUCAAUAUUAUUUCUGAAAAAUAUCGCCACUAAAAUUUUAAUUUAUUUAAUAUAAUAUAUGAAAUUUUAUAUAUUUUUAAAUUGAUCUCUGAAUUAUAUGAAAAUAUUUAAUGUUGCCGUUCUAUUAAUUCAAGCUCAUGAACAAUAUUGAAUAUUUUCAUAUAAUCUAAUUACUACGUUAGAUAUUGACAAUUUAAAAGUUUAGGAACGAUAUUGUACAUCGGAAUAAAGUUUGGAAAUCACAUUGCACAUUGGGUCAAAAUUCAUAAACUAUUUAUGUCAUUUCUUAUUGGUGUUUUCUUAUGCAUCAAAUUAGUUUAGCAGCAUGAUUGGGGGGUUCUCUUUGUUCUUCAGGUCGAAUACGGCUGAGAAUGGUCAAGACCCUCCCAAGUUUUUUAUGAGAUGAUCGAAAAGUCCACUUUUCGCUUAGUGAUUGACUCCAGAAAAUACAUGUUUGAUUUUUCACAAGCAAAAAUUUAAGACUAUUAAAAUUAGAAAAAUAAUUUUUGAUUUGUCCUUUUCAGCGAAACAAAUGAAACGUAAGAUCACAUAGUUGCAAAGGGUUAAAGCUGUUAAAAUAUCUCUCUUGCUUGUCUAUUUAUUAGUAGCAAGGGCUGGGACGCUGAGGAUGUCCAGCAGCCUCUCAAGCUUUGCCAAGAACACAUGGUGAUUGUUAAAUUAUGUCUCAAGUUUGAAUUCAUUAUAUGAUAUCCGAUACGUGCAAAACACUUAUAUGCUGAAAUGAGGAAGAACGUCCGCAAAGCAUUUAAUUAAAAUUAAGGAGUGCGUGAUAGGAGCCGAAAAAAAAAAGAUCCAGCCCUUGGCGUCGGAAAUGAAGGCCACAAAUCCGUGUGUUGACUUUUGUGGCCCUUCUCACUUUUUCAGCAUGAAAUUAUCCUCUGAAGAGUUCAUCCUCUAUUUUUUUUCUACGUCAUUAAAUGCAUGCACAUGGCCAUGUGCAUGCAUGCUCGUAGAAAACAAGUUGGUCAGCAUUUGUGGCCUCAGAAGCCUAUCAUGCAGGCGCCGAAGUCUAUCCCUCUCUUUGGUCAUCUUUUGUGGACUUCUUUCGUCUUGUUGCGGAUAAAGAAGGAGAGAAGGCAGAAGCUCUUCUACGUGCGUCAGUACAUGCUGCUCACCUCACACGCUAACAUUAAAUGCAUGGAGGCACAUGCUUUGAAGAUCGGCACCGUUCUGACAAUUGUGGAGUACAAGUUUUUUCUUCCCCUUCCACCGAUAAAAGGAAAAAGACGUCUGGAGCUCGUUGGCUACGCAAGAAAGAGCCAAAGAAAACGAGCUCGAGAGACAGAGAGCGAAAAGAAAAGAGCUCGGCCGAGAGCUAGAGAAACGAGCUCGAGAGAGAGCGAGAGCUUGAGCUCAGAGAGGGUUUGUGCGGAGUCGAGUCCAUUGAGUUGUUUUGUUAAACACCGUGGGUAUCGGGUAUAAAGUAGGGUUGGGAAACACUUGAGUGCAUGUGUAUGAUUGUAAUCUUGUAAUUCUCCGAUUUAUAGUGGAUUGAUUUGCUGACUCUCCCCGUGGAUGUAGAUUCCAACAUUAGGAUCGAACCACGUUAAUUUCCGGUGUCCUUUUCUUUUAUUGUUCCUCGUUUUAUUUCGAUUAAUUUCUAUAGCUCCCGACAUAAUUGCAAAAAUAUACGAUCCGCUUCCGCUGCGACGCCGAUUUCCAACAGUGAUGAUGAUGCUGGAUUUGGUGGGCUUGAUGUAUCAGUAAUUUGGAGCGAAUGGAAUAAAACGUUGUCCUUCGUUUUCUAGCGUGCUGGAUUUGAGUCCACAACGGGGAAACUUUAACCAUUCAAUGCGAACUUCGCUUAUUUGCAUGCUCGCAUGCUCAUAGAGUUCUUUUCCUUGUUGACGUCGAAGAAAUGCUCAUAGAGUCCUUCGCAUAUAAUUAUUUUAUUGUCGUAGCAAGUGAGCUUAACAUGUGUGAAACUUGUGAGAGAUUUAGAGAAUAUUGAGAGCCCUCUUCCAAAAGAGUUGAGAGAACCAAAAAAGGCCAUUUCUUUUAAUUAAUUUUUGUGAGUUGGGUUUGAAUUUAGAAUUGCAACACACUUGCGAAAAGGAAAUUAUCAAGAAAGUCCCAGACAAUUGUAUUUGUGCUAAUUUCAUUAUAAAUAUUUCAACGUAGCCAAUUAAGUUCUAAACAUUUUAACAAUUUACCAAUAUAGUUUAUUUAACCGAAAUUGAUCAAUUUUUGUAGAAAAUUACUUUAUGUGACACAACUAACACUGACACUAACACUAACAAUAUUCAAUAGUUUUUUAUUUUUUUAUUUUUUCUUUUCCCUUUUGUUUUCGCUAGGCUUCACCUGGGUGGGCCCUCCUUGCUAGAUUUGCAGAGGUCAACCCUUGCCUAGGCCAAGGUGGCCUCGCCAAGCUCACCUGGGGGAGGGUCAGCCUAGGCAAGGCCUAGCGAGGGUUGACUUGGGCCAGUCUAGUAUGGCAAUUAGGCACUCGCCCUUGCCCCAAUGAAGCUAAGCAAGGUUGACUCUCACCCAGCCUUGCCAUCAUCUAAGACCCUCGAUUGGCCUGUGGCUAGUGAUUCAUGAUUGGCCAUUGGCCAAAAAUUAAAAAGGGAAAGAAAAAAAAAUAUUUUUUAAAAUUCCUAAAGUUAUCCAUGACCAAUGUUCACAUUAGAGAUUUCCAACUAAAAUUGACUAGAUAAACUACAUUUAAGAUUUAAUUGACCAAAUUGAAAAGUUUAGAACUAGAUUCACAUAAAAACAAUAAGACAUUUUAAAUAAUUUUUCCCUCUUGUGAAUGACUCUGAUUUUAGGACAAGAACAGACAAAAAAAAAAAAAAACUGUGAUUAAAUGAUUGUAAUCAUAUCUCUGUUGUAUAUAGGACUCAUCUUCAAUCUCUUAUUGUGAAGUAUGCACACCGUCAAAUCACAAUAAUCUUUUAAGUUUCAUUUCUUUGAUUUAUUUCUUACUCAAAUCGUUUAAUUUGUUCAUGCACUUUCCGCAUUAGUCAUAACAAUUUGGUAUCUCAAAUGUGUCAUAUUUAAAGACCAUGACACAGUACAAGAAGAAACAUUUCCAUCAACAUUACAGAGAGGCAUAUAAAAUUCUACACCUGAUACAGACAACAAUCCUCCGAAGAUAAAAGAGAGCAUGUGCACCAAAGAGUACACCAAGCGACUUAUUCAUGAAAAGCUCAAACCAUCCGUUUUCAAACAUUUCUCCAUGAAAACAACCAAACCAGGUGGUCCUCUGUAUCAUCCGAUUCAUCCCCAAAGAAAGAAACAAACCUCUAUGUACUCACACAAUAAAACGGCAGCACACAGACAAACAGAAAACAACCCACCUUGAAGACGAGAAAGAGGAGACUAUGCCGAUGGAAAAAGUACAGAAAGCCAACUCAUUCGUGAGAAACCGCCACCACUUGUUUCCCAACAUUGCGGCCGGAGAAUAGCCCGAUGAGAGCUGCCGGAGCGCUCUCAAAACCUUUGGCAGUGUCUUCCACAUAAACAAUCUUCCCCUCUUUGAUCUGAGGCAAUACCAUCUCCAGGAACUUCGGGUAGAGAUGAUAGUAAUCGAACACCAAGAAACCUUCCAUUCUAAUCCGCUUCAGGACAAGGUUCAUCAAGUUGUGUACACCUUCGGGCUGCUCGAGAUUGUACUGUGAGAUCAUUCCACAUACCGCGAUUCGGCCAUGAAGUUUCAUGUUGAGCAGCACCGCAUCGAGCAUCUUUCCACCAACAUUUUCAAAGUAGAUAUCGAUACCCUCAGGUAAGCAUCUAAUCAUUUACAACACAAAAAGUCAAAUGGAGUUGGCUUCAGGAAUGGGUACAUAUUUUAUUUGCUUAAUCAUCAUUGUUAUACCAUAGCUCACCUUUUCAGUGCUGCAUCCAGAUCCGGUUCCUCCUUGUAGUUGAAAGCAUCAUCAAAUCUAAACUUGUUCUUCAGCAAAUCGACCUUUUUCGCAAAAUAGCAGCAAAAAGAACUUUUAAUAGAAUGAAAUUCGGAAGAGAACAGUAAGACUGUAGUUAGUGAAAUGAUGAUGAUGGUAUGUAUACAUUCAACAGUGCCAUCACUCUUGAGCAUUCUCAAAUUUAAGAAAGCCAGCACUCAUCAACCGUGAUAUGAUUACCUUCUCUUUGCUACCAGCGCUGCCAACAACAUAACAACCAAACAACUUUGCAAACUGGCCAACGAGCUGACCGACGGCUCCUGAUGCUGCCGAUAUGAAAACAGUCUCUCCUUUCUUAGGAGAGCAUACCUCGAAAAACCCGGCAUAAGCUGUCAUGCCAGGCAUACCUGCCAAGUUUAAAUUUGUAGCAAUUAGACAAGUCACAGGAUUUGCUGAAGCAUACGUGUAGGAGUGGUUAUGCUAUGGGAAAAUCUCAAAUGGUCCGAUUAUUGCCCAAAGGUGAAGCCCGAGAGAAAUGUAUUGACUUCCCAAGGAAAGCUACUAUUUCCCUAGAAAUAACUGAUUUACAUGCUUCUUUCAAAGCAAGAAGACAGCUUUGAAUUAUUGGCCCUGUCAUUCAAACAAUUCAACGAGGCCAGGAGGCUCAUCAACAAUGAAAAUCCCUACAAGUGAUAUCUUAACUAUCUGAUUCACCUUAUUCAUUAACUAUAGAGAGACAUUAAAGUUGAUGAUUAUAGAGCAUACCCAAAAGGCCAGUGUAGUAAGACAGAGGAACAUCAGUGUGUUCAAUCUUAAAGCAAGUCUCUGGUGCAGUAAUUAUACUAUACUCCUCCCAUCCAGUGAAACCCCAAAGCAAGUCGCCUUUCUUGAAGUUUGGAUGCCCAGAUUCCAAAACUCUAGCUACUCCAUAUCCAGUGAUAGGCUGCAUCGAUGUGUUAAAUACUUCAAAUAUAAGUGCAAAUAGUUUAGCAAACAAAAAUAGACAUCGUACUUCCAAGAAGGAAUGAUAAGACAAUUUCAUAAUCAGAUGCGCUACAGUAACUGAGACCCUUUCACUUUAACCUUUUCUCUGAUAUAAAAAAGUUUGCAACUUGUGUUAUAUUGAAGUAAGGUAAGUCAAAAUGCAGCUUUCUUAACACUUAAUAUAGCUUCCAACAAACCUAGAAGAAGAGCGGCAUAAUUUUAAUAUCUCAGCAGGAAUAAAAUUGAAAUCCAAAGUAAUACAUUGGAAUCCUAUGCAAUAUGCUAAAGGAUGCGACCAAAACUCUGCUUAUCCUAGAGUCAUGUUUAUUUUAUAUUUCAAUGAAUACAUCUCAUCGUCCUGUUUCACGUGCACGCUAUCGGUCACCAUUUGUCAUGCUUACACAUGAGUGGGAGUGUUAAGCAACUUGCAUCACUUUACCCUGUGAUUAUGUGGACUUUGUAAUCACAAGACAUGUAAAAUUCCUUUGCCAAAUAGCACAAGUGACGCUCUUUCGACACCCUAAGCUCUUCAAUCAUUUGCCGAAUCUCAUACCGACAUCGCAAACCAUUUCUACACUUUCAAAGCCACCACCAAUUGGCUCACAAAAGAUUUAGCCAUGAUAUUGGGGAAAAAAAAAAGAAUAGACAUACAGCACAGAGUCGCCAAAUCCUUUGAUUCAAAUGAUUGGACAUAAUCAGAACUAAUGCUUGGCAAGUCCUCGUAUAUUAAUUUAGCCAAACCUGAGAUCAUGAUCCAACACUCAGGAAAACUAAUAUAAUAACCGCCGCCUUAAAACAACAUAAGCAAUCCCCAGAGCAAACUGGUCAAAAUUGAAAAGGACAGCAAUAUCAUACUCAAAAAAAUCCACAUCAUCCGACAUCCGGAGCUUAUUUUAUUCACUAAUUUCCCAUUUCAACUACGAGGAAGACGAGUUUGGCUCUCGAGUGGAUGACCCCCUUUUCUCUUUCUAUACUCUUUUGGAGAAAAGACAAAACUUGACACGAAAGGAGUAUUGAGGGGCUUGCUCACCGAACCAGGUUUGAAGGAAUCGACGUAACCCGGGACGUCGAGCUUCUCCAUGCGGUUCCUCAUGUAAGGAUCGCAGGACAAGUAGAGAUUUUUCACGAGGAGGCCGCUCGAGCCCUCCGGGAGGCGCAGCUUCGUGGUCGAUUCCCGCACCUCCAUGUCCGUCUCCUUGGGGAACCCGCUCACGAAGUCCCUGAAUAUCACUUGCUUGUUCCUCACUACCUCCCCAUCCUCACUCGCCAUCGCUCCUCGCUACUCCUUUCGACGAAACUCGAGAUACCCAGAAGAGAUAAGACGAGCGGGCGUGGAGGGUGUGAAUUCAGUACCCUUUUUAUCGACCGGGCCGGGCGCGGAACGCGUGGAGGGGCCUCGCGGGGGCAGAAAAAUGCGACCUUUCGUCUGGCGUUUUUUCGCCUCAGAGACGUACGUAGGAUGGCGUGGCAGCGAGGGCGAGAUGGUUCUGGAGAUGCUCCGCGAGGAAGACGACAACGUACGGGGGUGUUGGCAUCACGCUUUCCUCGUAUGCAUCGGGUCGGUUUUUGGAGCGGAUCGAUCGGUCGGUCAUUCAUGACAACGCCGCUCCCUUGGUUGACUUGGUGGGUCUUCUUUUCGUCGUCCUGUCGAAUAUUGUGGCCGAAAAUGAUCGUGACCCUUCCCACGUUUUCUACAACCCAGAGGAAACGUGAAUGAUUUUCCGAGGGUUAAAAUGAUUAAACUAAGGAAAAAUAUUUUUAAAGAUAAAUGCAUUAAAAGUUCUAAAAUUUAUUACAAAAAUUCAAUCAAGUAUUAAAACUUAUCACAAAAGUUCAAUCAAAUUUUAAAACUUGUCUCGAAAGUACAAUUAAAUUCUAAAAUUUUCAAAAAACGCAAUUAAUAAAAAGAUUUAGAUUGGAUUAAUUUGAUAAAUUUUAGAAUUUGAUUAUAUUUUUUUGAAAGUUUUAUGAUUUAAUUGUAUUUUUGUGACAAGUUUUAUGACUUAAUUAUAUUUUUUUUGGAAAUUUUAGAACUCAAUUACAUUUUCAAUUUUUUUUUAGGAUUUCCAAUAUACUUACCCCGAUAUUUUUUGAAUCACUAUUUUUGGCGAGAUAAAUGGAAUGUAAAAGCAUGCACAAGAAUCGCGGACAGAGUGAUUUCAUGAGCUUGUUGCAUCUCUAAUUCAUUUGAAUAUGUUUCUGCCCUUGCUGGAGUUCGACCCCAAUCGAGGAAAAAAGAGUGUCGUCCUUCCUUUCUAGCGCGCUAGAUUCAUUCCAUUGUUGGGAAACUUCGACCGUUCAAUGUGAACUUUGCCAGCAGGCAGCAGCGCAUUCCUAUGUGCAGGUGUGGGGAAGAGACAAGCGGGGAAGUUUAUGUUGAUUGCGGCUUGAAGUUAAUUCCUAUUGUUUUUUAAAUUCGAUUUAUAAUUGAAUCGCAGUCCAAACGAGGCUCUUGCCAGCGGAAUUGUGGGUGAUGCAAAAAAGGUGAUUAAUUUCGCAGAACACUUCUUUUCCUUGAUGAAGAUGAAGUCCGUGUUGACGCCAGAGAAGUGCUCAUAAUUUUUGACAAUGUAAGUAUCCUCUUGUUGAGUUUGAUCUGCUUUGCCUAGUAAAUGCGCUCAAUUACGUGAAAUUGCGAGAAACACAGAGAGUGUUGAGUGCGGUCAUCCAAAAGAGUUGAGAAUGUGACAAAAUUCCUUUCUUGCGAUUGAUUUUUGUGGGUUCGAGUUUAAUCUAGGACUAGAAGUCACUUACGAAAAAUGGUGAUUGUGCUAUUAUAGUCUUAUCUUGGACUUCUACGAAGUAUGAGUUGGAAAAUUUUACUAGGAGAAAUUACUUUUUAAGGAGUGGCGCUUUAAGAUGCGUGCUUUGCUGGAAACAGAAAGUUUCACUAGAUUAAGAAAACUAAAGGAAAGGCUGACAUAUUGAAAAAGCUAGGGUUAUUAUUCUGCUGGUAAUAGGGGACGACGUUCUGUUUUAAGAGGCAAAUGAGACGAGUGCGGCUGUAAUUUGGAUGAACCUUGAUGCGCUGUAUAUGUGGAAAUCGCUCUCAAAGAAACUUUUCCUGAUACAAUGUUCCUUCACUUUCAACCUGGGAUUGCCUCUAUGAGUUUAAUAGUCAUUUUUGAUCUGAAAAAUGUGGAGGAAGAGGCAUCUGAUCAAUGGCAGGCUAUGGUGCUACUUUGUUCUUUGCCCAGCUCUUACGAGCAUUGUUGUCUGUCAAAUGAGGAGUGAGAGUGAGAGCGCAUCUGUUGAGGAGUUGAAGUCUGCACUAUUGGGGGCGGUGCAGUGUUUAUCGCAACAGCAUUGAGUGCAUUGACUCAGUACAGAUCAGGAUGCAUGACGGGAUCAUCAGAGCUUUGUGAGAUGUUCAAAAUUUCUGGAACUGAGGAAGAAUCUGAUUUCUAUUGGUACGUUGGAUUCUCCAGGUUGUCAGUAAACUUAUCAAAGGUGCAAUCGUGGUCAUGAAGGGCAAGCGAACAAGCGGUCCCCAUUAUCUUCAGGUUAGAUAGACACAUGUUCAGCAACUACAGUUUCAUCCAUGUUGUCAAACUCAAAUUAGACAAGUUUGUGCCACAUGAGACUGGGCACAUAACUAAGAGACGUAUGAACACUAUGAGUGAGCAAAGUCUUUUAUGUGGGUUGAAAACCGAGAAGUAGGACUUUUGCGAAUAUUGCGUGUUUGACAAGCAACACAGAGCGAAGUUCAAGACGGCAGUUCAGACCAAGGAUACAAUGGUUACUUCCAUUCAGACUUGUGGGGACCUUCUCAGGUGCAAUCUAAAGGAGGUGUCAGGCACGUGGUAACCUACUUUAGCCCAGAAGUCUCGCUUUACUCUCUAAAGCAUAUUAAUUGGGCUUUUGUAUGUUUUAAGCAGUUCAAGCUUUUGAUAGACAACAGGUAGAGUUCUGUUCUCAUGAGUUUGACAAGUUAUGUAGAGAAAACAGAACUGACAGGCAUGGCACCGUGCCUGAAACACCAGAGUAAAAAGGAGUUGCAGCAUGAAUGAACAAGACUUUGCUCGAGGGAACCUGAUAUUUGCUGUUGAAGGCUGCAUUGUCACAAGAUUUCUAGGCUGAGGCCGUCAACUUGGCAUAUCACUUGAUUAACAUAUCUCCAGCAUUUGUCGUGUUCCGAAUUCUAGAGGAUGCAUGAACUAAUCAACCUGCUGAUUACUUGAGCCUGAGAGUGUUUGGACGCCCUGCUUAUGUUCAUGCUAGGGAGGCAAAAAGGAGUACAUAUUCCUAGCCUAUGCACCAGAGGUGAAAGUUUAAAGGCUGUGGUGUUCAGACCCUAAAUCACCGAGAUUCAUCAUCAACAGAGAUGUCACCUUCGAUAAAUCAACGAGGCUCCAGAGUAGCAAGGAGACCCAUGCUGUAAAAAGGGAACAUGGAUAUCAAGUAAUGAGUUUGAGAUGAAAGAUUUAGGUUUAGCCAAAAAUAUAGUUGGUAUGCAGUUUGAAAGAGAGAGAAGUCAGGAACGUUUCAGCUAUCACUGGGUGAUUGCAUACGUGAAGUCCGGAGGCAGUUUAGCAUGUGGAACGCCAAGCUAUAAGUGCCCCACUAGUUGCGCAUUUUAAGCUGACUCAUUCACGAGAAACCACAACCACCUGUUUCCCGACAUUGCGACCAGAGAACACCCCGACGAGAGCUGCUGGACUGCUCUCGAGCCCUUCCGCGAUGUCUUCCGUGUACACAAUCUUCCCCUCUUUGAUCUGAGGCAAUACUGUCUCCAGGAACUUCGGGUAGAGAUGUUGGUAAUUGGACACCACAAAACCUUCCAUCCGAACCCGCUUCAGGAUAAGGUUCAUCAAGUUGUGUAUGCCUUCGCGCUGCUGGAGGUUGUACUGUGAGAUCAUUCCGCAUACUGUGAUUCGGCCAUGAAGUUUCAUAUUGAGCAGCACCGCAUCAAGCAUUUUUCCCCCAACAUUUUCGAAGUAGAUAUCGAUCCCCUCAGGGCAGCAUCUAAACAUUUAAGACAAUGGGUACAAAUUUAAUAUCCUGCACACCAAUCAUCGUUAUUGUGUUCCAGGCUCACCUUUUCAGUGCUGCAUCCAGAUCCAGCUCCUCCUUGUAGUUGAAAGCAUCAUCAAAUCCAAAUUUGGUCUUCAGCAAAUCAACCUUUUUCACAAACAUAACAGCAAGAGAGAACUUUAAGUAAGAUGAAAUCCAGAAGAGACUAGAAAGACUGUAUUUUUAGCAAUUAUGUUUAGUGAAAUGAUGAGGGUACACAUUCAACACUGCCAUCAGUCUCUUGAGCAUUCUCAAAUUUGAGACAUACAGCACUCAUAAUAUCUCAAGUGCUUCUUUUAGAUCUAAUUCUAUUUGAGUUGACUACAGGAACAUGCACUCUAUUUCAGACGCUUGUCUAGUCACUCAUCAUGAAACAACAGUGAAAAUUGCAGAUGCCAACCAUGCUUGGUGAACCAUUAACAUCGACACAAUUAUGUGCUUCUUUCAACACUAGACAAAUGUGGGAUGAUUACCUUCUCUUUGCUACCGGUGCUGCCAACAACAUAGCAACCAAACAUCUUUGCGAACUGACCAACAAGCAGACCAACGGCUCCCGCUGCCGCUGAUAUGAAAACUGUCUCUCCUUUCUUAGGAGAGCUUACCUCAAAAAACCCGGCAUAAGCUGUCAUGCCUGGCAUUCCUGGAAAGUAUACAUUUGUUGAAAUUAGACGAGUCACAGAUUUGCUGAAGCAUAAGAGUAGGAGUGUUAUGUUAUAGCAAAAUCUCAAAUGAUCUGAUUAAUUGACCGAAGGUGAUGCCCCUGACAAAUGGAUGAGAAAUAAUCAGUUUACACACUUCUCUCAACACAAAAGAUAGCUUGGCAGGGCUCUAUUGUUGAGACAAUUCAACGAGAGCAUACGGCUUAUUAACCAGGAAGAUCCCUACAAGUAAAAUUCAAAGGAAGCACGCUUUUUCCUUGCAUAGCUAGAGGCUGUCCGUACUUGAGAAUGAAACAGAUAGAACAAAGUAUCUUGGCAAUCCCAUUACCCUCAUUCUUUAACACUGAAAGAGAUAUUACACACGCUUUUUCCUUGCAUAGCUAGAGGCUGUCCGUACUUGAGAAUGAAACAGAUAGAACAAAGUAUCUUGGCAAUCCCAUUACCCUCAUUCUUUAACACUGAAAGAGAUAUUACACUAGAUGAUCAAAGAGCAUACCCAAAAGGCCGGUGUAGUAAGACAGAGGAACAUUGGUGUGUUUGAUCUUAAAGCAAGUCUCUGGCGCAGUAAUUAUACUAUACUCCUCCCAUCCAGUGAUGCCCCAAACCAAGUCACCUUUCUUGAAGUUUGGAUGCCUGGAUUCCAAAACUCUAGCUACUCCAUAUCCAGUAACAGGCUGCAUCAAUGUGUUACAUACUUCAGAAUAUAAGUGCAAAUAGAUUUAGCAAACACGAAUAGACAUUGAACUAACAAAAAGGAAAGAGUUUGUUUCAUUUGAAUUUUACUUGUCGAGUGGACUUGUCACAAAUUUGAGCUUGAUUUAUUCAUGCGAGUUCAUAACUUACUGUUGGGAUCAUGAAUGAGUAAAUGCAGCGAAAGAGGUGAUUGCACUUACAGAACCAAGCUGAGUGAGGUACUUGAUGAUGGUGAGAUUGUAGGGAUCGCAAGCCAGGUACAAGUUUUUCACGAAUAUGGUCCCCAGACCGGAGUUGGCCUUCAAUCGCUCCGAACUCGUCCUCAUUUCCAAGUUGGUCUCUUUCAAGAAACCUCGUACCUGCUCUCUGUAUAUAACCUGUUUGUUGCUCAUCACUUCCACUGAAGCAUCGUUGUUCUCCUUCUCCAUCGCCUUUCUCUCUCUUCUUGGAUUUGAUUGGUUAGAAACAUAGCCGAACAGUGCACUUGUAUUUAUAGGGAGAUGGGUGAUGAGAUAUGCAGACAUUCCUUCCGUGUGCUCGUGUCGUCGGCGUGUAUGUUUGCGUGUGCCUUUGUGUCGUCAGUGGAAGUAUUAUUCCAAUCCCUUGGGAAAAAGAAGUCGAUCAAAGUGGCCAAUUGAAUUCUAAUAAUUAGCUUGACCAAAAACAAAUUCUAAUCAUUAGAAAAUGAUCUGAUUUGCAGUAAAAUUUUAAGAAAUCUUUUAUGUGGUAAGGAAGAAUUUGAAGAGAUAUUUUGUACUAGCAUCACCAAUAGCCACAAAAAAUUCCUUUCUUCAGCACAAGCGCAAAUUGCCAAGCAAAACCCAAAUCUCUCUCACGAAAAUGUGUGGCUGAGGGUUGACCUUCCAUAUUGCAAGGUAAUGGGAUGGUUAGCCAAACAUUUUCCAAUAUAAAAUCCUUCCUUUUGAAGAAUUAAGGUAUGCACAUCACCAGUUUUCCCAUUCCACACAUCCCUGACCUCCCUGACUUGAAUCGAGUGUAAUAAUGUGAGGAUGUAGUGGGGUGGUGAAAAUGGUAAUCAUUGAUUGAAAAAACAAAUGAUGAAUGAAUGAGCUUAUAUGUGUCGGCCUAAAAAUUCUGAUCUAGACUUAUCCAUGAUUGGAAAAGAUUAAAAAAUGCUGUUUAUUUAAAUUGAUCGUGUCUGAACAAGCCUACCUAAACCUAACUGAGCCAAAUCUGAAAAGGAAACGGCUUAAUUAGACUUGCCCAUUUUCCGAUUUAGGCCCAUACAGUCCAUGGUCACUUCAACAACAAAGGUGCGAUAAGGAGUCUUUAUUUUUAGUCGACUUUGGAAUCUACCUCCCUCUUUUAAUAUUCGAAAUUUUGAGAUGUCGUGCCAUGAAAUCUCUCUGCUAUUGGACCGCUCAAAUAUGAUGAUGGAGGCUUGCUUGGCAUCCGUUGCUCUUACUUCACUUCACUAGUAGGCCUCCACAUAAUUUGCAGUAUUCUCGAUAAUUUGCAGUAUUCUCGAUAACUUAAUAAUCUGCUUAUUGAUGUAAUUCUUUAGCUAGUCGUCGCUUUGCAUUUGGAUCGCUAACUUUGGACGCCAAGUAAGCGAAAUCUAUAUAUGUUCCACCAUUCUUAAACUCACAAAUCUAUUUAUUUUAUUUCUUUGAUUGAGUGACGUAAUAUCAGUUAUUUGUUAGACUAAUUUGGUAAUUUUUUCCCUUUAUAUCAUUUGCACUAACGUUUCUUAGAGUGGACAAUGUGACACCAGGUAAAGCAAAAUAAACUAGAGUCAUUCUUAUUCUAAUAUCAAAUUAAAUUCUCUCGCCAAUUUGAAAUUGUUAUUGCUGUUGUACUCGAUGAAUUUUAUUCUUCAUUUUGCUUGUCCCUUUAAUUAAGGCUUACACUAUUUUGAGAAAAGUACACCAAAAAAAUAAUAAUCCUAAUCCUAUGAUAUUGCUACUAAUUUAGUUUUAAACCUUUUAAUUAGAUCAAUUACAUAUUAAUCAUUUUCACAUUAAUACCAAUUCAGUCUAUUCAAUCAAUUUUGGCCGGUUGAUGCUGAUGUGGACGAUGGCCGUCCAGCCAAUGUUAACAUGAUAAUUUUUAAUAAUUUUGUCCUUUUUCUUUUUGUUUUCCUUUUUUUUUCCUCUUCUUUCUCCUUGGAUUCCUUGCAAUGGCCGACGAGGGUCGCCUAGCCUUCGCUGCCUGUUGAUGAGGGUCAUGGCCGUCACCCAGGACUGUGAGCGAGGUGGCUUCAGCCAAAUCUAGUGGAGGCUAGGGCAAGGCUGGUAGCCUCGCUUGUGGCCCUGGGUAAGGCCGAGCGUGGUUCGUGAAGCUCUCAUCCAAUGGUUGACUAGCCGCUGGAGACUUGUCGCCAUUGCUGGAGAAGAAGGGCAAAGGAAAAAGAAAAGGAAAAGGGAAAAGAAAAAAGAAAAAGAAAAGAAAAGAAAAAAAUCAAUAAAAAAUUUCGAAAAAAUAAAAAAAUAUUUAAAAAUUGCCACAACAGUAUUCUUCGUCUACUCGGUAUCUAGUCAGUACCGACUGGCCAAAUUUGGUGGGAUGAACUAAAUUGAUACAAAUGUGAAAAUAUUUAUGAUUAAUUGGUCAAAUUAAAAGGUGUAGGACUGAAUUAGUACAAAUACCACAUGUUUAUGAAUUUUUUUUAGUGCUUUUACCAAUCAUUUCUAUCCCCUUACUAUUUCUUGACACUUUCUUCUACAUUGAAUUGAUUGCAUUAUCCUUAUGGAUCCCACUUUUGAUUUAAGAUUAUUUAUUGCCUAUGAUUUUGUUGGUUUUCUUUUGUUUCAAUUUUUCUAGUGACCGAACUACUCAUUUUCCCACGCCCUGCAAGAGCCGAUGGCAAAAGUCUGAGAGUGAGUGUAGAGUAAGAAUAGAGUAGGACUGACAAAAAAAAAAAAAAACUACUAAUUCUCCUCUCAAAUGGCAUUUAUUUAAGUGAGUUGUGGGGUCCACUCUUGGUUUUAAGAUUAUUGUUUGGCUUCUUUUCUUCUUUUCUUCUUUUUUCCCCCUUUUCUUUCUCCAUUUGUAAUAAAAUUUGGGUACCCCUUUUCCAAAUUUUAUUUGAUGGAUAGCUAAUUAAUUAUUCAACCUAAAAAAAAAAAUAAUUAUUGUGUUAAUGAAUUCAUAUAUUUCUUUUUUUUUUUACUAGAAAAGUAUCGUUUAAUUAUAACUUUAAUAUAUAUAUAUCAUUACAUUAUAAUCCGUGCAUUUUAACUAUACAACUAUAAUUUUAUUUGGUGAAUCUAAUUGUCAAGUUUUUAAUUAUUUAUCAUGUAAUGCAUUAAAUAAAAGCAUGAUCCUAAUCCGUUCUGUUUAUAGCAACAAACUUCAAAAUGAUGGUUAAUCAAAUAAGAUUUGGUCUUUCUUCUCCGACACAAUGUCAAUCACAAUAACUAUAUCCCUUAUCGCAAUAAAAAAGAACAUACUUUUCUCUUUUUGACAUUUCAAUAGAGACAAGAUAACUUAAAGCAAGAAGAUGUUUCCGUUCCGCACUAUACUCAAAAAAUUCUACUGCAUUAAAAAACUUGUUGACACAAUUGAUUACUAUUCUUCAUUCGUAGUUUCGUCAUCGAUAGAUGCAAUUAAGCAAAUUGUCUUCCACAUGCAUUACAAAAAAUAGUGCAAUGAGAGAUGAGUAAAUUGUGUAUAAUGCAUACAUUAACCAUAAUAUCAAAGUCGAAAAAUUCAUGAUUGUGAGGGAUAAUCUAGGGAAAUAAAAUAAAUAAUUUGUUAACAGAACUAACAUUUUUUUACUUCAAAAUAUAAUUAGUUAGGUUACAACAUUGGAGGAUAAGUUCAAAAGAAAACAAACAUGAAGGAAAUGUUAAAAUGUAAUGAGCGUGGAAGAAACAGCUAAGAUGAAAAAAAGAAGUUAUUUGAAAUAGAUGUGGGGCAGCUUUGUCUUUUAAUAAAUUUGAAACCGAAGAAAAAGAAGGAAAAAACACAGGACAUAAUCUUAAAUCAAAAUUACGACCUGUAGUAGAUAGUUUAGUCAAUCAAUGUGACAAGGAUGUCAAGCCAAUAAAGGGUGAAAACAGCAUGAGCCUUAGGCUCCAUUCAUUUUGCGGAAAAUAAUUUCCGAGAAAACAUUUUCCUGAUUUUUCGGCGUUUGUUUCACGGAAAAUGAAUUCCUUUGGAAAAAUGUUUUUCAUGAAAGAAAAAAAGUUUUCUAGAUUAGGAGAAAAUGUUUUCGACUUUUGAAAAGUGGAAAACAUUUUUCUCACUUGAUCUCUCUUAUCGUACACCUCUACAAAUUCUUACUUCCUCCUCCCAUUUCUUCAUUUUCUUUUCUUUUUUUAUUCAAAUUAUGUUUUAAUUUUUUCUUUGUUAAUUCGAAUUAUUUUUAAUUUCCUUUUUCUUUUUUUUUCUUUAAUUUUUCUUUAAUUUGUUUCCUAUCUUCUUCUUUCUUGGAUAAUUGUCGGCCGUUGCCAAGCGAACCUCAAGCUCGUCGAUCUCAAACUCGUGCUUUGCACUCUUAUUUAUCAUUUUCUUUAUUUACUCGACCUUGCAGUUGUACAUUACUCAAGCAAAUGGCUCUACAUGCUUUGCUUCUUUUUUCUUUUGUUUAUUAAAACACAAAAGAUAAAGGGGGAGAACAAGCCAUGGAAGAUUUUAUUAGGGCUGUACAUACUUUGCUUCUUUUCAUUUUUUCUUGUUUUUAAAAUCCACACAAACAGUUUUUAGAGUAGAUGAAUGUUUAGUGAUAAUGAGAGGACAAAUAUAUGAAGCAAGUUUACCUAGAUUUAAAGACAAGUUCAUAUUUGAUGGAUUUAUAGGUCGGUAAGUGAUGCAUGCCUAAGUGGUAAAGUCUUAGAAAAUAUUUUCCUUACCGAAUAUUGAAAAAUUUUUCCAAAACAUUUUCAGGUUGUAACCAAACACCAAAAAAUAUUGUCAUUUUCCUGAAAAAUGACUUAUGGAUUUUUUUUUUCCCGAAAAUGACCUAUUUUCUGCGAAACAAACGGACCCUUAAUUAAUUAAUACAUUCUUUAGGACACUCUUAUCACACAUCUUAAUUAAGCCUUUUCUAAAAUUUGGCAUUCCUUUCAAUCAUUAAAUUAACGUUAUCUUCAAUUAUCUUAUGUUUUCAAUUAACGAAAAUUUAAUUUUAUGUUUUGCAUUAAAAAAUUCUUGUCUUUUUAUCAAAUUUUUGUAUUCUUUUGUUUGGAAGAGUUUAUUUGAGUAAAUAUAUUAUUAGCAUCAUUCAUUUUGUUCGUACUUUUUUUUUCUAUCUCAUUUAAAAUGCUAUACUUGCCAUUUUACUUGAUGGAAAUGCUCUUUUUCGAUGAUGCGAUACGUCUGUGGCGUGUAUGCGAAAUCUCUCAUUCCCUUUCUUCCUCUUCUUCCUUUUCUUCUGUUUUUGCGUGUCUUGGCCUCUUAUAAACUGAAGGCGUCCACCGUUUGAUGUUUUGUUGACUUUUUAACUCUGUUUUUUUUCCUUGCUCGGUUAAACUCCAAAUGUUGCACUAAGUGCACAUCCAUCUAUUUCAAAAAUUUAAUCAAAUAAUUUAUAUUUGUGUGUUCUCGCUGCGUUGAUAUUUCUCUAUGCUUCAUUCGUUAUAAUUAUAUAUUUUUGUCUAAGUGUUUUUCAUUUGUUUAUGAUUAUCAUGAGAAAAAUAUCAAUUUUAUUCCUUUUCAUGUAGUUAUUUUUUAAUAUAUUUAGAGUUAAUACCCUGAAAAAUCCAAAAUUGAUAUACUUAAAUUUUACCUUAAAUUAAUUUUUUGACCACAAAAAAAUCUCAAACUGAUACAUUCGUGACAAAUUUACCAAAAACUAAUUUUUUAAUCACCAAAAACUCUAAAUGUAUAUUCUUGUGAUAAAUUUAUCCUCCAUUAGCUUUUGUCAAAUUUAAACGUUAAAUUUGCCGACAUAGAUGACACAUGGUGAUUUAGUAUGGUGACGUUGAAAGUCCACAUCGAAAUCCAUAGGGUAAAUAUCAUGAAAAAUCUCAAACUGAUACACUUGUGACAAAUUUAAUGAUACUCUCAUGAUAGAUUUAAUGGUACAACUAUGACAAUUUUGGGAUUUCUUGUGGCAUAAAUCCUAUGGAUUUUCAUGUAAACUUGCCAUGUCAUCACAACAUGCCACUAUGUCUCAUCCGCGUUAGCAAAUUUAACGAUAAAAUUUGAUGAAAGUUAUUAGAGGAUAAAUUUAUCACAGAUGUAUCAGUUUGAGGUUUUUGGUGGUGAAAAAAUUAGUUUUGGAUAAAUUUAUCACAAGUUUACUAGUUUGAGGUUUCUAGUGAUAAAAAAAAUUAGUUUGGAGGUAAAUCACCAGUUUGGAGGUUUUUUAGGGUAUUAACUCAUAUAUUUAGUUGUUAAUAUCAUCAAUAGUCAAAUAAUAAAUAUUCAAAUUGCAUUUCAAGAAGUGUUAAAUUAUGUCUCAAGUUUAAGACCGUGCGAGAAAUCUCAAGAAAUCUAUUUUCUUAUUGGGUUAGGAUUCAUCACACGAUGUGGUUUUUUAUUUUUUUUAUUUUUGGUGAAAAGAAAUUUUCAUUCAUUAGUAAAUUGAUACAUGAAAGGAAAUCUCAAAGGUCAUAGUAACAAAACAAACCCAUAGAUCUCCGAAAUAAACAAAAAACCAAAAAUCAAGGCGUUUCGUCAAAGCAUGAUUGAUAGAGAUUAUCACAAGCUUAUCCUUCAAGAACAAAUUUAUAACUGGAUUCAAGCAAAUUACCCAAUCACAUAACACCAUCAAUGAUAAGCACAUGUCGAGAUUUUCAUUUGUGCUUUGCCUUUUGGUGGUGUGGGCCUAAGUUUGGCAUCCCCAACACAAUUAUUAUACAAAGCAACAUAACUAUGUUAAAAAAUCUCAGAUCUGACAUCCGUGAGAGUGAGCCAUGUAGUUAAUGUGAAGUGUCAAAACUUUGAACCAGAACAAAUUUGACACUGAAGUUGCUAUGAACAUCAUUAAAAUUGGAAACGGAAUACUUAUUCAUUAAAACUCAAGAAUCUAUAAUUAGAUCAAAAAGAAAUGCUCUCAGUUAUAAGAUUGGGAGAGCAAAGUUUCCGGAUUUAAAACUUGAUUGGGAGAAUUAAGAAAGAAAUAAAAAGAAAUAAAAGGAAAAUGAACUAAGAGGGGAGGGAGAGAUCCAGGGCAAAUCCCUCCCCUCUAGAAGUGGAGGAGACGAAAAAAGGUUUAGAGAGAGAAUCGGGACCAUGUAGUUUGCUUGACUAUUUUCGGAUGAAGGGGCCACAAGGUAAUUGGCUUAUUCGAUUUUGGUCAAAGAAGAUGUGUGGUGGUUUGACUCCUAUUUGUAGCCACACGAGAGAGAGAGAGAGAGAGAGAGAGAGAGAGAGAGAGAGCCACUACAGGACAAAAUAAGGGCUCACAUGUUCUCUAAUUAUAUAUUUAUUUUGAGGGUGAAAAGGUUUCUGUCAGAGGAGACAAAACAUAGUAAUACAUAUAUAAAUAUAUGUAUUAUAUAUUUCUUUUUCUUGUACUCUUGCCUAUCUUGUCCUUUCCUCGUGAGGAAAGCCCGUCGGUUCUCGAAUAGAAUGCACACUUUGAGCCGCACGAGGGAACUCUCUAAAUAAGGAGCAUAAGACGCACAUGAAUUUUAUACCCAAAUUGUGUUGUGGACUUAUGUGUAAUCUAGGUAGACAAAAUACUGGAGUGCAUCGAUUGCAACUCUGAUUAUCUAAUUAUAAUGAAUUAUUUGUCAUUGGCUCCACUUGUAUAGUAGAAACCAAUCAUUGGAUCAAAUCAUAUAAAUCUAUAAUGUCUUUAAUUGUUCAUUGUUUAUUUUUUUGGUGAUUUCACGGUAAUUUGAAUGGCAUAAUCUUAUCAGUUUCUGCAUUAAUUUUACAAUGGAAAGUUUGGUGCCUAUAAAUUUGAAAGAGACUGCAUGAUCUUUAUACGCGCAAUGCACAUGACAUUUUACUAGUGAUUCAAGAGGGAUAAUUACCAAAAAUGUCUCAAACUUAUCAUUUGGAUGUUAAUUCAGUUAUAAAUUUUUAAUUUAACCAAUGUAAUCCUAAAUCUUUUAACAAUUUUGUUGUAGUCAUUCCGACCAAUUUUUGACCGAUAAUCAUUGACAUGGAUGAUUAAUAACUCUAUUUUAGAUAGAGUAUUUUUACUAAUUUAAGUUUGAUAUUUAUUAAGUUUUGAUGAAUUUUGGGUGAAUUUAUUUGCAACUCAUGUAAUUUUAUUGAAUUUUGUAGGAAACAUGACUUUUGGAUUUAUAAGAAACCAUGCGCAUCAUUUGUAGAAGACAUGAGGAUCGAUGCGUAAUUUUCCCAAGUCAGAGUUGGAUUUGUAGAGCAGUCCCCAAGCCUCAAUAUUUUCCAAAAUAUUUGAAUAUCUCUAAGGAUAUUUGAAUAUCUUUAAGGAUAUCUCUAUAUCUUUAAGAAUAUUUAAAUAUCUUCCAGAAUAUCUUAUCUUGAAGAAAAAGCGAGCCAAGACCAGUGUACUUGACCAUAAUUGAGGAUAGGUUCAAAGAAAAUUAAGGAUACGAAUCUUAAGAAGAAAAACUCCUAAUUUGUUGAGGAAUACUAUUCAAGACCUAAUGAGAGGUUGACUUAGGGUGGAUUUUUAGAAGCUAUAUAAACCCCUCUCAUGCCACAUAUUUUAGUUUCUAGGAGGAGCCUUGAAGCUGCCACUAGAUUUUAGGUUUUCUUAGUUAGUUUUUUAUACUUCUAUUUCAUUAGUGGAAUUUGUGCAUACGAAGGAGAGAAGGAGGAGGCAAACCCGAAUUUAUUUGCGACUCAAACUGGUGAAUUUGUUUCAAUUUAGCAUUAUUUUCUUUUUAAUUUUCAUUGCUAAUUAAUUUUAAUUAUGUUUUGUAUUUCUUUUGUUAGAGCUACAAUGGAUCUUAAUCAUGAUUGAUUGAUUUUCAAGACUUGUUCAUGCAAUAUAAAUGCUUUGAUUGUGGCGUUCUCUAUCAUGAUCUUAAUCCUUUUAGAAGUUUGGGCAACUUUUAAAUGAUUUUUUUUAUGUAUGCAUGAUACCGAGUGGAGAUGGCAUGCAUGAGCACUAGUGACAUCGAAUCAUAAAUUAAAUCUAGCUCAAGGUACACUAGAUUGUUUGUGUGGUUAUGGUGGUAGAUCUAGAUUGGGACUACUUGGAUUAAAUCCAAAAGUUUCCACAAGAAUUUAAUGUUUUUAGGUAGUUUAAAGUCACCUAAGGUUAGUGUGGGUUAACAUACCUUAUUGGGGAUUAUUAGAAUGAGGUUGGCUUGUAAUCUAACUUAGAGAAAUUUCACCAACACAAUUGGAAAUUAAUUUAUUGCAUGACAAAUUGAGAGAAUUGAUUAUGAGUGGUUAAAUGAAGUUGGAUGUUCUAUCACUUUCUAAUCUUGGUUAAAAUCUUGAAAUUUGCCUUGUUAAUUUUCAUUUUACUUUAGAUUAGGUUGAUGUUGCAAUUUUAAUUAGCUUUCAAAUUCUUUAAGUUUUGACUCUUCUAUAAUUAGUCUUUUAAUUGGUUUAAUUCACUUUUUACUUUUUUUUUAAAGCUAAAUCUUUGGAUUGAUCACUUUCGAUAAGUAAACCAUGCUCACUCAUCACUUUGUUACUUGUAGACAUUGUCCACUUACAAUUCACCUAACAAGUUUUUGGCGCCAUUGCCGGGGAUCGAUUUCCAAUUACUAUUGAUAUCGAGAGCGAUUCUUGGUUUAGACAAGCCUUUAUUUUUUUUAAAAAAUUUAUUUCUUUCGUAGGUCAAACUCAACUCUCUAUAAAGGUGGGAGGAGCAUUGCAUCACCCGAAGCCAACAAAUAGAACUUCAAAAGUUUAAUUCCAAGAUUGAAAGAACCUUUUUUAGGAGAAGAAGAAAGCAAGCACAAGUAAGUCUCAUUACAAUGGCUGAAAAUCAAGAAGACGCACCUAGAUGACUUUGAAAAAUAAUGCAACACCAACAAUAAAAAAAAAAAAAAGCAAACAUAUCAAGUUUUACAUUCAAAGUUUUAUUGGUGCCAAUUUCAUGAAAUCCUCAAGGCUUCCGAGCUUGGUAUCUUUCAAUUGGCCAUUGGUAGCUAUUGGUUGCCAUCUCCUCAAGUAGAUUAAAAGCUUCUUCAGCUGACUUGUUUUACAAAGUGCCUCUAGCUGCCACAUUUAGACUAGCUCGAAUGGCGGGAUGUGCUCCAUUAUAAAAUGUGUGCAUUUGCAUCUAAACUAGUAGUCCAUGGUACAUGCAUUUUCUUAGCAGCUCCUUAAACCUCUCCUGUGCUUCAAAAAAGGACUCACCAUCUAUAUGCAUAAAUGUAGUAAUAUUGUUAUACAUUUUGGUAAAUUUAAAGGAGGAAAAUACUUAGGAAUUUUUGAGCCAAGUCUUGCCAAGUGGUAAUAAAACCUCUAAGAAGAGAGGUCAACCAAGUCUUAAAUUUAUCACAAAGAAAAAAUGGGAAGAGUUAUAACUUAAGGGCAUCAUCAGGAAUGCCAUUGAAUUUAAUAGUGUCACAAUUUCAAGGAAUGCUUCUAAGUGUAAAUUUAGAUCAUCAUUAGGUGAUCCACUAAAUUGCCUUGCAUUUUUAAGCAUUUGAAUUAAGGAUGGAUUGAUCUCAAAAUUAUUAGCUUGCAUUGCCGGCCUCCUUAGACUAAAUUGUGCUUCUUGAAUUUUAGUGUUGCAUAAUCUUUCAAAGUCCUCCUUGGAGGCGUGUCUUGUUGAUUUUUAGCCAUUGCAAUGAGGAUUGCUUGUGCUUGCUUUUUUCUUCUCCUAAAAAGGUUCUUUCAAUAGCGGGAUCAAACUCUUCAAGGUCUCCUUGGCUUCGGGUGAUGUGAUGCUCAUCCCACCUUUUAUAGAGAGGUGACUUUGGCAUACAAAAGAAAUAAAUUAAAAACAAAAGAAAGGCAAGUCAAAAUCAAGAAUAGCUCGAUAUCAAUAGUAAUUGGAAAAUUAUCAAAUAAAUCCCUGGCGAUGGCACCAAAAACUUGUCAAGUAAAUUACAAGCACACAAUAUCUACAAGUAAUAAAGUGAUGAGUGAGUAUCGUUCCCACUUGGAUUGUAUUUAAUUAUCCAAUUACUUACCGAAGGUGAUCAAUCCAAAAAUUUAGCUAACCAAGUCAAAAAGGCAAGUAAAAAGUGAACUAAAUCAAUUAAAGGACCAAAAUAUUAAAUAGACAAAACUUAAAGGAUUCAAAAGCUAAUUAAAAUUGCAAAAUAAACCUAAUCUAAAACAAACUAAAAAUCAACAAGGCAAGUUUCAAGAUUUUAACAAAGAUUACAAAGCAUUAGAGCAUCCAACUUCACUUAACUAAUCAUAAUUAAUUUUCUUAACUUGUCCUGCAAUAAAUUAAUUUCCAAUUGUGUUAAUGAAAUUUCCCUAAAUUAGAUUACAAGCCAACCUUAGUCUAACAAUCCCUGAUUAGGUAUGUUAAUCCACACUAGACUUAGGUGAAUUUAAACUAUCUAAAAGCAUUAAGUUCUUUUGGAAAUUCAUGGAUUUAAUAUAAGUAGUCUCGACCUAGAUUUACUACCGCAGCCACACAAACAAUUUAGUGUACCUUGACUUAGAUUUAAUUUAUAGUUCCAUGUUACUAGUGCUCAUGCACGCAAUCUCCACCUGAUAUCAUGCAUACAUCAAAAAUCAUUUAAACGUUAGCCAAAAUUCUAAAAGUAUUAAGAUCAUAAUAGACAACGCCACAAUCAAAAUAAUUAUAUUGCAUGAACAAGUCUUCAAAAUUAAUCAAUCAAUCAUGGUUAAGAUCCAUUGUAGCUCUAACCAAAGAAAUUUAGAAAUAAUUAAAGCUAAACUAAAAACAAAAACUAAAAACUAAAAAGAAAAUGCUAAAUUAAAACAAAUUCACCAAUUUGAGUCACAAAUGGAUUCGGGUUCGCCUCCUCCUUCUCUUGCAAAAAUUCUACUAAUGAAAUAGAAGUAUAAAAGCUAGCUAAGAAAACCUGAAAUUUGGUGGCGACUCCAGGGCUCCUUCAGAAAACUAAAAUAUGCGGCACAAGAGGAUUUUAUAUUGCCUCAAAAAUUUGCCCUAGGUCAGCCUCCCAUUAGGUCUUGAAUAGAACUCCUCAACAAAUCAAGAGUUUUCCUUCUUAAGAUUCAUAUCCUUGAACCUAUUCUUAGUUGUGGUCAAAUACACUGGUCUUGGAUGGCUUUUUUUUUUUUUUUUUUUCAAGAUAAGAUAGUCUUGGGAAGAUAUUGAAAUAUCCUUAGAGAUAUUUAAAUAUUCUCAAAGAUAUACAGAUAUUUAAAUAUUCUAGAAGAUAUUUAAAUAUUCUCAAAGAUAUUUAAAUAUUCUCAAAGAUAUAUAGAUAUCCUUAAAGAUAUUGAAAUAUCGUUAGAGAUAUUCAAAUAUCCUGGAAUAUAUUGAGGUGUAGGGACUGCUCUACAAAUUUAGCACAGACUUGGGAAAAUUACGCAUUGGUCCUCGCAUCUUCUACAAAUGAUAUGCAUGUUCCAUUAUAAAUCUGAAAGUUGUGUUUCUUACAAAAUUCAAUAAAAUUACAUGAGUAGCAAAUAAAUUCACUCAAAAUUCAUCAAAACUUAGUAAAUAUAAAACUUAAAUUAGUAAAAAUACUAUCUAAAAUAGAGUUGUCAAUGAAGACCGUUUUACAUGAUAUAUUCAGGAUUGACAUAGAUUUUUUUUUUUUUUGCUUUUUUUAUUUAUGAUUUUUAAAUAAUUUUUUAAUUUUAUUCUUUUUCUCUUCCAUCAUUGAUUGCCAUGGCCAGUAAUCAGACAUAGGUGAGGGCCAAUGAGGGCAAGUCUCCCCCAAGGCCCAUGAGGCCAGGUCGUCAUUGAGGCUUGACAAUUGGCGAGCAAGAAGAAAUAACAAAAGAAAGAAAAAGGAAAAAGGAAAAAAUAAAAAAAAAAUGCAAAAGUCGACCACAUCAGUGUUGAUUAUGCCACGGAGGAUAGUCAACACUAACAUUAGCGAUUGCCAACCAAAAUUGGCUGGAAGAACUAUAUUAACAAAUUGUUGAAAGAUUUAGGACUAAACUGAUCAAAUUGAAAUACUUAGAAAUAAAUUGGCAUCCAUAUAAUAAAUUUAUGACUAUUUUUUGGAAGUUUGUAUUGAUUAUGGCUCGAAGUUAGUUCUCACUAUUUUGAAAUUCAACCCAUGAAUUGGAAGUAAUCAUGGGCGAUAUUAAGGAAAGCCCAAAUUGGACUCUUGUCAACAAGAUCAUGAGGAAUGCAAAAAAAUGAAAAUUAAAUUCUCAUUUCUCAUUGAAGAUGAACUCUAUGUUGAUGUCAAAAAAGAGCUCAUAGUUUCUCACAUAAAUAUUUUGUUGUUGAAUUUGAUCUAGUGUACAUAGUUUGUGCACUUAACAUGUAUAAAACUUGCAAGAGACGCCGAGUGCGUUGUGAGCCAUAAUCCAAGAGAUUCAAGAGUAUAAGAAAAUUUCUUUCUUGCAAUUGAUUUUAGUGGGUUUUAGUUUAAUUUAGGAUUAGAAAACACUAAUGAGUGAGGGUGAUCAAGUACUUGUCAUAUUAUUUUCCUCUAUUGUAGUGAAAUCAUUUCAUCAAACUCUCCUAUAGGAGUAUGCUCACAUUUAGACCACAUAAAUCCAUUUCUUUUAAUUCUAUUUAUGCAAUUUAUAUUUUACUUAUGGUAUGCGGAUUUCACGGAAAACUUCUUGAUGAAAGAAAACACUUUCGUAAAAAUCAUUUUCUAAGAAAAUGAUUGGUCUUUAGUUGUUUGGUGGUAUUCUUAAAAGUGAGACAUAAAAAGUUUUCCAAUGGUUAAAUCUUACUUUCUUUUCCACAUUGAAGAUAAAGUCCACGUUGACCUAGAGAAUGGCUCAUAAUUUGUUGCAUAUAAAUAUUCCUUUGUCAAGUUUGGCACGGUGUGCAUAGUCAUUACGUUUAGCAUGUGUGCACCUUGUGAGGUACGGAGGCUUCAUUUGGUUGUCCAAAUUUCUAAUCAUGAUAGAAUUAAAUAGGCUAUUUUGCUAUAUUCUAUCAACUAUUUGGUGAUUGCAAUAAUAAAAUCGGAUAUAUUUACAUAAUUGAUUUAUGGGAUUUUUGAUUUAUUUUAGGAUCGAAAAACACAAAUGAGUGAGUUCGAUCGAGCGUUUAUAAUCUUAUCUUCAUCUCUUAUAGUGAAAUCAUUUUGUCAAUCUCUCCCAUAAAAGGAUAUACGCUGUUGAAUCACGUAUAUCUGUUAUUUUCAGAUUUUAUUUUUGCAGUUUAUUUCUUGUUCAAAUCGUUGCAUUUGUUUACGGUUCCAGGACAACCGUAACAAUUUGGUCCAUCAAACCAGUUUUAUGAAAGUGGAUGACAUGGUACAAGACACAUUUACAUCGACAUCUUAGAGAAGCGUAGCGUAGUACCUUGUUCUAGAUACAGUGAACAUAUUUUCCGAAAGCAUAGGAGCUCAUGUGCACCAAAAUGUACGGUAAGUGACUCAAAAGUCCUUUUGAUCAUCCCUAAAGAAAGAAAACAACCCCUCGUGGAAACAUCAGGAAAAAAAAAAGAGACUAUGCCCAUUUAAAUGUACAGAAAGUUGACUCAUUCGCGAGAAACCACGACCACCUGUUUCCCAACAUUGCGACCGGAGAACACCCCGACAAGAGCUGCCGGACUGUUCUCGAGCCCUUCCACGAUGUCUUCCACGGGGACAAUCUUCCCCUCUUUGAUCUGAGGCAAUACCAUCUCCAGGAACUUCGGGUAGAGAUGAUAGUAAUCGGACUCCACGAAACCUUCCAUUCGAACCCGCUUCAGGACUAGGUUUAUCAAGUUGUGUAUGCCUUCGUGCCGCUCGAGGUUGUACUGUGAGACCAUCCCGCAUACCGUGAUUCGGCCAUGAAAUUUCAUGUUGAGCAGCACCGCAUCAAGCAUCUUUCCACCGAAAUUCUCAAAGUAUAUAUCGAUUCCCUUGGGGAAGCAUCUAAACAUUAAAGACAGAAAAAAAGUCAACUCGAGUUGGCUUCGGAAUGGGUACAUACUUAAUUUCCUGUACAUCAGUCAUUUGCUCAAUUAUCGUUACUAUAUUCCUGGUUCACCUUUUCAGUGCUGCAUCCAGAUCCAGCUCCUCCUUGAAGUUAAAAGCAUCAUCGAAUCCAAACUUGUUCUUCAGCAAAUCUACCUUUUUCCCAAACAUAACAAUAAGCGAGAAGUAAAGAAAAAAUCGGGAAGAGACCAUUAAGCAAUUACUUUUCAAGGAAACACUAGACAAAUGUGUGAUGAUUACCCUUUCUUUGCUGCCGGUGCUGCCAACAACAUAACAACCAAACAACUUUGCAAACUGGCCAACAAGCUGACCAACAGCUCCGGAUGCCACUGAUAUGAAAACAUUAUCUCCUUUCUUAGGAGAGCAUACCUCGAAAAACCCGGCAUAAGCCGUCAAGCCUGGCAUACCUGGAAAGUUUAGAUCUAUAUAAAUUAGAUGAGUUUCAAGAUUUGCUGAAGCAUAGGAGGAGUGCAAUUCUAUGGCGAAAUCUCAAACGAUCCGAUUUAACUGACUGAUGUGAUGCCCUGACAAUUGGAUGAGAAAUAAUCAAUUUACACACUUCUUUCAGCACGAAAGACAGCUCUGCAGGGCUCUAUUGUUGAGACAAUUCAACGUGGGAAUACAGCUCAUUGACAAGGAAGAUCCCCACAACUAAAAUUUAAAGGAAGCAAACUUUUUCCUUGCAUAACUGGAGGCUGUCCGUACUUGAGAAUGAAAUAGACAGAACAAAGUAUCUCAACAAAUCGAUUCCCCUCAUUCUUUAACACUGAAAAAGAUAUCGCACCAGAUGAUUAAAGGGUAUACCCAGAAGGCCGGUGUAGUAAGACAGAGGAACAUCAGUGUGUUCGAUCUUAAAGCAAGUCUCCGGUGCAGUAAUUAGAGUAUACUCCUCCCAUCUAGUCAUGCCCCAAACUAAGUCGCCUUUCUUGAAGUUUGGAUGCCCAGAUUCCAAAACUCUAGCUACUCCAUAUCCAGGAACAGGCUGCAUCAUUGUGUUGAAUACUUCAGAAUAUAAUUGCAACUACAUUUAGCAAACACGAAUAGACCUUGAGCUUACAAGAAGGAAGGAAUAUGUUUCCUUUGAAUUUUACUUGAGGAUUGUAAUUGUCACAAAUUUGACUUUGACUUAUGCAUGCGAGUUGGAAACUUACCGUUGGCAUCAUGAGUAUAGUGAAUGUAACGAGAGAGAUGGCAAUACUUACGGAGCCGAGCCGAGUGAAGUACUUAAUGAGGUGUAAAUUGUAGGGUUCGCAAGCCAGGUACAAAUUCUUCACCGCGAUGGUCCCAGAGUCCUUGUCGGCCUUCGGUCUCUCCAAACUCGUCUUCACUUUCAAGUUGGUCUCUUUCAGGGAACCUCGUACCUUCUCUCUGUAAAUCACCUGUCUGUUGCUCAUCACUUCCACCGAAGCAUUAUUGCCGUCCUUCUCCAUUCUCUCUCUAGAGCAGUGUUGUCACCCUCUCUCUCUCUCUCUCUCUCUCUCUCUUCUUGGAUUUUUUUCUUUUUCGGUCGAAAUGUCUUCUUGGAUUUGGUUGGUGAGAAACAUGGCCAAACAGUGCACGUGUACUUAUAGGGGAGAUGGGUGACGAGAUAUGCUUACGUAUGCCUACGUAUGCCAUUGUGUCAUCGGUGGAAUAGUAUACUCCUUGGGGAAAAGAAAAGUGGGUCAAAGUGGCCGAUUGAAUUCUAAUCAUUAUAAAAUUCCCUGAUUUGCAGCAAAGCUUAAAGGAAUCUUUUAAGUCGUUGUACGGAAAUCGAAGAGAAAUCUGAAAGGGUUGUGCUAGUGUCGCCAGUAGCCACGAAGUUUCCUUUGUCCAGCAUAAGCGUGGAAAUUUUCAAACUAGUUGACCAUCCAUUUUCCAAAUUGAUAGGAUGAUUAGCCAAGCAUUUUCCAAUCUAAAAAUCUUAUAAUUUUUAAGUAAGCUCUGCAGAUCGCCAGUUUUCCUUUUCCACACAUUUUUGAUCUCCUCGACUUGAUUCAAGCGCUAUAACGUGUGUAUGCAGUGGGGUGGUGAAAAAUCGUGAUAAUUGAUUUUAAAAACAAAUGAUGAAUGGAUGAGCCUGAUUGCAUCGGCCUAAAAGUUUUGAUCUAGACUUAUAUAAAUUGAUUGUGUCUCAAUGGACCUAUCUAGACCUUGUUGGAGAAAUCUUCGUGAAGUGUUUUGAAGUUGACAAAACGUUUCCAUCAGUCUAGUCUGAAGGUCUGCAGACUCUGUUAGUUAAAGUCUGAAGACUUCCGGACAGCCAGACUCAAGACUCAAAGUCUAUCCUCAUUGACAGUCUCUAAUCCGUUGAAGAAAGGUUAUCCAGAACUGGAUGUUUUGUUCAGGAUUUAACCUUAUCAUCUGGAGAAGAUCUCGUGGUUGGAGAAGACGUAUCAGAAUCCUUUGAUUGAUCAAGAUUGAUUCAAUGACUGAAGAUUCGAUGAUUGUCUAAAUAUUAUUAGAAGGUUCUACUUAUGGAAACCGAGAUCCUGAUUGUAUGAGCGAACAGGAUUGAUGGGCUAUCAACACGUUCCUUUAAUAGCUCGAACAAUCUUCCUAAUUGAUUCCGUCCAACGGGUAGAUUGGAGGAAUUCCUUUGGUAAGUGCCAACGGGUAUGAUGGCAUAAAGGAGUAUAUAAGGAAGACGUUCUUAGUUGUUCGAGGGGUGCGCGAUAGAAGAAUUCCAAAGUCUGAAGCUCCUAUUUGUUUAGAUAAAUCCUUUGAGCGAAUACUUGUAUACAAAAGAGAGUCUAUAUUUGUGAGAGACCUUGAGGAGGUGUGGUAAAACAUCUACACUGUGGAAUCAAGGCAAAGCUGUGCUGUAACUUCUCUUUUGAUCAUAGUGAAAUCCAGCCGGUGAGCUGUCAGUGCGGAAGAGUGGACGUAGGCUUGAAUAAGCCGAACCAUUAUAAAUCCUGUGUUCAAUUUUCUCUUCCUCACUCUCUCUACCUCAAUCGUAUUUCAUUUUGUUAAUUAAGAGAGAAUUUACUUUCUAUCAUAUGUUAAGAAUCGCUUCCGUAUAUCGAUAAAUUGUUUAGGCACCUAUUCACCCCCUCUAGGUACUCAUACUAGCAAUAUCAAUUGGUAUCAGAGCCUGUGUACUUACUUUAUUUGAAGUGUUUUACUUCAUAGUAAAAGAUCCAUGGCUAGUAUGCUAGCACCAGGGCUGAUGGAAGGGCAAAGCAAUACCAGAUCACCCUACUUUGAUGGAAAGGAUUACAACAUCUGGAAGAACAAGAUGAAAGCUUUCCUACGAUCAAAGGAUCCUCUGGAAUGGGACGUUGUAGAAAAAGGAAUUACUCCUACCACUGCAUCAGUCUCUGAAAGAGGAAAAGAAACUGAAGAAACCAGCGGAAUGUCUCAGGAAGAAAUAAUCAAGAGACAGACACUCGAUGCAAAAGCAAUUUACUCCUUAUAUUGUGCUUUAUCACCAACUGAAUAUAAUAGAAUAUCUUAUUGUGGUACAGCAAAAGAAGUUUGGGACAUAUUGCAUAUCACCUAUGAAGGAACAGAUCGAGUGAAGGAAACAAGAAUCAACAUUCUUCUCGGUCAAUACGAAGCCUUCAGAAUGAAACCAGGAGAAUCAAUAUCUGACAUGUUUAGUCGUUUUACAGAUAUUGUGAAUGGUCUUGAAAAUCAAGGUCAACCAACUUCUGAUCCCAUGAAGGUAAACAAGCUACUGCGUGGACUCUCCAGGGAUUGGAAUCACAUAAAGACUUCGAUAAGAGAGACGCAGAGAAUCAUGCCACUAUCUGUCGACGAGCUGAUGGGAACUCUUCAGUCCUAUGAAGUGGAAAGGAUCAAUGAAGAUGAAGAUCCAAAAGGUAAGAAAUCCAUUGCAUUAAAAUCAAAUGAUGAUUCUGAUGAUACAGAUUCUGAAGAUGAUAUGGACGAUGAGGAGCUUGCUCUCAUGAUAAGAAGAUUCAGAAAACUAAAUAGAAAAGGAAGAAGGUUCAACUCAAAGAAACAAAGCUUUCAAAGACAGCAGACCAAGUCUGUUGAUGAUGAGGAACCAAAUAAAGAUGUAGUCUGCUUUGAAUGCAAGAAAAAGGGACACAUCAGACCCAACUGUCCUCUUCUGAAGAAGAAGAGAGGAAAAGCUGAAAAAUUUCGAAAAGCUCUCAAAGCCGAAACCUGGAGUGAUACUGAUUGUGAAGAAAGUGAUAAUGAAUAUGCCAAUCUAUGUCUGAUGGCACAAUCAGACUCAGACUCUGGAUCAGACUGAGGAUCAGACUCAGACAGUGAAUUUGAGGCAAGUGAUUUUAAAAUUCCUGUCAAAGUUUCUAAAUAUAUUGAUGAACUAUGCUUUAGUCUUAAGACUUCUCUCAAAAGAAUUUCCGAACUGAAAAAAGAAAACUCAGCUCUAAAACAAAAGGAAAAUGUUUUAGCAGAAAAAGUUAAAAGUCUAGACUUGUCUGUUUCCAAUCUUAAAGAAAAUGAAGAUAAUCUUUUAAAAGAAAAUGCUUUUUUAAAAACAGACUUAUCAAAUAUAUCAAAGAAAUUUUCUAUAGGGUCUGAAAAACUUGAGAAAAUUCUUUCAGCACAAAGACCUUACUUCAAUAAGUCUGGUCUAGGUAUGACAGAAGAUACAAUUCCCUUGAUUGAUUUUCCUAAAGUAAAAGAAAGAAUUAAGAAAAGACUCUCGAGUGAGGUUUACAAAAAUCACUUCAAGAAAGUUUUUGUAAAACCUGUAGGUAGAAAUGCUCUCAGAUGUUCUAAGUGCAACAGUCCAGAUCACUUUGAAAAAGAGUGUCCUAUGGUAUGGAAACCUGUUAAGAAAGUAUGGGCUAAUACUGUUUAUCCUACUAACACCAAAGGACCCAAGAAAAUUUGGGUACCAAAGAAAGCUUGAGACUUUAUUUUAAAUGCAGGUCUCCGUCAAGAAACAGGUAAAGUGGUAUUUUGACAGUGGAUGCUCAAGACACAUGACAGGAGACUCAAAUUGCUUUAUAAAGAUUGCUCAAGUAAAUGGUGGAAAAGUUUCAUUUGGAGGAAACAGCAAAGGAAGUAUUGUGGGAUUUGGAACCGUGAAAAUUGGAACUCUCACAAUAAGUAAUGUUUCCUUAGUGGAAGGACUCAAUUACAAUCUUCUCAGCAUUAGUCAAUUGUGUGAUACUGGUUUCAAGAUCUUCUUUCAAGAAGGAACAUGUUCUGGAAUCAAUAAAGACUCUACUCAGUCUUUCAUGGGUCGAAGACAUGGAAAUAUCUAUCUUCUGGAUGUGAAACCAAAUGAAUCGAAAUGCCUUAUCUCAAUUCAAGACGAAGCAAGCUUAUGGCACAAAAAGCUUGGUCAUGUCAACAUGAAGCAAUUAGCCAAAAUCUCUUCAAAACAGCUUGUUCGAGGACUACCCAGAUUGCCAUACCAAAAGACUGAUUCAUGCACUCCAUGUAUUAUGGGAAAACAGGUAAGAAAUUCAUUUAAGCAAUAAAUCAUGUCUCUACUAAUCAUGUACUACAGUUGCUGCAUAUGGAUCUCUUCGGACCAACCAGAACACAGAGUAUUGGAGGUAAGAAAUAUUGCCUAGUAAUUGUGGACGAUUACUCCCGUUUUACUUGGGUAUAUUUCCUUGCAAGUAAGUCUGAAACCUUCUCGUAUUUUGAAAAGUUUGCUAAAAAGGUUCAAAAUGAAAAAGGAUGUGUUAUCUCUUGUAUAAGAACAGAUCAUGGAGGUGAAUUUGAAAAUCAAGAUUUUACAAAAUUUUGUGAUGAAUCUGGCUUUAAUCAUGUGUUCUCCUCUCCAUAUACUCCUCAGCAAAAUGGAGUUGUGGAAAGAAAGAACAGAUCUCUUCAGGAAAUGGCUAGAACUCUUUUAAUAGAAAGCAAGAUUUCUUCAUGAUUUUGGGCUGAAGCUGUUUCAACAGCAUGCUAUAUCAUCAAUAGAGUCUUCUUAAGAUCUAUUCUUCAGAAAACCCCUUAUGAGUUAUUCAAAGAAAAGAAGCCUAUUGUUUCAUACUUUCAUGUAUUUGGUUGUAAAUGUUUUAUAUUGAAAAAUGCAAAAGAUCGAGUUGGUAAGUUUGAAGAAAGAUCAGAUGAAGGUAUCUUCUUUGGAUAUUCUACAUCAAGCAAAGCUUACAGAGUCUAUAACAAGAAGAGUCAGUCUGUGGAGGAGUCAAUGAAUGUCAAAUUUCAAGACUCAACGUAAGAUGAACCAAGUCAGACUCAUCAAGAAGAGUCUGAACCUGCCCCAGACCCUCCAAAGUCUACAACUCAAGAAGCAUCUCAGACUCUGGAAAACCAGCAUUAGGUUGUUAGUGAAGAUCCAAAUAAAGAAAGAGAUCAUCAACCAGACAAAUCAACAAGUAACUGGAAGCAUAAGUCCAGUCAUCCCAAAGAUCUUAUAAUUGGCGAAAUUAAUGAAGGAAUUCGCACCAUAUCCAAAAGGCGAGAAGAGUCUAGUGCUGUGGCACUCGUUUCUGAAAUUGAACUAAAGAGCAUAGAAGAAGCUUUAUCUGAUGAAAGCCGGAUUGAAGCUAUGCAAGAAGAGCUCAGACAGUUCAGCAUUAAUGAUGUCUGGGAAUUGACAUCCAAACCAAAAGGUAAAACUGUUAUUGGAGCUAAAUGGGUGUUCAGAAACAAGAUGAACGAGAAAGGAAAAGUCGUACGAAAUAAAGCAAGACUCGUGGCCAAGGGAUAUACGCAAGAAGAAGGAAUAGACUAUGAUGAGACUUACGCUCCAGUGGCAAGGUUAGAAGCUAUUCGACUAUUACUUGUGUUUGCUUGUUAUAAGAAUUUCAGGUUAUUCUAAAUGGACGUCAAAAGCGCAUUCCUAAAUGGAUUUAUCCAUGAGGAAGUUUAUGUGGAACAACCACCAAGGUUUGAAGACCCAAAGAAGCUAGACUCAGUCUUUAGACUGAAAAAGGCUUUGUAUGGUUUAAAGCAAGCACCUCGGGCUUGGUACGACAGAUUAAGUAAGUUUCUAAUACAAAAUGGUUUUGUCAAAGGUAAAGUAGAUACGACUUUAUUUAUCAAGAAGGAAAACAAAAGUUUCUUACUUGUUCAAAUAUAUGUGGAUGAUAUUAUUUUUGGAUCCUCUAAUGAAAGUCUGUGCAAGAAAUUUUCAAAGUCUAUGCAGGAUGAGUUUGAAAUGAGUAUGAUGGGAGAGUUAACAUUCUUUCUUGGUCUUCAAGUAAAACAAUUGAAGGAAGGAACUUUUAUUUAUCAAGAAAAAUAUGUUAAUGAUCUUGUCAAAAGGUUUGGACUGGAAAAGUGCAAAAAGACCGACAUACCAAUGUCAAGUUCUUUAAAGAUAGACAAAGAUGAAGAAGGGAAGAAAGUUGAUCAAAAGCUGUACAGGAGCAUUAUUGGAUCACUUCUUUAUCUUACUGCUUCUAGAUCUGACAUUUUGUUGAGUGUUUGCAUCUGUGCAAGGUUUCAAUCAGAUCCUAGAGAAUCCCAUCUUAGUGCUGCGAAACGCAUCAUUAAAUACGUGGCUUCAUCAUUAAGCAUCGGUCUUUGGUAUCCUAAGAAGGGAGACUUUAAUCUUCUGGGAUAUUCAGACGCAGAUCUGGCCGGUUGCAGAGUUGAUAGAAAGAGCACUUCAGGAACUUGCCAGUUGCUUGGAAGCAGGACAGUGUCUUGGUUUUCAAGGAAACAAAGCACUGUGUCUCUUUCAACAACAGAAGCAGAGUAUGUAGCUCUUGGAAGCUGCUGUUCGCAAAUUCUAUGGAUAAAACAACAGCUAAGAGAUUUUGAAAUUGAAGACUCAUGCACAGAGAUUAAUUGCGACAACACCAGCGCUAUCAACCUCACCAAAAAUCCAAUUCUCCACUCAAGAGCAAAGCAUAUAGAGAUUCGACAUCACUUUAUUAGAGAUCAUGUUCAAAAUGGAGAUGUUUCAAUUCAAUUUGUUGACUCAAAGAAUCAACUGGCUGAUAUACUCACAAAGCCUUUGGAGAAAAAUCAAUUUGAGUCUAUACGGUCCAGACUCAACAUUUUGAGGUAUGAGGAUAUCAAAGUCUAAAGACUUUCAGACUCAGGCUUACAAGACUUUAUCUACAGUCUUGGCUCGACCUUCAGACUGUAAGUCUUUCUCUCUCCAAUCUUAUCUUGAAAAGGUACGAUCAUCAUACUGUGUUUAAAUUGUUGCUAUAUUUAAUUAACGUAAAUAUUGCAUCGAUUCAUUUUCAAAAGGGAAGUUAUUUUUGAAAUAGCUAUUUUUGCGAAUAAAGACAGUUAUUUUGAAAAGGCAUAUUUUUAUUUCCUUUGUGACGGUUCGUUUACUUUUCUUUUUAACCGAUUGUGCACUGUCGAUUCCUCUUCACUUUUCUAUUCACUUUUCUCUCAAAAAAACCCUAGAAAGCAUCGAUCCUCCAUUCCCGUUUGUCUUCUUCGCUCAAUCUUCAAAAAGUUGUCAUCUUUUCUGGGAAAGUCAAGCAAGGAAUCUUCCAAACACUGAGAAAGAUGUCAUCUUCACGAAAGUCCUCAAGAAUCGCAAGCAGGGGACCACAGAGAAUGAGUGAGGGGCCUACGCACUUCGAUCUUACUGAAGAUGAAGUUACUCCAGAUCAGCAACCGAGCCCACAACAUUCUCAGCAGUGUCAUUCUCCACCAUCUAGUCCUCAAGGCGUUGUUCAUCAGCAUCAGGAAGAAAUCAUCGAGGAUGCAGACCCCGUAAGAUUUCAAAAGCCCGCUUUUAUUUACAAGCUAUAUCGUGCCUUAAAAGGAAUUCGUACUCCUUUGAACUAUGUUGAUGAGUUUCUUAGAGACAAAGGAUAUAAGAACGAGUAUAUCUUUCUGCGAAAAAUGGAAAGUUUGGGAAUCGCUCGUAAAGGGGUGGCUGAGGAAACCCUUGCGAAUAUCCCAAGUGAUCCUCGUGACUGGGGACCGAAUCCUGUAGAUGGGAAUGACGAUGACAAUCUGUUCAGUCUAUUUCAACCGAAAAUGGGUAUUGCGGCUGAAAUUCAAGGAAAAAGGGGAGAUUUGUUCAGAUCAAAGGAACAAAAGGAUCUGUACUCGAAAUUGCUGAAGCGUGGGAUAAUAAACCCUAGGAGUGUGGACUUUGAUUUUCUGGAUGCUGUGAAAGUGAACUUAAGGGAAAAGUUCAGUUAUCUUCAACUUGAAAAGUUCUGCUCUGACUCAACUGAGGCUUAUGCUGAAUUGACUGCAUAUUUCUAUUCAAAUCUUAGCUUUUUGGAUGCGAAUAGAUUCUCCUUUAGCGUUAAAGAACAAGACUAUGUUGUGGAUAUGAAUAUGCUGGCAGAUGUGUUAGAAGUUGAGAGAGGCAGAUAUCAACCAAUCAAAGUUUCCAUUGCUCGGGCCACACUUGAACUGGUGAAGGACAGGAGAACAGAUGAGAAGAUCACCUACUCACGGAUGAAUGCAUUCAACAUAUUGCUUCACAAGAUUGUGAUUAAUUGCCUUCGGCCGAAAUCAACUUCCAAAACUGAUGUUUCAAGCUCUGAGGCAAAGUUGAUGUAUGCCAUCCUCUGUGGAAAGAAGUUUUCUCUCCCUCAUACUGUUAUGUUUCACAUGUAUAGAGCAGUGAUGAAGGACAGAGGUCAACUCCCUUACCCAAGCCUUGUUACGAAGUUAUUCAGACAUCUGAAUAUUCAGCCUCCGCAAAUCUUUUGUGUUCGAUCAUGCGAUCAUAUGGUGGUAGGACUGAAAAUGGUGACCAAAAUGCGUCUGAAGGAACUGAGCAAGGAAUUGGAGAAAUUCAAGGAGAAGACUCCUGCCAAAUCUCAUCAACUCUCUUCUGCUGCUAAGAGAAAAGGGAAGGAGCCCAUGGCUGCUCCAUCAAAGAGAAGAAGAGCUCUCCUCGUUGAGGAUGAAGAUGAUGACGAAGACAUCACCAUCUCUGCAAUGGCUUUGAAGAAUUUAAGUCGUCCUGUUCCACAGAAAGAAUCGGAACAAAAGACGAAAGAAGCAGAGGAGAAGGAAGAAGAAGAAAGAGAAGCAGAGGAGAAGGAAGAAGAAGAAAGAGAAGCAGAGCAAGAAGCAGAGGAAGAAAGACCUGAAGAAGAAAGAAGAGAAGAAGGAGAACUUGAGGAAAUCUCUUCUCCACCUGUAGGCAUGGAAACAGGGGGAGAUCGGGAGAAAUGAGUGACGUCUUCAUAUCCUGAUGCAAGUGAAGGAGUCAGUCGCUCGCCUGCAGACCCAGAAGAUGUUUAUGCAUCUCAAUUUCCAGAGGAAGGUCAUGAAGUGUCAUCGCCAAAUCUGCAAGAUUAUGCAGAUCUACCAUCUUCUUUUACUCCAUCAGAUCGAGCCGAAGCAAGUACUCAGACUGAUAAUGGAGCAGAUUUUCGCAGAAUCAUGGAUAUUCUCUUGGAAAUGCGAGGUCAAAUUUAUGCCUUGGGAUGCGAAGUUCAAAGUUUGAAGAAUGAAAGUCAAGCUUCUUCCUGUUCAUUGAAUGAUAAGAUGCAAGCCCUCUCUAUUCAGAAUCAGGCCAAUGCCAAGAGUGAGGAGGUUGUACAGCUGAAGGAAGACUUUAAAAGGCUGGAAGGCAUCGUUCAGUCUAUGGAAGAUUUCCAGCUUGUCCGCAUUCCCAAGACUUCAUCUCAUCCUUUUUAAUGAUGACAAAAAGGGGGAGAGAUGCAUGAUUUGAUCAAAAACUUUCAAUCAUUUUUUAACUGUUUGUUGGAUUGUGUUGUUGUUUAACUGUUUUUGACAGACUUUGACUUUGUUUUGUGUCUGGAUGAGAACUGAACUAGACUUGGACUUGACUGCUUCUAUUAACAAGUAUUGAUAUCUUAUGAAUGGUUUUAUUAUAUACUAGACUAACCUAUUUUCUAUGGUUGCAGAUUCUAGUGUUAAUCUUUUAGCCAUUCAUCUCUAUAAGAUAUGCAUAUGUGUUUGAGAAAUGUUUUGCAGGUCAAAGUUAUCCAAAUCUGCAGGAAGGUUUUGUCACCAUCAAAAAGGGGGAGAUUGUUGGAGAAAUCUUCGUGAAGUGUUUUGAAGUUGACAAAACGUUUCCAUCAGUCUAGUCUGAAGGUCUGCAGACUCUGUUAGUUAAAGUCUGAAGACUUCCGGACAGCCAGACUCAAGACUCAAAGUCUAUCCUCAUUGACAGUCUCUAAUCCGUUGAAGAAAGGUUAUUCAGAACUGGAUGUUUUGUUCAGGAUUUAACCUUAUCAUCUGGAGAAGAUCUCGUGGUUGGAGAAGACGUAUCAGAAUCCUUUGAUUGAUCAAGAUUGAUUCAAUGACUGAAGAUUCGAUGAUUGUCUAAAUAUUAUUGGAAGGUUCUACUUAUGGAAACCGAAAUCCUGAUUGUAUGGGCGAACAGGAUUGAUGGGCUAUCAAUACGUUCCUUUAAUAGCUCGAACAAUCUUCCUAAUUGAUUCCGUCCAACGGGUAGAUUGGAGGAAUUCCUUUGGUAAGUGCCAACGGGUAUGAUGGCAUAAAGGAGUAUAUAAGGAAGACGUUCUUAGUUGUUCGAGGUGUGCAUGAUAGAAGAAUUCCAAAGUCUGAAGCUCCUAUUUGUUUAGAUAAAUCCUUUGAGCGAAUACUUGUAUACAAAAGAGAGUCUAUAUUUGUGAGAGACCUUGAGGAGGUGUGGUAGAACAUCUACACUGUGGAAUCAAGGCAAAGCUGUGCUGUAACUUCUCUUUUGAUCAUAGUGAAAUCCAGCCGGUGGGCUGUCAGUGCGGAAGAGUGGACGUAGGCUUGAAUAAGCCGAACCACUAUAAAUCCUGUGUUCAAUUUUCUCUUCCUCACUCUCUCCACCUCAAUCGUAUUUCAUUUUGUUAAUUAAGAGAGAAUUUACUUUCUAUCAUAUGUUAAGAAUCGCUUCCGUAUAUCGAUAAAUUGUUUAGGCACCUAUUCACCCCCCUCUAGGUACUCAUACUAGCAAUAUCAGACCUAACCGAGCCAAACUCUUAAAGGACUUGACUAGACUUACCCAUUUUUCGGUUGAGGCCAGUACCGUACAUGAUCACUUCUACAACAAAGCGUGAUGGGCAAUCUUUUUUUUCUAGUCCAACUUGGGCAUCUACCUCUUUUGAUACUCAUUCAACAUUUCGAGAUGUCGUGCCAUGAAUGUUUCUAUACUUUUGGACUGCUCACAUAUGAUGACGGAGGCUUGCUUCGCAUCCGUUGCCUCUAUAUAAUUUGCUGUAUUCUAAUAACUUAAGAAAAAAAAAUGCUUAUCGUCUCGUUUCUUUGAUUGGACUGAUGUAAUUCUUUACUUAGUUGUAGCUCCGCAUUUGGAUGGUUGACUUUUGAUACCAAGUAAAGCGAAAUCUAUAUAUGUUCCACCAUUCUUGAACUCACAAAUCUAUUUAUUUUUAUUUCUUUCAUUGAGUGACGUAAUAUCAGUUAUUUGUUAGACUAAUUUGGUAAUUUUAUCCCUUUAUAUCAUUUGCCCUAACCAAAUAGACCGUAGCCUUUCUUAUUCUAUUUUCAAAUUCAAUUCUCUCUUCAAUUUGAAAAUGUAAUGCCGCUGCACUCGGUGAGUAUUAAUUCUUCAUUUUGCUUCUCCCUUUAAUAAAUUGAUAUGUUCUUCUGGUUAUUCUUAUCGCACUUCUUAAUAAAUUCUAUUUGAAUAUUUGGCAUACCUUUCAGCUAUCUAUUUCCACUAUCUUCAACUGUUUUACGUUUUCAAUUAACGAAAAUCUAUUUUUUUUUUUUGCAUGAAAAAAUUCUUGUCUUUUUACCAACUUUUUAUAUUCUUUUGUUUGGAAGAGUUUAUUUGAGUAAAUAUAAUAUUAGCUACUUCCACAUUUAAAAGUAGAAAAUUAUUGUCUAAUUCAUUUUUUCUUUUUCAUGCUUAUGUCAUUUGAAGUGUUUUUUUUAUAUUAUAAUUCAUUUUCUUCGUCAGUGACAUGCACGCGAAAUCCCUUUUUUCCUUUCUUCUUUUUUCUUUUCUUUCACUUUUCUGUUCUGUUUUUGCGUCUUGGCCUCUUAUAAACUGAAAGCGUCCACCGUUUGCUGUUUUGUUGACUUUUUAACUCUGUUUUUGUUUUUCCCCGGACUUGGUUAAACUCCAAAUGUUACAGUAAGAGCACAUCCGUCUAUUUCAAAAAUUUAAUCAAAUACUUUAGAUUUGUGUGUUUUCACUGUGUUGAUCUUUUUGUGUGUUAUAUUUGUAAUUAUUAUAUAUAUUUUUCUAAUGAGUGUUUCUCAUUUGUGUAUGGUUAUCACGGGAAAAAUAUCAAUUUCAUUCCUUAUUCAUAUAGUUCUUUUUAAAAAUUGAAUAUAUUUAGUUGUUGAUACCAUUCAAAGUGAAGCAACAAAUAUUCAAAUCAUGCUUAAGAAAAUAUUAAGUUAUAUUUUGAGUUUGAGUUUGUGUGAGAAAUUUCAAGAAAUCCAUUUUCUCACUGGGAUUUGGAUUCAUCACACGACAUAGUUUUCUCGACUGGUGUCCGACGAAGCGGCCACAAGGUUAUUAACUUAUUUGGUUUUGGUCAAAGGAGAUGUAUGGCUGUUUUACUCCUAUACAUAACCGCACAAGAGGGAGAGUCAUUAUAGGAUAAAAUAAGGGCUCACAAAUUCUCCAAGGAAAAAUUAUCAAAAAAAUCCUAAACCUAUUGCAAUUGUGUCAAUUCAGUUCUAAACUUUUUUUUUUGACCAAUUGAGUCAUAAACCUUUUACAAUUAUAUUUGAUUAGGCCAUCUGACCAAAAUUGGUUGGCCGGCGCUGAUGUGACAGCCGACCGGUGCUGAUGUGAUAGCCAACCAGCGCCAAUGUCCCGAUUAUAAAGCCAAAUCGUUAUGACACGUCUUAUACCAUGUCACACAAUUUCGUCCCAUAAUUAGGCAUAGACAAUUCAUAUUGUUGGUUCCAUCCACACCCGAUAUUCACUCUCAAUAUUCAAAUUUCCAAUCCAACCUCAACAUUUUCACUCAAUAAUUCGACUCAAUACUCAAUACUGGACUCAAGGUUCUAGAUGUGCCCUCUCCUCAUGAAAUUCUGACAUCGUGUGGCACUUAGUCCUUGACCACAUCCGUCAUAGUAUGAAAUACUAGAGGUGGUUCCCAUGAAUUUACACUGUCGUGUAGCACUUAGUUCUCGACUAUACUAAACAAUAGCUCAAAGUACUAGAGGUGGCUCCCACGAUUUCACAUAGUCGUGCAGCACUUAGUCUUGACUAUAAAAAAAAACACUAGUACAAUGUUCUAAAGGCAAUUCACACGAAAUCUUGCUAUCGUAUAGCAUUUAGUUUUUGACUAUGCAUGACAGUACUGCAAGGCUUCUAGAGGUGGCUCCCAUGUGACACAAUUCACCUUGUAGCACUUAGACCUUGACAACAAUAAGCAACUGUACAAGGUAUUAGAGGUGGCUCACAUGAAUUCUCAUUAUUGUGUAGCACUUAGUUCUUUAUCGGCUCACAACCCAAUAGGUUCCCUGAAUACAACACAUGUGUGGCAUCCCAAAAUUCAAGUCACCCUCUAGAGGAAUUAAAGCCAAUAAUUAGGUAAUGAAAUUACCUAUGGUUUAUGUUUUGGCUAUUAGUUUUCUUUUAAGGCUAUGUGUUAUGUGCUUGUGAUCAUGAGUUUUUAAAUAAGUAUUAUGGAAUAAAUUUAUGAGGAUGAUUUAUUCUUUGGCCAUGUGAAUUUUAAAAUUUAAAAUCUAUAAAAGAAAUAAUUAAAGAUAAAUAAUUGAAAGUGAAAUUUUGGGUUUAAUUAGGUUGGGCCUUAGGCCCAUUGGCCUAAGCUUUAGUGGGCCAAGCUAGUCGGCCCAAUUAGGCCCGCGGAUGGGGCUGCUGUCGCCGGCCCAUUGAGGCCCAAGGAGGUGUGGCCGUCGGCCACAAGGGAGGCCCAAGCCCAAGCCCAUGCAUGUGUUGUGAUAAGUGGCAAGAGGGAUGGCAUGCAUUGGCCAAUUGGGGAGGCAAGCUAAUGAUGAGGUUUAGGGGAAAUAAAAGGGAAGAAGAUGAGAGAGAGUGGCUGGUUGAUUCGGCCAAGAGAGAAAGGGAGAGAGAGAGAGAGAACCGUGCGAGAGAGAGGGAAAGAGUGUGGCCGAGAGGGAGAGGAAGGAGUCGCCGCCUGCUCGCCGCCGUGAGCCGCCCGUUCGCCGCCGUGUGCCGCCGUUCAUUCGGUCUAGAGGCAAGUUGGAAAUCCACUUUCUACUCUUGAUCCAAUGUCUUGCAUGUAUGGUCGGAAUCUAGAAUAUUUGGAGGCAUGGGAGUGAAGCUAAUGUGUUUUGUUCUUGAGUUGCAUGCUGUUUUCGCAUGAACCGUUUGAGUCAGAACUUUGUGAGAGCUUGAAUGCAUGUUUUGAGUUCGAUUUUGACUUUGAUCUCUUCAUGAAAGUUGUAGCUAACAUCUUAAAAUACAACAUACUAAAAUUUGGUGUAGAAUGAUGGAGAUUUAAGGGGUAAAACUCUCAUCCUACGGAGAUGCUAGAUCUGGAAUGUUUUCGCAUGAACCGUUUGAAUCAGAACUUUGUGAGAGCUUGCAUGCAUGUUUUUAGUUCGAUUUUGACAUUGAUCUCUUCAUGAAAGUUGUAGCUAACAUCUAAAAAUACAACAUAAUAAAAUUUGGUGUAAAAUUAUGGAGAUUUAAUGGGUCAAACUCUCAUCCUACGGAGAUGCUAGAUCUGGAAUGUUUUCGCAUGAACCGUUUGAGUCAGAACUUUGUGAGAGCUUGCAUGCAUGUUUUGAGUUCGAUUUUGACUUUGAUCUCUUCAUUAAAGUUGUAGAUAACAUCUUAAAAUACAACAUAAUAAAAUUUGGUGUAAAAUGAUGGAUAUUUGAGGGGUCAAACACUCAUCCUACGGAGACACCAGAUCUGGAACGAUUUCACUGACCUUUCGGUGGAUUUGUGGUUGCAUGCUGAUUUCUACUAAGAAUCUCUUUUCAACUUCUACAUGAAACUUGUAUAGAACAUCUUGAAUUUUAACAUACUCAAAUUUUAAGCAAAAUGAACAAGUGUAGCCUAGUGAAUCAACUUACUCUUAAAAACCGUAGAUCUGGAGACGCGGUACAGGUUACCCGAGACUUCAUGGACCCAUAUGGAGACUUUCCUUUGGAAAUAUGACUUAGAUCUCUUCAUGAAAGUUGUAGGGGACGUUUUGAAGUAAAACCUAUCCAAAUUUCAGAGGAAAAUAAGAAUGGUAAGUGGGUAAAAACUCAGUAUUUCGGAGAACCAUGCACUGGACGUCUCGGUAUUAGAUUCAGAAGCUUCGUGUGACUGUAGAAAAUAAUCUAAAAAGAAUUUAGCUUUGAAGUCUUCAUGAAAAAUCUACCUUAGUGUCUUGGAUAUAACCUGGUAAAAUUUCAUAAUUUUCGGAGGUCAUUUGGAUAUUUUAAUCAAAUUAUUUCGGAAACUGUGCAUUCUGUUUUUAUCCGAAAUUACAUGCUGUAUUUUUGUGAAUUUAUAAUUUUGUGUGGAAAUUGAUUGGCCUUGUGUUUUUCAUGAAAUUAUUACCCUAUUGUCUUGUCCAUCACUAGCCUUAAUUUCAUGAUUUUUGGGAACCAUGUGGAUAUUUAAUUUAAAUAUUUUCAAAAUAAUACAAGCUGGAAUUUAAAUAAUUUUUUUUAAAAAAAGGAGAGGGCAUGAUAAUGGACUAUUUUAAAUUGUAUGAAUUCCAUGAAUUUUAUCUUUAUGGAUGAUUGUACCUUGAUGCAUGUGUGAUAGGAUGAAAGUGAUUUUAUUUGCCAUUGCAUCUAGUGCCAUGCUAAGUGAGACCUAAAUUGGUAAAUGUGGACAAUGAUAAAUGAGGAAACUAUUAUGGCGGAUGAUAAUGCCCUAGGAGUAUUAGGAUGCCCGGGACGGGGGGUGCCAGAUGCUCGGAAUGUAUAGAGAUACAUGGCCGGAUGGCCCUGGGAGUGUCAGGAUGCCCGGAAUGGUUGGGUGCCGGAAGCCUCGGAGGUCUUUGCCCGAGGGGAUGCCUCGUGAUGCCAGUUGGGAUGCGAGAUGCCCAAAAUGUGGGGGUGCCGGAUGCCCGGUGGCCUUGAGUGGCUGAAUGCCAGAGGUUUUUUUUUUCUCGCGAUGCCAGGAUGGGGUGCGAGUGUAAAAUAUGGGAUGAAAUUGAUGAUCCCGAGAAAGAAUGAUGUGGUGAUCAAAUUGAAAGUUAAAAGUGGAAAUUGAAUCAUGCAUACAUGACAUGAUAUGAUGAUGAUCACCUAUGACAUGAUGUUAUGCAUGUAUAAUAAGAUAUGAUGAUGAUCACCUAUGGCAUGAUGAUGAUGUAUAAUAUGAUAUGAUGAUGAUCACUUUUGGCAUGAUGAUAUGCAUGUAUGAUAUGACAUGAUGAUGAUCACCUAUGGCAUGAUGAUGUGCAUAUAUGAUAGGAUGAUGUCAUGAUGGUAGUGAUAUAUGAUAUGAUAGGAUGAUGCAUGAUGAUGAUGAUAUGUAUAAUAUGAUGAUGCAUGAUAGUAUGGGCAUGGCUUCAAGGUAAGUAAACCCCUGCAAUGCAUGUAUGACUUGUAUUGCAUGUUGCAAUGAGUGGUUAUUGGAUUCCUUUACCUGCUGAGUGGUUGUACUCACCCAUUCUGGGACCAACAUUUCAGAUUAGCAGCAUGCCGCUCCAUACUGUCACGCGGGGUGUAUUUUACGGCCUACCUUCGGAUGUAGAGGUCCAGUGCGAGGAGUUUGACUGUCCUUCUAUUCCUGGUCUUACGUAUAUCCGAGUGCGUUGUUUAGUUAUGUACGAUGUGAGCUUGGCUGGGGGCCCUGUUGUCCAGGAGUUCAUAUCCGUGCAUAUUCGACGCAAUGGAGCGAUGCGUGGGAUGUUGCCGCCGCCACCGCCUGAUGCACCGGGAUGGGUGUGAGGGCCCGUGCGUGUUAAGUAGGAGCUGAAACUUUUUGGGAUGGUUAGCCGACACUAGCGAUGGGGGAUCUUACACGUGAGUUGUAGUGGGUCGAGUAUUUCUUUUUGGAUUUUAGGCCGAGUAUGGUUGAGUCAUGGCCUUUCUUUUGAUGUACCGACCCAAGGAAACCCAUCUUGAAAAUAUGUAAAUAAAGUGUCGUGGCUUUGUCUUUUAUUAUGAUGUUUAGUGGUGUGCAAUUGUAUCAUGGUUAUUGAAGGGAGAGAUGGCGAUGUUAUAUUUUGCUUCCGCUAAUGAGUCGCGCUGGGACUGUUUAAAAAAAAAGAAAGUGUCCAUGAUUUUACAACGCUUCUUAUAAGAGAUUAUAAUUAGGUGUAAUGUCAGGUGCCUGUGGCGACCCUAGGUGGUUCGGGGUGUCACAACAUGUCACCUCAAUUUUCAAUAGUCAUCUUGCAUUGACUAUAAACCAUCACACGAUUAAUCAAUCACGGCCAAGGCCAUUGUGCUUUGCGUACUAAUUCCUCAAUUAAAUUAUGAACUUGGCCUAUUUCCAUUGUGUUAAAAAUACCCGAUAAAAAUAAUCGUGUGUGGGUAUACGGUUGGCCUGAGCAAAAAAUGCAAUAUCUACCUUUUUAAAAAUCCCACUAUUUAAUAUAAUAUCUAAAAAAAAAAUUGGUGUAAAAAACCGACGCCCCGGUAUUUUCUGAUUAAAUACUAAAAUUAUACAAUUUUAGGAUAAAUACGCAAAAUUACAAAUUCCACUCGAUUUGCACAAAUUAGCACUCAAUUAAAUAAACCAAACACACCAUUGCAAUCAACACGAAAUUUCGGUCACCGACUAUUCCGGUAUAAUUUUCGGAAAGUAAUAAAUAAUUAAAUAAAUACUAAAAUAAAUAAAUAAAUGCAAUUAAUUACCAAAAAUAGCAACUUAGGUCGGAAAUGCCUAAUUAAAUACCGAAACAGGCCCGGAAAAUUUCUGAACCAAUCUAGAUAAAUAGCACGAUAUAUCUAGUCCCUAAUUAAGCUAUUCUAACCACCUAACAUACACAAACGAAUAAUUAAAUCGCUAAUCCGUGAUAACUAACCACCCAAACCUUAAUUAGCCUAAUCUAAACACUAAUUAAAUGUCAUUAACUCCCUAAGCAGAGUUUAGUGAGUAAACUCACCAGUUUUGUGAUCCGGUGAGUCCACGACGACGGCGAUGUGGAGACAAGCGAUAAACCUCAUAGCAGCGACACUAAACGGGGAUGGGACAAGCCUGAAAACGGGCCUUGAAGUCUACGAACCCUUGCUAGCUUCGGUUAUGUACGGCAAAGCUUGCUGGCCGAGGCUGCUGGUGGUGUCGCCAAGGAGUUUUAGUGGUCUCGGUGAGGUGGUGAGCUGGUGAAGAGUUGAGCCUUGGGGCGGUGGACGUGUGGGUUGAGUUGUGGCUGUUGGGUUCGCAGGAACGCUGGAGUUGGGCAGUGGCAUCACUGGAAUGGAGCUGCUACGUGGGUUGCUGCAGGCAUUGGACUCGAUGGAGAUGCAAGGGGCUGCUUUGGUGGAGAGGUGCAAGGGAGUUGGUGGCUUGGCAGAGGCGGAGGGAAGUUCGAUGGGUUGACUGCAACGCCUGGGAUGGUGGACUGACGAUGGUGGAGCAGCGAGCGAGGGAAUCGGUGAAGAUGGGAGCUGGCUUGCAAGUCAACUUUGGGCUUUGUUGGAGGGGGUUCUUCGCGGACGUGGCAGCAGACGGAAGGUCGGUGGAGAUAGGGCGGUGAUUUUGGUUGAGGGAUAGAGAAUAGUGUCGCCGACCGUCGCCGGUCGCCGGCGGGCGGUGACUGCAGGGUUUGAAGGGAGGAGCUGCUUUGGUGAAGGAACAAAUGAAAGAAAGCAAAAGACAGAGGGGUCAGGGGAAGUUGCACAUGAAUAAGAAGAGGGAUCAGCUAAGGCGUGCUCAAGAAGUUGGAGAAAAGGGGGGCCAAAGUCAAUGUAAAUAUCUCAUAUUCAUCACUUCUUGGUUCCACAAGCUUCCAUACAUAUCUCUUUUGUCCCCCCAAGCCUUUAUGCACAUAAAAUUCCACAAAUAACUAAGUUGAGGUCCAAUUGUUGCAGCUCUCGUAUUAGCUUACGAAUUUCACAAUUUUGGACUUAAAUUUCUUCACAAAUUCUCCAAUUUGAUGUCCAAUUUUGUUGAAGAAGAAGCCCACACAAUUUUCACAGUUUCCCUUCACUAAAUAGCUCAUUUUGGAGGCUAAAAAAUCCCUUUUAUUUGGCCCACCCGAAUUUCCUUUCAUUUUCCGAGUUGUUCGAAUUGAUUUUCCGUAAAAAUCCCAAGCUCGCCGAAAAUUUCUCGAAUGAUGAGUUGACGCUCCUAAAAUAAAUCGUGACAUGACAGAACUUUCAAUUUCUGAAAUCGGGUUCAAAUUCGUGGUUAAUUUCAAUCUGACGUAAUUUUAGUGUGACCUAACCUAUUGGUAACUUUUAGAAACUUCUAAUGCAAUUGACCCAUGGUCAAUUAUUUUCGAACCACAUUGUACAUUUUCGACACAUUGACAACUCUCAGUUGUCGUGAAAAUCUUGAGAUUUCAAAUAUGGACAUAGGGUACCAAAACGACAGAAAAAUCGUUCUAAUGUCGAUUGACAAGAAUUUUGUAAUUAGGUGGAAUCACCCACAUCUAAUCACACACCUCUAUCGAAUCAACCUAUCUCUGGUCUCGGAUCAAUUUUUAAUUAUGUCGUAGUGACCCUUGCAGAUUAGCACGGUCGAGCAGUCGAUUUAUGGUUGAAUUCUCAAGUCCAUUGUGUUUAUAUUCCUUAACGGCUUCACCUAAUAGGCUAGUUAUCUCGUGAGUGGCCAACUCAAAGAAAAUAACUAUAGGCGCAUCGAUGAAAAGCCCAACUUAUUCAAUCGAAAUCAGAACUUAAAAUUCAGGAUGUCACACUAAUAACAAAGGGAAAUCAUGCUUUCAAUUCUUAUCAUAAUUAUAUACAUUGGGUGAUGGACUACAUAGCAAAAGGAAAAACCUAAACUAGGAGGAAUCAAAAAGGAACUCAUCUCCCAAGCACCACUUCUAGCAGACGCUCUCACAAUUUUCCAUCAGUCCACGCCACUCAAUCACACAAUUCUACGCCCAAAAAGUUAUGACUAUGCAAAAUCAAAAGCAUUCCCCUUUCACACUACACCAUCUCCAGCUUCUACGACUCCCUAUCGUCUCCAUCAUCACCAUUAUGGUCAUCUAGGUAUGGAAUCAGUCCUUUGAGGUUCCUAUCUACCAAAAUAUAGAUGGUGACGAAAUGAUACGAUGUAAGACUCUCUAGCACACUUAUGUCCACCUUAAGAACCAUCAUGCAUCUCACAAAAACCACACCCGGAAUAGCUAGAUCCAUAAACCCAUACAAAUCACUCGUAAAAUCUAUUGGUUGCACCAUUACCAGAGGUGGAAGACAGUUGUUGAGGAAAUUUCCCUAAAUGAUUUUGAGGAUAAAAAAAAAACAUUUCCAUAAGUGUUUAAUGAUUCUGAUAAUGAUUUUUUCCAUGUGGAAACUCUGAUAUUUAUCAUCAAAUGUUACUUAUUAGACUCAGAGACUUAUCAAGAUGUUUUGGUUAUCUAUGAUGAAGAUUAUGUCAUGUCAUGAUAAUCAAGGACAACGGUGUAAUUUGUAUGAGGAUUGUCAAGACAAUACACAUCAUUAGAUGUUACGAGAAAUCUUAGAUCUUCACAGUUAGUUUAGAUCAUGUGAAGUGCAAUGGCUAGUAAUAUGGCUUGGAUUUUUUGCUAUAUUUAUUGAUUGUCCAUGAGGUAUGAAUAUCCACAUAAUCCUUCCUUGUUGGAGAUUUAUAAUCCAUGAGACAAUCAUUGAACACAAGGUGCACUUUCCAAAUGGAGUAAUCAACUUAUGGAAACCUUAUCUCUAUUGUAUGGGUAGCAAAAUCAAGGGAGACUCUAUUUUAGCAACCUAGAAGCAAUCGGAUUAUCCUGAAUCAUUUAGGUUUAACGGAUGCAUUGGAUGAAGAUCCUCAUAAUUUAUGUCCAACGGUCAUUUUGGACAUUAAAGAGUAUAAAAAGAGAUUAUGAUGUUGAAGGGAAUAAGAGAUCGGUAGUCUACAAAUUCCAAAGUUGAAAGAGAGUUUCAUCUUUACACUCGUCUUCAUGAGCUUAACUUGUAAUCUCUUAGAGGUUGUUUUCAGAGUGUGAGAUCGAAAGAUUGGAUCACACUUGAGUUGGAAGUACUUGAUUGUUGUAACCUCUAAUGGAUUCAUUAGUGAAAUCUAGCUGGUAAGUUGUCACCAUAAGAAAGUGUACAUAGGCUUAUCAAAAGUUGAACCAUUAUAAUUGUUAUGUGUAAUUUUCUCUUUCCUUUAAUCUCUUGUUUUUUAUUUAUUUAUUUAUUGCACAUAGUAAAAGUCUAAUUAGCACAUAGUUCUUCACCGGACACUGUAGAAGAUAUGAUCAUUGCAAAGUUUUUCAUCAAACUUUGUUAUUUUGUGAUAUUGAACUUGGUUUUUUUUUAAAAUUCCUCUUUAAUUGCUUACAAUCACCUAUUUACCUCAUGCUAGGUGAUAGGGCUAGCCAUUAUAAUAGGAGUCAGAGGCAUGGCCAAAGAUCUCUAAAAACAAUAGAAGUGAGCUAACACUCAACAAGAGAAAUAGAUAUCUCAUAAUUGAAUCCUUCCAAUCAACACUCAAUUCCUAGGACACUUCUAGCAUCAUAACAAUUAGCACACGAGAAUGAGCACACAUCACACAUUAGAUGCAAUAUCCUUGGUCAUGUGCAUAAUGAUCACACAUAUUUAAUGCAUCAUACACUUCAUUCUAAGUUACACCACUUUAUUUGGGUCCACCCCUAUCUUAUGGUUCAACCGGGAUUGCUAGUUGGCCUGUGCAAGUCACUACUGAUUUAAUGUUCGGAAUUCUGUGGUUUGCUAGUUGCAGGCGUUUCGCUACUAUCACCCAGAGUAUCUUGAUUUGCUACCCAAGACAUUCUCCUUUGGCAUCCAAUCCUAGCCAUAGCCGAGUUCUUAGUUUGUUAGCCAAGACUUCCACGGUUCUCUUUAACUGCAGGCAUUCUUGCUACAACCCAGGGCAUCCAAGGUUUGCAAGCCUUGGACAUCACGAAAUAGCAAAUUUUCUCAAGCACCACAGGCAUAUCAUACACAUGCAAUGACAUUAGAAUCAUAUGCUAUGAAUCACAUCCCAUUUAGCACACCUUUCACUAGGAAAGAUACUAUGUCAUCGCAAACAAUUUAAUGCCUCAUUAGUACACCCAAGCUAUUUACAAAUCAUAAAUUCAAGAAUAGGUGCUCAUGCAAUCAUCUCAAUUUUACAAACAAAUGGCAUUUAAAUUGAAGUCAAACCUAUACCGUGAGAUAGCCUAAUGAGUAUGAUUGCUAUCUCCAGUAGAGCACAAGCCAAGAUUCAAUCACCUCCGAACAUAAAUUCGUGAUUUACCAAAAAUGGGCAAAACAAAAUAGUUUUGAAUAAUCUUCGAAAUCAAAGUCAUUACUUUAUCAAAUGAACAUGAAAAAUUUUAAAAAUUUAAUAUGUUGUAAAAAAGAUCUUAAAUAACAUUUUUCAUGAAGGAACUAAGUGCAAAAAAUUUUGUAUCAAGAGUAGUAAUUCACACAAAAUAAAGAAGAAUCUGGUUCACUAGAAUAGAGCAACUAAGCUACAAGAUAUACUCAUCUCACAGCAGAAAACGUGUCAAAACAUUUUGAAAUUUGGAUAUGUUAUAACUAAAGAUGUCUUAUACAAUUUUUAUGAAGGAAGCAAGUCCAAAAUCAAUAGAGAAAAUGUUUCUAAAAUUCAAGAAAACAAUCGGGUCACUGUUCCUACUGCACUGGGCAGAUUAGACACGGUAAAUGAUUAGGCUUGUAUAUCAAUUAACCUUAAAAAAAUCUAAAAUUAAAGUAUGUUGUAAAUCAAGAUGUCUUGCACAACUUUCAUGAGAAAGUCUCAUCAAACUCGAACCACAGCAAGCUCCACCAAAUUAAUAAGUAGAUAAGAUCCAGCAAUUCUAGUUCUAGAAAUCCAAACUACAGCACAUGAACAAGUACAAAACUUGCACCACACGAAUUCAUUGCUUAAAAACAAAUCAAAACCUAAAGUCCCAAGUCACAUGCAACAUCCAUCUUCAAUUAUAGUCAACAAACUCUUUCAUAAGGGCCAAAUAAGCACAUGAAACUCACAUGCAAGACCAUAUAAGCCACCAAAUGCACAUUUUCUACAUCUACUCAAGCCAACAAGGACAUGCAAGUAAGAAGCAACACAAAACAGCUCAUAUUCUAGCAAACAUUGAGCCUCAAAAGGAUCGAGAAGAGUAAAAGAGAGCCACUUCUCCAUGCUUUGCUUCCCUUGAGCUCUAGACCUUCCUUCCUUGAAGAAGACUUGGAAUUCUUGAAGGAAAAUGCAAGAAAUGGAAGAGAAUGAGAGAAUGAUGUUCAAUGAGGGAGAGGGAGAGAGAGCUCACACGAGAAAGAGAGUGAGUGAGUAAAAUGAAAUAAGAGACGGAGGGGGAGAGAGAGAAAGGUCAAUUGAAUAAGGUGGAGAAGAGAAGUGUUUUCCCCAACACACUUCUUUGCAUGAAUCCUAAUUGGAUCAAGGAGAGGCGGCUUAAUCAUUAGGCUAAAUUCAGCCUAUUUUGCAAUUUAAAUUCAAUUGCAAGCAUUUCUAUUGGGCAAUAGGGGUGAAAAACAUAAUUAUUGUUUUUAAUUUCAUGCAAAAUAAGAAUAGGGUGGGCCACAUAUAUAAAUGCAUAUUAAAAGUCUAAUUAUGUCCUAAGGUACAACCUUAAGCAUAUACAAAAACCGUACAAGGCAUAGGUCACAUGCCUUCGUCCCUAAUUUGCUUAUUGAAUUGAUUGUUGAAAAUUUAAAUCCCUACAUGACUUACUAAUAGGGCUAGGUGGAAAUUGGGGAUGUCACAUAGUAGAUAUAAAUGUUAUCUUUGACAAAGUGAUUUGGUGAAAAUGUUUGCUGGUUGUUCCACUAUUCCAAUUCCUCUUGUCACAAGUAUCCUUUCUUGGAUCCUUUCUCAAGUGAAGUGACAAUCAAAUUUUAUGUACUUAGUUCUUUCAUGAAAGACUUGGAUUUGCUACCAAUUUAAGUGUAAUAUCAUUAUUACAAAAUAACUUGGUUGAUCCAUUGACUUUUACUUUGAGGUCCAAGAGUAAACCUUGUAUCAAAACUAUUUUGCAAAUGUUCACCCUGACUCGAUACUCUGAUUCUAUGAACGAUAAUGAUCGACUAUUUCUUUGUCUUCCCUGAAAUAAAUUAUUUUUCUAUUUUGAUACAAAAACCAGUGACAUAUUUUCUAGUCAUUAGACAAGCAGCAUAAUCUAUAUCACAAUAGAUUGUCAUCUUCAUAUGACAACCUUGAGACAAAAGUAUAUCAAGUCCUGGACAUCCCUUCAAGUACUUCAUGACCUUUAGUGUCGUAUUCUUAUAAGACUACUUUGGGUUGUGCAUAAAUUUAUUGAGUAUUUGCACUGCAUAACAUAUAUUAAGUCUUGUCAGGGUAAGAUAUUUUAGUUUUCCAACAAGCUGUUGAUAUCCUAACAGGUCUUUAAGCAAUGAGUCCUUGUUGAAUGAUGAAUCCACGUCAUAUUCAUGUGAUGUCAACUUGAUAUUAUGCUCAAUUAGUAUAAAAAUUGGUUUACAAGCUGAUAAUCCUAAUUUUGAGAUAAUUUCCAAAACAAAUUUCCAUUGGCUAAGACAUAUUCCCUCUUUGGAUUAAGCUAUCUCAAUCCCAAGAAAAUAUUUAGGAGGUGUUAAAUCCUUUAUGUGAAGAGUAGAAUGCAGACAUUCUUUGAAUUUCCCAAUGGUAAAUUCAUCAUUUCCCAUGAUAAACAUAUCAUCAAAGUAUAUCAAUAAAUUAAUUGACAAUGUACCUCUGGUCAAUGUAAAUAGAGUAUAAUCAUGCUUGGAAUACUGAAAGCCUACGUUUGUGAGUGCAUCAGUAAACUGGGCACACCAUUAUCAAGAAGUUUGCUUAAGCCCAUAGAGGGAUUCACAAAGACAACGCGCUCGAAACUCCUUCCCUCUUCGUAAACCACGUUGUUUACACCUAAAUGUUGGCGAUCUAUUUAGUCAUUUAUUGCAUAAAAAAAUUAGGGAUUAAUUUUAUCCCUGAAAAAAUAUUAAUUGCAUAGCAUAUAAGUUUAGGUGCAUUUGUUUUUAAUUUGCAUUUUUUUACACUUAUUUACUGGAUCAAUGGCGGAUGGGUCGAAUUAGUGGUUUUAGGUUUUAAAUUAGCAGACUGGGCUAGGCCCACGAAAAGAGUACAAAUUGGCCCGAGACCGUUUUCUGAAAUUGCGAUUUGAAAUGAGGAUUUUUGAAAUUUAAGAAAAUUAGGUUUUGAUCUUAUCUUUAAAAAUCAAUAGAAAAUAUUUAGGAGAUAAGAAAAAAAAGAGGAUUUUGUGAUUCGGAGGUUAUAGGAAAAUCUUCGUGUAUAUUGAAAAGUGGAUGAAAUAUUUCACGAAGAUUUUCAUCUUAUUUGCCUAUAAAAGGGAGCCGUAUACGAUGAGAGAACGGGGGCUUCGCUGAAAAGAAAAAAGGGAAGAAAAAAAGGUCAAAGAGAAGUUUUGCUUCUGCAGUAAAAAAAAGAAAGAGAGAAAGAGUACGAAGGAAGAGGGAGAGUGACGUGAGAGAGGGAGAGAGAGGAGAAAAAGUAAAGUAAGAAGGCUGAUUUGACUCAUACUGUUCAUCUUCCUCGCCGUUCCUCUCGCUGCCCGAUUCGCCGCGCCUCCAGUCACAGAUUCGACGCCGGCCACCGCAUCGGUGUUUCCUCCGCCAGCCCGUCGUCGUUCGUCCGCGAAGCUGCCCCCGCCUCUGCACCAGUGCCGUCGCAGCAGCUCACCCGUUCGUCGCUACUGGUCGCCGCACCUCCUCACCACCACGAGCCCCGCACCCUGCGACACCCCCUCGCCGGUGCCCUGCUUCGCCGAAGUCCUUUGCCGGUGUCAAUCGUCCGUGAAGCCCGACGCCAGAGCCAUUCCUGCCCUGCGCCACCCGCUCGAAGCCGUGAGUCCACUGUUCGCUGAUCCACGAUUCCGACGCUGCUGCUGAACCGCUCCACUAACCCGACGAAGCCACCGCCGAGCUGAUCCGCGACGACGCUGCUUCCCUUGCCCUGUCCGCGAUCCGCCCACCACGCCACCGGAAUCCCUCUGCACCCGCGAGCCCGUCCCGACGCCACUGCAAUACCAGUCACUGCUGCAACUCCGAGCGCCGACGACCGCGCGUCUUCCUCCGCCUGCACCUCCCGUCGCCGGCACCGCGACGCCACCCGCGACCUGCUGCUGCCGCCGGACCGCUCGCUACCGAUCCACCCGUUGCUGGUCCUCGCCGGAGCUCUGAACGCCGGCGACCCAACCUCCGGUGAUCCACCGAAGUCGCUCGGCCGUGGGUGAAGCAAGCAGGAAAAGAAAAAAAACAAAAAGAAAAAAGGGAAUCCAAUUAGGUAGAUUAGUUUAUUAUUAUUAGUAUUAUUAUUAUUCUCGUUUAUUUAUUGUGCUUUAUUUGAUAGCUUUCUUUAAUUCAUUUACAUUGUAAUAUUGGAUGUCGAUGCUUAUUUCAAAAUAUCUUACAGGCAUUAUCCAUAGGGAUAUUCCCUAAGAUUAUUGUAAUUAUUAAUUUGACCCGUAAGAUAUCGAGUCAUUUUUUUAAUUGUAUUAAUUCUUGGGGUUUUGUCGAUAGCACAUUAAUUGUGGAAUCAAUAUAACUAUUAAUUUGAUCCGUAAGAAUUCGGAUCAAAUUUUUAGUUAUUUUGAUCUUUUUGUCAUGACAUUCAGGAUUAUAAUAAUCAUUAAUUUGACCUGUGAGAUGACAGGUUAUUUUUUCGAUCAUUGUAAUUCUUUAUUUGAUUGGAUGCCUUGAUUAGUUUAGAUUUAAUGUUUAGUUGGUAAUUGCAUUAUUUAAAAAAAAACCACUAAAAAAUCUAAAAAAAUAUUUGAAUUAGGAUUCAGUUUGUUUUGGAAUAUUUCUUGUUAUCUUGCAUAUCUAGAAUAUGGAUUUUAUUCCGAAUUUAAAAAAAUAAAAAAUGCAAAAAGAAAAAUGCAUUCAUUUAGGAUUUUAGUUGCAUGUUUAAUUAUGUGGCAAUUUUAAAUUUUGAAUUUUAAAUAAAAAAUAAAAGAUAAAACAUAUCAUGCAUAUGUCAUGUAGAAUUAGGGCAUGCUCCGCACGUCAUUGCAUAUUAGAUAGAUCGCAUGUUAGAUUAAGAUAAUGUUUUAGUUCAAUUAGGAUUUAAUGUGACUUAAUCAUUAGUUUAAAUUAGAUAGAAUUUUAAUCUAGCUAAAUCAUAUCAAGUGCACGUCAUUUAGUUUUUAUUAGGUUCAUUUAAUUAGAACUUCUUCGUUAUUAGAUUAAGUCAUUUAAUAAAUGUCGCAUGACAUAUAACUCGCAUACUAAAUUGUAUGCUGCAUGUCAUUUUAGGUUAAAUAAUUUUGUAUGUCAUUGCAUCGCAUCGCAUGUCAUUAGAAUUAGGUCAUUUAGAUUGCAUUUAAUUAUUGCAUUUCUUCAUGUCAUAUAGUUUAGGUCAUGUUGCCAUGUCAUAUUAGAUUAUUAGCAUGCAUCGCAUGAUUCUCAUUAAAUAAAGUGAAAACAAAAAUUAAGUAAUUGCUUGUUAAUUAGAAACCAUAUCUAGGGUUGUUGAUGUGGAUUUUAAUUUAACACUGCAGAUGCUUGCUUUCGUUGCUUUUAGGUAAAUUCUACAUUAUUUAAUUGCUUUUUUGGGUGAUAAAUUGGUGAUAUGCGCACACGUAUGAUCACCUCACAUAUUAGGAAGUUAAAUUAAAAUCAAUUCAAUUGCCAAACAUACUUUUGAAAAUGAAAUAAAAAGGUACCGAAAAGGCACUAGGAUAGUCUAGUGUAACCAAGUCCCCGAACUCAUAAAUCUCUGGUUCGUAGGAGUAAAGUAAAUCUCCCGUUACUUUACUUGGGUUUCUAAUCGACCCACCAAAAAUAGAUUAGUGGCGACUCCUGAUUAAAAAUCAUUUGCAUGUUAAGAAUUCAAACUUAAGUCACGAAUUGGUAUGGGCUUGGGAGAGCUCGAGCUAAGCUUAAAGACUUAGUAAUCCAUUAACCUAGUUUUAGGUGAUGAACCUGAAAAAUUUAGGUCGCGACACACUUGGAAUUUUCAUAUAGAUUUUUCCUUCUAGGAUUCCCAUGGAGAAAAGCAUUGUGGACAUCCAUGUGGUGCAAUUGCUAAUUGCACAAAGUAGCAAUGGAUAGAAAAGAUCGAAUGGUUAUUUCGGCAAUUAGGGAAAAGAUCUCAUGAUAAUCAAAACCUUCUUAUUAUGUGAAUCCCUUAGCGAGUAAGCGGGCCUUGUAUCAUUCAAUAGAUCCAUCUACUUUAAGUUUGAUAUUGUAUAUCUAUUGCAACUAGUGGGUUUACAAUGUGAAGGUAAUUGAAUAAUAUCCCAAGUAUGAUUUUUCGUAAGAGCAUGUAACUUGACCUCCAUAACUUUUUGUCAGUGAGUAUCACGUGCUUCUUUUUAUAUAUAAGGAUGGUUCUUGUUUCUUGGAAAUAUGACUGAUACAAUAUGUGUGUUUUAGGGAUAGUCUACUAAAUGAAACAUAUGAGGAUAUUGGAUUAUGUGUAUCUGGGAAUGCAAUAUAGGACAUAAGUAAUCUUUGGUCCAUGUGAGGGGCGAACAAGAUGUCUAGAGCGUCGAGGUUGUUUAGUGAUUGUCUAUUUAGUAACCGCCAUGCAAGAUCCAUCAACAAAAGGUUUUGAAGAUACCAUUGGUGAAAUAGAUAAAUGAUUCUCCUAAGAUAAUCUGGACGAAAACCCAAUUGAUUGGUCCAAGGAAUUAGGACUGGUUGGCGUAGGUAGGGAUAUCAGAACUGAACUGAAAAAUUGAGCCAAAAUCAAAAUCGAACUAAAUCAAACCAAACCAAAAUUUCGUGCAUUUUUUAUUCGGUUUGAUUUGGUUUUCGGUUUGGAUAAACGAAACAUAACCAUUCUUUUUUCCUAUUUGGCUUAGUUCAGUUAACCAAGUUGAACCAAAAUUCUCAACAAAACUUAGACGCCCAAUUUAAAAUCUCUUUUUUUUUUCUCACCAGUUAUUCAGUUCAGUACUAAUAAGUAAGGCAAAAAUAGGAAAAUCGAAAUACCAAACCGAACCGGGUGUAUUCAUUUUGAGUCGGACUUGGUUUGGUUUAAAUUCACACCUUAUCAGUUCGAGUUACCAAGAAAAUCAAACCGAAUCAGAUUGUAAACACCCCUAGGCGCAAGUGGUUUUGGUGCAACAAAGAUGUACUAGGGGGCCAUGGAUAGAUCAUCUUUUAACAAAAAAAAUCUGUUGUUGGAUCUCAAUAGAGAUGAUUGGGAUGAAGAGGUCAUCUCCUGAAAUGGGAACACAUCUUCAUGGAAAACUGCAUCUCGACUUACGUUGAAAUGGCUUGUAGAUUUUUUCAUAACCCAAUAGCCUUUCUAUAGAGAAGAGUAUCCUAUGAAAACACAUCAAAAGGGUGUGGCAAUCUAUUUUAUCCCGAGGGCUCAUAGUUGUCACAUAAUAUAAACAUCCAAUAACUCUUAAAUUAUCAAUUCUAAGUUCUUUCCUAAAAAGCAUCUCAAAAGGAGUUCAACCUUCAAGGAUUCAAGUUGGCAUGCGAUUAAUUAAGUAGGCUGCCGUCACCACACAAUCUCCCUAAAAUAUUUCAAGAAUUGAAACUUGAUAUUUUAGAGCUCGAGCGACUUCCAAGAGGUGUCAACGUUUGUGCUCAACAAUCCCAUUUUAUUAGGGAGUAUAAGUACAUGAACUUUUGUAGAGCAUUCCUUGAGAGGAUAAAAAAGAGUUGCAUUCACUAGUGAAGGACUCGCAUCCAUUAUGUGGAAGAAUUCUUUGGACAAAUUUGUUGAAGUGAUUCUUAACUAAGGAGAGGAAUUUCGAUAGGAAAAGGUUGACUCUUGGAUUACAUAAGGAAGACCUAGGUGGCACGGUAUAAUCAUGGACAAUAGUGCAAAAAGAAAAAGGAAAAGAAGAUCCAUCAGGAUGUGGAGUAUGAUAAUGAUCCUAGAUAUCCAUAUGGAUCAAGGAGAAUGCACUAGUAGCUGGAGAUGUACUUGUUGGAAAUGGUCCCUAUAACCAAAGGGUAAAUUAGACAUUUUGGGUGAGGAAAACGAACACUGUGACCAAACGUUGAUGAGAAAUAAAAGUUUUAUUACUAAUAGUAGCAUUACAAGAAAUGCUCUUAUUCAACAAUAUAAAGUUUUUGGAAAAAUUGAUCGAAAAACAUAAUCCUUGUGCAAUAUUACCUAAGCCCAUUAGCUUCCCAGUCAAAUGGUUUGAAAGAAGUAAAUUUUAGAAUUGAAUGUUGCAUGGCAAGAAUUGUCCUCGUAAAUUUUGGAAAUAGAUAUGAGAUUGAACUCUACAUCAAGGAUGUAAAGGACAUUCUUUCUUGAGGAUAAUGUUUGGGCUAAGAUUGACAAUGCCAAUUUUAUUGAUAUAAAUAGGGUUUUCAUUUGGGAGACAUAUUGAUACGCAAGAUUUGUGUCUUUUCUGAACAUGGAAAAAAUGCUCGUUGCAAAUUAUAUAGUCAUUGGCAUCUGAAUCAAUUUUUUAUGCAUCAACUAAAAUAAAAUUCCUUUUUGAGAAAGAAAUACCUGAAAAACUCUUAGUCUUAUCAAUAGUUGUCAAUUGACUCAGAGUUUUCAUAAUGUUGUGAUAUUGAUUUAUGGUAAUUGUCUAAUGCAUUCUUUUGGUGCCUUGUACUAAAACCUGGUAAGUAGAAACUUCUCUUUCCCUUUUUCUUUAUCAUUUGUCUUGCCAAGCAAAUUUCAACACGUACUAGCAGUAUGAUAUGGGCAUUAGCAAUAAUCACAAAAUUUAUCUUUUGUUUUGGAUUUUUGUCCACCAUUCUCGCACCUUGUGAACCAUUAGAUGAUUUAAAGAUUGGGGCUGACGUGGCCUGACAUGGGCCUUUAGUUUAGGCCAAAUAGCUAAUUAAAUAGUUGUCGUUGGAUCCUGAUCUCUGAUCUUGGCCGUUUGUUCGAGAAAGUCCUCUAGGGUUUUUUUUUUUUUAGCAGACACCGCUUGUUGAUGCUCCCAAGGUACUCGAAGCUUCCCAGACUUAUUUAUGGUGGCUCCGUUGAAGCCGUGAGGGUGCCUUCAACUCUUCUGUGUUUGGCUGUCACCAACCAUUGGCCUUAUUCUAGGACAGCCAACUAGUAGAUCUGGUCGAGCAAUGGCAUUGGUUGCAUUGCCAAAAUCUGCCAUUGGAAAUGUGAGAAUGUUUUAUUCAAGAUUAGCAAGAAUCGAGUCACUUUCUUCCUCUCCUUCAUCACUUCAUACUGUUGGAGGUUGGUCUCUGGUCCCCUGAGUUGCUCCUCGAUUGACUCAAGCUUAUUUCACGGAUUGAAGUAAGCGAUGGUUGAAAGGUUCCCUUCUUCAAUUCCAACAAUAACCUAAGUGAGCCAAAACAAUUUUGCUCAAUCGAGCUUCUUGUACAUUUCAAAUAUGUUUUCCCAUAUCUCUUUCAAGUUCUCAAUUAGUGGAAGUCUAGCCAUGACAUCGGGUGUUAAGCACUUCAAUUGGUUGCGCUUUUGUCAAUGCUGUUGCAAUUGUUCAUUGGUUGGAAAUGGGACAACUCCAUCGAGGAAACCGUCCUUAUCUUAGCCGGAAGUUGCGAGCCCAAGCGAUAUAGUUAUCCCGCAGAUGAGCUGUAGAUUGAUGAGACGAAGGUCUGGUCUGUUGAUCGGUGAGGUGUAGAGAGGGUCAUUGGACUCCAGGCGGGUUGCCACUGGCUGGAUUGUUUUACCCGGGAACCACGCUCACCCCUAGUCCUUGGACCCAAUUGAGUGGAAUUGAGUCUAUGAUCCGGACUAGUCUAACCCAAUCCAUCAGCUAGUUGGGUGCCAAAGCCUGGGGCUCUUUGUUCUCUAAAUUGGUCUUUUUGUGCCCACGUCUGGCUUGGUCUAGUGGUCCAUUGGCCUUGAACCGAAGACUAGUGGACUAGUGGCCACUGGACUGGGCCGAAAACUUAAAUAGGAGUAGGGUCAGUGUGUUGAACGGAAGAACUUUCUUCUUCAACUGGAUUAAUUUGAUUAGAAUCUUGGUUUCGAGGUAAAUUGUUUCUUUCCUUUUUUGUGAUUUGAUUUUUUAACAUGGUAUCAAAAAGUUUGAAUUCCUACCAGGGUGCUGUUUUGUUUUGUAGAAUUAGGAUUGCAACAACAAAAAAUAGAACAAAACUGGAGGCAAUUCUAAAAUCGCAAAAGCUAGGCCAGGAAAGAAAGUUUUGAUACCAUGACAAAAAUCGAAAGGAUUGGAGGAAAUUCUAUUAUGUUGUAUCAAUUUGUGUACACAUAAAAAGGUCCAUUUAUAAUACAAGAUAAUUGAAAAUAGGAAAAUGAGUAUUUAAGAUUACAAUUCCUAUUCUACAUAAUCAAUUACAGAUUGACACAAUCAGAAUCACAAUCAAUAACCUUCAUAUAUUCAAUCAUAUCUUUAACAUGCAGUAACCGGAACUUUCUAACACCUGAGGCCAAGAAGACAAGGUCUGUUUGUUUGAACCAUCACUUUAUGGCCUUAAUCAAUUUCCUAUAUAAUGGUACAAUUGAUUUGACUCCUUUAUGUGUGGUUAGUAGUAUAGAAGGAGUUCUUAUGAAAACGGUGUAGUAUAGAGGUUCAAGGAUGUUAGCUAUUGCUGGUAGAUAUUUUAUAAUAUGAACAUGUCCAAUAAUGAUGAACUGAAACGGCGAUUAAGAAGUGAGUGAUAAAAGACCUAGGUGGUAGACAAACAUAUACUGUGCAGAGAGAGAGAGAGAGAGAGAGAGAGAUUCGGCUAUCACCAGGUGAAGUACCGAGACAGCUUAGCGUGCAAAACGCCAAACUCUGAGUACCCAACUAGUUGCACAUUUUAAGCUUUCAACUGAUCUUGAAGCAUGGUCAAAAUAUGAGAAAGAAUACUUGAAUUUUCGCGUACUAUUAGUAUUGUGAGUAGUUAUAUGACUUAUCUUGGUAGUUAUAUGACUUAUCUUGGAAGGAAACACUGGGAAUAGGUUUUGUGAUAGGGAUAAUGGAUGUUUGUUUUCCCAGAGAUCCUUGAUAGGUUACAUGUUAAGUUUUGUAGGUUGUGCUUUUAGUUGGAAAGCGUAAUUAUUGCUGAUAACUGUUUAGCCAAAAAUUGAAGUAGAGUAUAUGACGUCAAUCAAGGCAAUGAAAGAAGUUGUAUGGCUUAGAGGUUUGCUCAAUGAUAUGGGAAGAUAGUAGGAGAAUAUCGUUGUUUACUACAACAAUCAGCGUGCAAUACAUUUGGUUAAAAAUCGAAUGUAUCAUGAUGUCAAGUACCACUUUUGUACGUGAUUUCAUCCAACUGGAAACCGCAUCCGUUGAGAAUGUGCACAUGAUAGAGAGACAUAUUAAUGAAGCUUAUUCCAUUAAUAGGGACAAUGACAUCUGUUAAACAUUUUGUGAAGAAAUGAACUCCCAGAGAUCCUUCAUAGGUUACACGUUUAGUUUUGCAGGUUGUGCUAUCAGUUGAAAAGCGUAAUUAUUGCUAAUAACUGUUUUACCAACAACUAAAGUAGAGUAUAUAACGUCAAUUGACGCAAUGAAGGAAGUUAUAUAUGGCUUAGAGGUUUGCUCGAUGAUCUGGGAAUAUGGUACGAGAAUAUUGUUGUUUAAUACAACAAUCAAUACAUUCAGUUAAAAAUUGAAUGUAUCAUGACCGUACCAAAAUACAUUAAUGUCAGUUGCCAUUUUCGUAUGUGAUAUUAUGCAGUGGGAAACCGCAUCCGUUGAGAAUAUGCACAUGACAGAGAGACAUAUUAAUGAAGCUUAUUCCAUUGAAUAAGUUCUAGUACUACUAAUUGGACUUUGGUGAGUGUCUGUAGCAUGUCAGGAGCCCAGAGAGGCUCGAGGAAGACGAUGAUCAUGAUGAUGAAGUUGGACUUUUUGCUGAGGUGGAGAUUUAUUGAUUAUGGCCUGAAGUUAUCAACUAUUUUGAAGUCUGAACCCACAGAUGAAUCGCAAGGUAGCCUGGGCCCCAAAUUAGACUCUCGUCAGGACUUUGGACAUUGCAAAAGAGAUUCGGAAAAGACUUAUUUUCCUAAUUGAAGAAUGGCUCUUAAUUUGUUGCAUAUAAAUAUACUUUUGUCAAGUUUGGUCUGGUGUGCAUAAUGAGUGCGUUUAACAUGUAUGAAGCUGGCGAGAUACAGAAAGUAUCGAGAGCAGUCAUCCAAGAGAGUUGAUAACAUGAGGAAACUUUUUGCCUGUGAUUGAUUCAUGCGAUUUUGGAUUUAUUUUAGGAUCGGAAAACACUUAUUAGUGACUGCUGCAUCAAUUAUAAUAGAAUCAUUCCGUCGAUAUCUCUCAUUGGAGUAGACACACCGCCAGAUCACUUAAAUCUGUUAUUUUCAGAUUUUAUUUCUACAAUUUAUUUCUUAUUCAAAUUGUUUUAUUUAUUCAUAUUUCCGCGGUAGUCACACAGAUUCGGUAUCUUGAACCAAUUUUAUUAAAGGUGAGGACAUGGUACAAGACACAUUUACAGCGACAUCAUAGAGAGUAGAGGUGGCAAAAUGGGUCUUAGACCCAUAUAUGACCUAUUUAAAUCAUAAAUGGGUCAUUUGUUUUUUUGAAGAAACUACUUAAAUGGGUUUAAUAAUUAAAGACUUAAGAUAUGUGGGUCUUAGGUUGGAUUUAGAACCCAUUUUCAACCAAAACCACACAAUCUCCAUCUUCCCUCUUUAACUUUACAAAUAUAUAUAUAUAUAUAUAUAUAUAAAUUGAAAUUAUAAUUUUUUUAUUAUAAUUUUCUUUUCUUUUUCCGUUUUUCUUUUUUCUUUACUUUUUUUUUUCUUUCUUCUUCCUUCUUCCGGUGGUUAGCAUGGCGAUGGCCAACGAUUGACCAAGCGAGCCUCGAGCUCGUUGGAUCUGGUGAGGCGGAGGCCUUGCUGACAUCCGGCAAGGCUCGAGCCUCGCCGAUCAGGCGAGACUCGAGCUCGCUGAUGUUGGGCGAGCCUCGAGCUCACCAGCAUCGAGCAAGCUCAAGCUUGUCAGAUCUGGCAAGGUGGAGGCCUCGCGGAUAUUUGGCGAGGUGGAGUCCUUGCCAAUCUAGUGAGCCUUGAGCUCGCCGAUGUCGACGAGUCGGGCGAGCUCGAGGCUUGCUUGUGGCCGGCGACCGGCCAAAGAAGAAGAAGAAGAAGAAGAAAAAAAAAAUAUAUAUAUAUAUAUUCUUAAAAAUAAAAAUAAAAAUAAUUAAAAAAUUAAUAUUUUAGGAAAAUAAAAAAUAAUUAAAGUUCGAUUUUUUAAAUAAUUAUUUUAAAAAUUAUAAAAAUUGUCCAUUAAAUUUGUGUUAUAUAAAACCAUUUUAGCAAUACCAUUUUUAAAAUAUAUAUAAACUUUUUUAGGUUUCAUUAAAUGGGUCGGGUAUGGGUCGAAUACGGGUCGGGUCGGGUUUGGGUCAAAAGUUUUGCACCAUAAUAAAUGGGUCAUAAACGGGUUAAAUGAAUCAAUUUUGAUCGGACCAUUUAUGACUCGACCUAAACUCGACUUGACCCACCCGUUUAACAGGUCUAAUAGAGAGGCCUAGCAUGGUAUUUUACACCCAACACGGAGAACACAUCCUCCGAAAGCAUGAGAGAUCAUGUGCACCGAUAUGUACAAUAAGCGACUCAUUCGCGAGAGACUCCAACCACCUGUUUCCCAACAUUGCUACCGGAAAACAACCCAAUCAGAUGGUCUGCUCCCUUGUAAAGAGACGCAUCUACACUCAAAAGACAAACAGAAAAUAACCCCUUUUGGAAACACGAGGAAAAGAGAGAUUAUGCCGAUGAAAAAGUACAGAAAGCUGAAUCAUUUGUGAGAAACCACGACCACCUGUUUCCCGACAUUGCCACCAGAGAACACCCCGGCAAGAGCUGCCGGACCGUUCUCGAGCCAUUCCGCUAUGUCUUCCACGGACACAAUCUUCCCCUCUUUGAUCUGAGGCAAUACCUUCUCAAGGAACUUCGGGUAGAGAUGAUAGUAAUUGGACACCAGGAAACCUUCCAUCCGAACCCCGUUUCAGGACAAGGUUCAUCAAGUUGUGUACGCCUUCAUGCUGCUUGAGGUUGUACUGUGAGAUCAUUCCGCAUACUGUGAUUUGGCCAUGCAGUUUCAUGUAUAGCAGCACGGCAUCAAGCAUCUUUCCACCGACAUUGUCGAAGUAGAUAUCGAUUCCCCCAGGGAAGCAUCUAAACAUUUAAGACAGAAAAAUGUCAACUCGAGCCAGCUUCAGAACAGGUACAUUUUUAAUAUUUUGUACAUCAGUAACUCAUUUGCUCAAUCAUCGUUAUUAUAUUUCUGGCUCACCUUUUCAAUGCUGCAUCCAGAUCCAACUCCUCCUUGUAGUUGAAAGCAUCAUCGAAUCCAAACUUGUUCUUCAGCAAAUCAACCUUUUUCAUGAACAUAACAGCAAGAGAGAAGUCUAAGUAAGAUAAAAUCCAUAAGAGACUAUUAAGACUGUAUUUUUAGCAUUUAUGUUUAGUGAAAUGAUGAGGGUACACAUUCAACACUGCCAUCAGUGUCUUGAGCAUUCUCAUAGUUGAGAUAUACAGCAGUAACAGCAUUCAUCAUAUCUCAGGUGCUUCUUUUAGAUCUUAUUCUAUUUUAGACGAGAGGAACAUGUGUUCCAUUUCAAACGCUUGUCUAGUCACUCAUUAUGAAACAAAAGUGAAAUUUGCAGAUGCCAAACAUGCUUGGUGAACCAUUAACAUCGACAUGAUUUUGUGCUUCUUUAAACACUAGACAUGUGGGAUGAUUACCUUCUCUUUGCUACCGGUGCUGCCAACAACAUAACAACCCAGCACCUUUGCAAACUGGCCAACAAGCUGACCAAUGGCUCCUGCCGCCGCCGAUAUGAAAACAAUCUCUCCUUUCUUAGGAGAGCAUACCUCGAAAAACCCAGCAAAGGCUGUCAUGCCUGGCAUACCUGGAAAGUACCGAUUUGCACAAAUUAGAUGAGUUUCAAGAUUUCCUGAAGCACAGGAGUAGGAGUGUAAACCUGUGGCAUAAUCUCAAGUGAUCUGAUUAAUUGAACGAAGGCAAAGCCCCUGAGAAAUGGAUUGACUUCUCAGAGGAGGCUUCUAUUUCAUUGAGAACUAAUCGAUUUACACAUUCAUUCAACACGAAAGACAGUUUCGCAGGGCUCUAGUUUUAAGGCAAUUCAACGAGGGCAUAUGGCUCUAUAACAAGGAAGAUCCCUACAAGUAAAAAUUCAAGGGAAGCACACCUUUUCCUUGCGUAGCUGGAGGCUGUUCGUACUUGAGAAUGAAAUAGACAGAACAAAGUAUCUUAACAAUCUGAUUCCCAUCAUUCUUAAACACUGAAAGACAUAACACACCAGAAGAUUAAAUAGCAUACCCAAAAGGCCGGUGUAGGAAGACAGGGGAACAUCAGAGUGUUCAAUUUUAACGCAAGUAUCUGGCGCAGUAAUUAGACUAUACUCCUCCCAUCCAGUGAUGCCCCAGACCAAGUCGCCUGUCUUGAAGUUUGGAUGCCCAGAUUCCAAAACUCUAGCUACUCCAUAUCCAUGAAUAGGCUGCUUCAAUAUGUUAAACACCUCAGAAUAUAAGUGCACAUCCGUUUAGCUAUCACGAAUAGACUUUGAGCUGACAAGAAGGGAUGAGUGUGCUUCCUUUGAAUUUUACUUGUCGAGUAAACUCAGUCGCAACUUUGAGUUUGAUGUAGACAUGCGAGGUCAUAACUUACUGUUGGCAUCAAUAUCGAAUCAAUGUGACGAGAGAGGUGGCGGUACUUACGGAGCCGAGAGGAGUGAAGUGCUUGAUGAGGUUGAGAUUGUAGGAAUCGCAAGCCAGGUACAAGUUCUUCACCGCAAUGGUCCCUGAAUCUUUGUCGGCCUUCAGUCUCUCCGAACUCGUCUUCACUUCCAAGUGGGUCUCUGUCAGGGAAUAUUGGACCUCCUCUCUGUAUAUUACCUGUUUGUUGCUCAUCACUUCCACUGAAGCAUUGGGACUCUCCUUCUCCAUUCUCUCUCUCUCUCUCUCUCUCUGUGAGAAACAUGGCCAAAUAGCGCUCGUGCAUUUAUUGGGAGAGGGAUAAUGAGAUAUGCUUACGUGUGCUCGUAUGUCAUCGGCACGAACGCUUACGCAUGCCGUUGUGUCAUCGGUGGAAAUAGUAUUUUACUCCUAGGGAACAAAAGCAGUUGAUCAAAGUGGCCAAUUGACUUCUACUCAUUAGAAACUUCUGUGAUUUGUGGUAAAACGUAAAGGAAUAUUUUACGUGGUAAACGAAGAAUUUAAAGAGAAAUCUGAAAGGGUUGUUAAUUGGACACUUUCUUUACGAGUCCUCUCUUCUUGUCCCUUUUCGUUAGUGCUGGAUCUUGUUUUCCACUUAGAUAAAGGUAAGUGUCUGUAAUUGACAGAUAAGUAUAUGAAAACCCUAAAGUUUAUUGUGAUCAAAGUGGCCAAUUGAAUUCUACUCAUUAGAAAAUUCUCUGAUUUGUGGUAAAACUUAAAGGAAUAUUUUACGUGGUAAACGAAGAAUUUAAAGAGAAAUCUGAAAGGGUUGUGCUGGCAUCGCCCGUAGCCACAAAAUUUUCCUUUCUCCGGCACAAGUUGUGGAAAUUUCCAAGCAAGUUGACGAGCCGUCUUCCAAGUUAAUGGGACGCUUGGCAAGCAAAAUCCAGUCUAAAAAUAAUGUAAUUUUUAAGGAGCAAAGCUGCACAUCGCCAGUUUUCCUUUUCCUCACAUUCUUCAUCUCCUUGACUUGAUUCGAGCGCAGUAGUGUGCAUUUGCAGUGGGGUGGUGAAAUCGUAAUCAUUGGUUGAAAAAAGCAAAUGAUGAAUGGAUGAGCUUAAAUUUCUUUUUAUUUAAAUUGAUCGUAUAUGAAUGGGUCUACAUAGACUUAACCGAGCCAACACCAAAAAGAGGACUACUUAAUUAGACUUACUCAUUUUUCAGUACAGAUCGAUACGAUCCAUGAUCACUUCUAAAACAAAGACACAACAAGCAAUCUUUGUUUUUGCGUCUUUGUUUUUGUCCAACUUUGAAAUACUCAUUUGACAUUUCGAGAUGUUGUGCCAUGAACGUUUCUCCGCUUUUGGACCGCUCCCAUAUAUGAUGAUGGAGGCUUGCUUCACAUCCGUCGUUCUUACUUCAUUUCACUAGUAGGCCUCUAUAUAAUUUGCAGUGUUCUGAUUACUUAAAAACCCACUUAUCAUAUUAUUUAUUUGAUUGGAUUGAUGUAAUUCUUUAAUUAGUCGUUGCUGUGCGUUUGGAUCGCCAACUCUCGAUACCAAGUAAAGCAAAAUCUAUAUAUGUUUUACCAUUCUUAAACUCACAAAUCUAUUUCUUUUUAUUUCUUUGAUUGAGUGACGUAAUAUUGAUUAUUUGUUAGAUUAAUUGGGUAAUUUUAUCCCUCUAUAUCAUUUGCCCCAACGUUUUGUAAUGGGAACGAUGAACGAUGUGACACCAAGUAAAGCAAAAUAAACUGGUCUUUCUCAUUCUAAUUUCAGAUUCAUUUCUCUCUCCAAUUUGAAAAUGUUAUUGCCGUUGUACUCUUAUUGCACUUCUUAAUUAACUCUUUUGAAUAUUUUGCAUUCCUUUCAAUUAUUGAUUUAACGCGAUCUUCAAUUGUUUUACGUUUUCAAUUAACGAAGAUCUAAUUCUAUGGUUUGCAUGAAAAAAUUCUUGUCUUUCUUUUUUCAACUUUUUAUAUUUCUUUUUUUUUUGGGGGGGGGGGGGGGGAAGAGUUCAUUUGAGUAAAUAAAAACUUACUGUCUAAUUCAUUUUCUUUGUGCUUUUCUUCUAUCUUUUUUAAAGCGCUAUGCUUGGUUAUUUACUUGAUGGAAAUGCUCUUAUUUGCAUGAACGCGAAAUCCCUCUUUCCCUUUUUCCUUCUUUCUUUUCAUUUCUGAAGGCGUCCAUUGUUUGCUGUUUUGUUGACAUUUCAACUCUGUUUUAUGACCCAAAAAAAACUCUGUUUUCUUUUUUCUUUUUUCCCUUUGCUUUGUCGAACUCCAAAUGUUACAGCAAGUGCACAUCCGUCUACUUCAACAGUUGAAUCAUAUUAUUUAUAUCUGUGUUUUUUCUCUGUGUUUAUCUUUUUAUUCUAUUUGUUAUUAUUAUAAAAUUUUUUCUAAUGAGUGUUUCUCAUUUAUGUUUGAUUGUCAAGAGAAAAAUAUCAAUUUCAGUCCUUCUCAUAUAGUUCUUUUUUUUAAAAUUAAACAAACAUAUUUAGUUGUUAAUACUAUUCAAAGUCAAACAACAAAUAUUCAAAUUAUGCGUAAGAAAAUAUUAAAUUGCAUGUUGAGUUUGAGUUGGUGCAAGAACUAUUAAGAAAUCCAUUUUCUUAUUGGGAUCAAGAUCCAACAGACCGUGUAGUUUUCUGGACUGGUUUGUUUGGCUUUUUCGGUUUGGUCAAAGGAGAUGUCUGGUUGUUUGACUCCUAUACGUAGCCACACAAGAGAGAAAGCCAUUAAAGAAAUGGAGGGGUGAAAAGGUCUUUGUCAGAGUAAAGAAAACAAAGUAAAAUAUAGUUUUUUUUUUUGGCUUUCACGGGGGCUCGGAUACACGAGAAUUUUGUGGUGUGAAUUUUAUAUCCAAGUUGAGUUGUAGCACUUACUAGUAAUUUAGGUGUGAGAAAUAUUUGAAUGUGUCUAUGAUUGUAACUUUGAUUCUCUAAUUAUAAUGAAUUAUUUACUACCAGUUUUCUCUGUGGAGAAAGUAUCGAUACUCGGAUCGAAUCACGUAAUUCAUUCAUGUCUUUUAUUUUUGUCAUUUAUUUAUCUAGUAAUUUCAUCUUGAUUUAAAUUGCAAAAUCUUGUUAAUUUCCUCAUUAAUUUUAAAAUGGGAAGUUUUGUGUCCAUACAUUUUAAAGAGAUUGUGUGGUCUUUAUACAUGCAAUGCACGUGACAUUCUACUAGUAAUUUGAAGAGGGAUAAUUACGACAAAAGUCUUAAACUUAUUGUUCGAAUGUCAAUUUAGUUCAAAUUUUUUUAAUUUAGCCAAUUUAAUCUUAAAUUUUUUGAUGAUUUGUCACUGUAAUCAUGCCGACCAGUUUUGGUCGAUAAUUGCUAACGUGGACAAAGAUGGUCUUACAUGGUAUAAUUGACGUUGAUGUAGAUAAUUUUUCUCUUUUUCAUGAUAUUUUCAUUUAUUUUUUAUUUUUAUUUUUUUCUUCCCUUGCUGGUUGUCAUGGCCAACAAUCAGCCAUAGUUGAGGGAUGGUAAGGGCAAGCCUCACCUAAGGCCCAUGAGAUCAGCCCUUGUGCGACCCUUGCUUAACGCUAGUUGCCAGCGAUUGCCAAGGCCCAACAACUGGCAAGCAAGAAGGAAAUAAAUAAAUAAAAAGAAAAAAUGAAAAUAAACUAUAGAUAUUUAAAAAAAAUGCAAAAAGUUGAUGACAUUAGUGUUGGUUGUGCCACAUUGCUGGCCAAAAUUAGUUGAAAGAACUAUAUUAGCAAAUCAUUAAAAGAUUUAUGAAUAAAUUGGCCAAAUUGAAGUAUUUAUGAUUAAAUUGGUAUCCGUAUAAUAUAUUUAACACUUUUUUUUUUUUUUGAAAUCUGUAUGGAUUAUGGCUCAAAGUUAGUUUCCACUAUUUUGAAAUUCGACCCACGAAUUACAAGUAAUCAUGCGCAAUAUUAAGCAAAGUCCAAAUCGGGCUCUUGUCAACAAGAUCAUGAGUAACGCAAGAAAUAUAUACUAACUUCUCAAAAAAUUUCUUUUUCUUAUUGAAGAUGAAGUCUAUGUUGAUGUCAGAAAAGUGCUCAUAGUUUCUUGCAUACAAAUAUUAUGUUGUUGAAUUUGGUCUGGUGUGCAUAGUUAGUGCGCUUAAUAUGUACGAAACUUGCAAGAGACACAAAGUGCACCGAGAGCCACAAUUCAAGAGAUUCGAGAGUUUAAGAAAAUUCCUCUCUUGCAAACGAUUUUUGUGGGUUCCUGCUGCAUUUAAAAAAAAAAAAAAACACUUAUAAGUGAGUAUGACUAACUGUAACUUUAUCAUCCUUGAUUAUUGUGGAUUUAUCUCUUUGAUCUCUCCUGGUAGACUAGGCAUAUAAUCAAACCACAUAAAUCUGUUAUUUUUUGGAUUUUAUCUAUGCAAUUUAUAUCUUAUUUUGGGUAUGCGUGUUUCAUAGAAAUCUUCUCGAUGGAAGAAUAUAUUUUCGCAAAAAAUCAUUUUCUAAGGAAAUUGCUUGUCUUUAGUUAUUUGAUGGGAUUCUUGAAGGCGAGACAAAAUUAUUUUCAAUGUUUAAACCUAACUUUAAGAAAUUAAAUGUUAUAAUUAUGGUUUGCUCUAGGGAUGUGCAUGGUCCGGGUGGGCGGUUCCCAACCUAGAACCGGGAACUGCCCGCUAAGGACCGGUUCCAAAAAAUUGGAACCGGGAUCCACCUGGGAACUGGACCGCCGGUCCGGUCCGGUUCCCGGGUAGAUCCAUGGAACCGAUUUUGACGCGAAACAAUUUUAGUUUUCAACAUAGAACGGUCGCGAAACAAUUUUUCGCGGCUGUGGCGGGUGGCAGUCAACGCGAGGGGGCGAACAGCAGCGGCGGAGGAGCAACGGCGGUGGCGUCGACGCUCAGGGAGGAAUUGAAAUGGCGAUAGGAUUAGGAGCAACCGAGGAAGAGACAAAGAGAGAGAGAGAACCAAAGACGAAGGGAGUGAGGCGAUGAGAUCUAAUAUAGGAUUUCUUUUAGUAAUUUUUUUUUGUAAUAUUAAAAAGGUUCCGAUCCGGUCCGGGUGGGCGGAUCCGCCCAUGGAACCGGGAACCGGACCGGUACCUACCGGUUCCGAAAAAUUGGAACUGAAAACCGGACUGGUUCCCUCAAGAACUGCCGGUUCUGGAUAGUUCCGGUCCAGUUUCGGGCGGUCCGGGCGAUUCUCGGGUAUUUUGCACACCCCUAGUUUGCUCCUAAUAUGCGAUACCAAAGUGAUAUCCAAAUCAUUGUCUAAAAUAUUACUAAUGUUUGGACUAUAAAAUUUUAUGGAUUUUUAUUAUCAAAAUAAUGCAACCUAAAAAAAGUACGCCCAAGAAGAAAAUGCAAAUAAUUAACAAAAUUAAUUGAUCAAUACUCCUUCGAACCAAAAAAAAAAAAAAUCAAUAAGUGCUCAUAAAAAUUUACGUGAAAAUAGAUUUCCAUUCCAAAAAAUUAAUCAAAGAGGGAUACACAAUAAAAAUUCAAACUGGAAAGAAAAAAAAAAAAGAAGAGGAAAAAGAAAAGUCAUCGUAAAAUUAAAGACAAGAACAUCCUAAAUUGACAUUUCCACGGACACCUCUUGUAUUAUCCUUCUAAAAUAUGUAUCAUACAGCCGAGUGACAAAUAACCAAAUAACAAUUUAGUCUACAGAGAUGCAACAAAUUGAGCAAUUGAAGCUAAUUCUAAUAUCAAUUUGAAGAGGAGAUGAAACAGUUUUGAGAGUUUGCUGUGAAGAAAAGAAAGGAUAGAGAGUGAAGACUAGUAGGGACAGAGGGAGAACAGGGGACGCUUGUAGAAAAUGAGUUUGAAAAAACCGAUUUCUUCUUUUUAGGAUAGAGAAGUCAUUUUCGUGGAUGUUGAGUAUUGUUUUUUUUUUCUUGCCUGAAAAGUUUUUUCAAUAGAUUGUCCAUUUUCAACAAAUCAAACGUGUUGACCUUUAGAAAAUCAUUUCAUGGAAGUCCUUUCCAUAAAAACAAUGACACCCUCCAAAUUGCUUCGAUUCUUCACAUUUUCACGCUAGUCAAAACAGUUCGAUCUUUCAAACCAGUUCAUUAAAAGGCGACGGCACGGUAAGGGAAGAUCCAUUUACAUCGACAUCUUAGAGAGGCACAGAAUGAAACUUUAUACCAAUACAGCAGAGAACAUAUCCUCCGGAAGAAUAACAGAGCAAUCGCACCCAAAAGUGCAGUAAGCGGGAAACUACUGGCUUCUGUUUCCCCACCAUUGCUACCAGAAAACAACCCCAUGCCCCUUCUUAUACGAGACACGUUUGCACUCAAAUGUCCUUUGUAUCAUAGCGGCAAUGCAAUGACAAACGGAAAACAACUUUCAAAAGGACGAGGCAAAAUAAGACUAUGCCGAUGAAAAUAAGUACAGAAAGCUGAAUCAUUCGCGAGAAACCACGACCACCUGUUUCCCGAAGUUGCGACCAGAGAACACCCUGACAAGAGCUGAUGGACCAUUCUCGAGCCCUUCUGCGAUGUCUUCCAUGUACACAAUCUUCCCCUCUUUAAUCUGAGGCAAUGCCGUCUCGAGGAACUUCGGGUAGAGAUGAUAGUAAUCAGUUACCACGAAACCUUCCAUCCGAACCCGCUUCAGGAUAAGGUUCAUCAAGUUGUGUAUGCCUUCGGGCUGCUCAAGAUUGUACUGUGAGAUCAUUCC
rnacentral:lncRNA from 1 species